UUGUUUUUGGCACUCGCCAUGUUUGUGAUGAUGCUGGCCAUGGGCGUGGACGUGGGAGGAAUCGCAAAGGCUGCUGCCCAGCGCUGCCAGUCGGGGUGGUAUUGGUAUGACAACGGUUGCCACCGUUGCCAGAGGGGUUGGAGCUGGCGCAACUGAAACCUCCAGUUUCACGGGGUAAGAAAUUUGCCUUUGAUGUCAUCAUUCUGCAGUGCCAAGCUCAAUCAAGACACUGAUGACGUGUUUUCUGUAUCGUGGGAUGCUGCAUGGCAUUGCAUGAGUUCCAGCAAUAAAAUAUAAAUUGUCCAAGCCUUGAUAUAAAAUGUCUGCAUCUGUCCUUGGUCCCUCUCCUCUCUUCUCCAAAUCCCUGACUUCCAAUCGAUUGCUCCAAUGAUCGGCAAGCAAUAAGACUCGAUUGGAGCAUCAAACCAGGCCCAGGCACACCUAGCGGUGGGAGUGAAGGUCGGGGGGAGCUGCGGAGGAUGGUAGUGGGAUGGAUUUCGCUGCGUGCAAUGCAAUUAGUACGGGUGUGACAACAGCUGCCAUCGAGGGUGGCGCUGGAAUGGCAGCCGCUGCUUCCGCUGAAGAAUUGCCAAAGCUCGGGCCUCAAAGAACCAGGAACGAAUCUCGAAUCAUGAAAAGUGAUAUAUAUAUAGAAUAAGAGUAUGUUUUGGAGUCUAUUCACGUGUUUGGUGCCAUGAGACUGUCAAUGAUAAAAUGGUGCGUUUUCUGCAAAGUUGUUGCUGCAGUGUAACGUUAGGAACUUUUUCAUAUAAUCUGGACUCAAAUUUAUAUAAACUGUGAAAAAACUAAAAAUGUUGUCUUUACUGAUCUGGAAUCACAGCUUCACUUCGUGUGUUGUUCUAUGUCCCAGCAUUACAGAAAAGAAAAGGAAUUGACAAACAUGGAACGACUUCCUCAGCUAACUUUUAAAGGACAAAAAGAUGCCGUCCCAAGAGGCUAGCAUUGUAUGCUGCCUCGAGCUAUAAAUACGAGCGGCCUUACAGAUCAAAUCACUUCUCUCGAAUAUACUAUACCACGAGGGCAUCGGUGGCAAGGAGCGCCUUUGCAACAUGGUGAGAACCGAAACAACACCAAGCAAGCCUAUGAAACUAUGGCGGCUCUGUGAUCGUAAGUUUCCUCUCAGGGAUUGUUUUGCAACGUUUGGCUUGUUCUUUGAAAGCGCAUUUAAAUAGGAGCGAUAUGAAGAAAAAGUGGCAUUGAAAAAUCCAGGAAAACACCCGUACUACCACGCAGACGUACUGAUUCAAGCCUCUAGAACACAGCAGUCAGUGCUGCCCGGUCCUGCUGGUCGGGCAGUAGUUCCCCCGGCUCACCACGGGUGGCCGAUCUAGAGCAGCGCGCAUUGUCGCUCGACGACGACUACGCGCAACUUCUCACAGCUUGCAUCGAAUUGCGUCAAGGCGCCACGCGCUCAUCCUUGGGAGCACCCACCACUAAUCCAGCAGGUACCUCGCAAAUCUUCUCAUCCAACUCUAUGGAAGGUGCUAGCGCGCGGAUCGAGCAUUGGCAGGUGUUUAUCAGCAUCCACGAGCCCAACAGAUUCUCCUGGAACGUGCUGCUUGGCGCUUAUGCCCAAAGUGGGUAUCUUGGGGAAGCAAAAGAGCCGUUUGAUCAGAUGCCACAAAGGGAUGUUUCUGCAUGGAUGAUUUUUAUGACGGCUUGUGAAAACAGUGGAAACUUGGAGGAAUGUCGAGCAUUGUUUGAUCAGUUUCAGAAUGGGAUGUAGUUUUCUGGAACUCUCUACUUACAGUAUAUGCCCAUAACGGGCAUAUGGAUCAAGGGUCUUUGAUGGAAUGAUAGAACACAACAUAGUUUCUUGGGCUGUUAUGGUUACUGGGUAUGCAAGAAAAGGUCUUGUUAACGACGCGCUACGUUUUUUUUAUGAGAAUCCCCGAAACCAACGAGCUGGGAUGAACUGUUCUUGUCCCUGCAUAUCCCCAGCUUGAGCAUAAUGAAAAAGCCAAGGAGCUUUUCAGUAAAAUGUGCCACAGAAGAACGUUGCAUCGUGGUCGACAAUAUCACAGCACUGGCCGAGAGAAACCAGCUCGAAGAAGCUCGUAUUCUCUUGGAUCGACCUGAGGACUUACAUGAUCUUGGCCUACUCCAACCACGGCCACCUCAAAGAAGCCAUGAAGAUGUUUGCACGGAUGCCACAGCGCGAUCUCGUCGCUUAGUCGGCAAUGGUGGCGGCAAUUGCUUUGCACAGGAGCUUGUUCGACCAAAUGCCACAGCACGAUAGCGUCGUACAUCCAGAGCAAUUGCCCUCGUCCAAGCGCGGGAGCCCAUGCUGGUGAGAGUCACAGCGAUCUGGAUUGCCGCGAGCACUCAAAGGGGGAAUCUCUUGCAGCCCGGGAAGAUCUUUUCCACGUUGCCUGAUCGGCACAUUGUCCCGUGGAACGCGAUGAUCCAUGGCUGCGCACAGAAUGGCCAUGAGCGAAAGCCACUGAGUUUUUGGCAGCAUGGCGAUGGAGGGCGAGGCGAGAAACGAGAUAAGUUUCCAGGCGAUUCUCCUGGCUUGCAAUCACGGUGGGAAGCUCCGUGUGGCACUCGACUACUUUCGAUCUAUGGUGGCCGAGUACAGCAUUUCUCCAUGUGAUUCACUUCCAGGCGAUGGCAGAUGUGCUGGGACGAGCCGGGCUGGUUGCCGAGGCCGAAGGUCUGCUGCUGGCAAUGCCCUUCUAGCCGCAUUUCCUCGCGUGACAAUUUGUAAAUAAUAAUUUAUUGAUUCUUGAUACAAUUUUUGGAACUAAUCGUUAUAAAUUAAAGUUUUUAUUUAUUCUAAUCACUAUAAAGUAAAGUUUUCAUUUAGUUUAAAGUGAAUAAUCUUUGAUAAUUUACAAUUUCCAUUAUACACUUUUAUUAUGCUCUUUUUUGGGCAGAGAGCUCGGUGGUGGAUGUCCAGCUCCAUGAUGCUCGGGAGACCUGGUGCUCCAUGAUGCUCAAGAGAGCUCGGGCUGACCCCCAAAUUCGCGAGCUCCUGAGGCCACCAAGGCGGCCUUCCCAUUGGUGCUCUGCAUCCGGAAACGAUCCACUCUUUCGUGCUGCUAAUCCAGUGCAUGGCCAGCAGGGAAGCCAGGGAAACGUCAUGAUGGAGGAUCCUCUUGUCGUCUUUCCUGCAAAUGAAGUUGACGAGCAGCCAAGGCUGUUUUCAGCCACUCGUCCUGAUCCGGAGGAUGAUCCACUCUUCUCGACUGGUGGCUACUCUCAUCAUCCAGCAGGCGAGAAAAUGGCUGCAAACGAGCUCCCAGUGCGCCUAUCAUCUCGACACGACUGGGUUCCAGAGCAGUUUCAUGGACAGGAACAAGGACGAAAGGUGGAAGAUCGUUCUGGCACCGUGUUCGAUCCUGGAGAUGUCGCAGCACUGGCAAAGAAGCGGGCUGAGAUGGAAAAACAAAUGCAGAAGUUCAUCAUGAUGGACCCCUGCAUCCGGCCUUUUUCCCACAGGUUAGUAGUCUCUGCACUUGAGCCAGGAAGUGCGAUGUGGAGAACAGCCCCGAGAUCACGAGCGACGAGAAGCUUCUUUGGAAGUUGACAGCCAAUGAUCCCAAGUGGGUCAAGAGUAAUUUGGAGGUGGAGCCAUCUGCUCCGGGGCAUGCUUCUUUGACAAGUGAGUUCUUCCACCUUUGAGAGAGACAGGGAACUUGAUGAGGUAUGUUUCUUUGAAGCCAAUUUGUAUAGAUGCUACUCCUUGAUUGUAGGCAUUGUGAGAGACAAAACAUAAGAACAAGUGAAAAACAAAUAGAAUUGAGAGUGAAAUCUAGCUUUCUCUUUAGUCCUUAGGGUCCUCUUACCUUAAAUGCUUUUCAUACUCCACCACCCAUAAACAAAGUUUGAUGUCCUCAUCGAACGCUAAACCAUUUUAUAAAGUAAUAUUAGCAUGUAUUACUCUUUCCAUAUUUGGCACAUAACUAAUAUUCGUCAAUAGUUUAACACUAAAGGCUCACCAUGCCUUGUCCAUUCUUUAAGGAGCAUAAUGUAAACAACUAAAGGGAACGACUCAAGAGACGAUCCAUAGGGUUCAAAUAUAGAGGGAAAAGGCUCAUGAAUAAAAGUGCACCCUCUUUUCCAAUCGGUUAAAGGUGUUGAGAUAUUUGGGGUUAAGUGUCCUUAGGUUUGAAUAGUACUGGGUUAGGAAGUCCAAAUUUAGGAGCUUAUAUUUAGUAUCAGAGAGGUCUCAGGUCCAUGGGAUUCAAAUAUAGAGGGAAAGGGCCCAUGAAUAAAAGUGCACCCCUUUUUUCAAUUGGUUAAGGGUGUUGGGAUAUUUGGGGUUAAGCAUCCUUGGGUUUGAAUAGUACUGAGCUGGGUGACAUCCCGGAAAGUUUAAAUUCCAGAGCUUACACAUAAUCUCUCUAACAUAGAGACUCAUUUGACCACUUGUGGUGGUUCUUUCCUUUUAUUAGUUUAAUUCUUGUUAAACCUCUUAAAAACACCUUCUUUAUCUCAAUCCCACUAUUCAUUCUCUAAUAUUCUUAAUUUUUAUCGAUAUAACUUUUGCACUUUGGAACUUUUAAUUUUGACUUUUUGAAGUCGAUUUCCUAAGUGUCUCUAACACCUUGCAUUGCACAUAUUGUGCAACUCCACUUCCCCAUCCUUGGAAGUUCUCUAUUUAAGGGCAUCAUCAUUUUCUUUUCUAUUUUGUGUCACAUUUGGCACUAAGUUCCAAUUAUCAUAAUUCGUGUUAAGGCUAUCCACAGCCCUACCAUUUGACUACCUUAUUGCUUAUUCCUUUGGAGCUUUCACUUUCACCAAAUCGGAGCAAUUGAGAAUCCAUCCUUGGAAAUAUAUUGCCUUUCCUACAAUCCAUUAGCAUCCAACAUCUUGGUGUUUCUGGUCUAACUUUGCCAUUUAGAUUCCUUUUCAUAAUUCCCAUGGUUGUUUUCUUAAUCACUAGUCUUUGCUUCUAUCCUUUGAUUGUUGCACCUAGCAAUAUAAGAUUGCUACCUCCAUUCUUGAGGUAUUCUUUUGGUUCCAUAGUAAAGAUUUUUUUUUGCCAAGUCCAGAGGGUGUUCACCCCUAGUAUGUCUUUUUAGCAUUUUCUGCUGUGGGCUCUAUCCAUAGCCCAACUUUGUGACCCUCCCAUAAGUUUUUUUAUAAAGAUUACUUUCUCCAGACUCACUAUGCCAUCGCUUUGACAUAACUUUUUUCCUUUAGGUGUUUUUCCCAUUUGAUCACUUUGACCAAGCCACACCAUCAUCAAUAGUUCAAACCAACACUUUGAACUAAGAAUGUUAUUCCUCAACUUCACAAGGACCUUGUCUUUACUUAGUCAUAAGAUCACUUAAUGAUCUACCCUUGACACCAUAACUGGUUUGCCAAUAAGUAUUAGGCCUUCUAGAUCUUUAAGUUGUUGACCAUGAACCCAGGACACUUGGUAAUGUACCCAAGUUAGCCCUUCUAGCCAAGGGUCCAUAGCAACUAAAAUUGGGUGUCCCCAUCUCAUUCACCACGUCAUUGAUGCCAUUUAUACCAAAGUGUUCAAAUUAAAUAUGCCGAGCUUUCACACUAAGCUGUCAAGACCCCCAACAAGAUCAAGGCUGGAAAAUGCUAAAGACAAAGAGAAAAAGCUAGUGAAAACAAAGAAGAGGCCUUAGACUAGCGUUGAUUCAGAUUGUGGAGAAAUGGAACAAGGCUAACCUAUAUAUACUAUAGGUUGAUGAAGCUCCACCACUCUUGGAUCGAGGACGGCCUAAAUAUAGUUGAGGUCGAGGAGGCGCCACAUCAAUAUUAGGAAUGUGGCUCGAGACUCAGGAAUCGGGAAGUGUUUUGAGAGUUAGGAAUAGGGAAGUGUCUCAAGAGUCAGGAAUAGGGAAGUGUCUCGAGAAUCAGGAAUGUGGUCUGCAGGUCAGGAAUCCGGCGAGAGUCAGGAAUAUGGCAAGAAUUGGGGGAUUCCUAACAGCACCCCCUCCUCAAGAACGAGUGGAACGAGAAUGUGAAUGAGAACGACGAGGAGGAUGAGAUGAGCGGCGAGGGAUGGGAGAUGGAGAAAACGAAUGAGGACUGGGACGACUAGGAUAGCGGCGGUGGAAGUCCUGAACAAGGUCAGGAGAAUGAAUCAGGUUGUCCGCAGGUUCCCAAGUGUGUUCUUCAGGCUCGUAACCCUUCCAGUCGACCAGAUAGUAGAGUUUAGACCGUGAAAUCUUGGAAUCAAGGAUGUCCUGAACCUCGUACUCAGACCCAUCCUCGAGCUGCACUGGUGGAGGUGGAGGAAUGACCCGAUUGGGAAUAGGACUGGGAAUAUAAGGCUCAAGGAGAGAGGAAUGAAAAACGGGGUGAAUUUGAUAUGAGGAGGGAAGUGCAAGGCGAUAAGUGACAGGAUUAAUGAUGGCAGUGAUAGGGAAAGGAUCGAGGCGUUUGAAAUCAAGUUUUGGACAGGGCCUGGUGGUGGAGAUAUUUUGCCUGAGGAGCCAAACUUUAUCCCCGAUAUUGUAAGGGGGACAAUCCUGACGAUGGACAUUGGCAAAUGUUUUGUGAGAUUCCUGAGCACGAUGGAGGUGGAAGGAGAUGGAGUUGUGGAUUUCUUGGAGGUUGGAGACAAAUGCCUCAGAGCGGGGAUUUGAAUGAGAGGAUUCGGAUGGAGAAGGAAGUGAGAGAUUGAAUCGGGGAUUUCAGCCAAAGUUUGCAAAGAAGGGGGAAAUUCGAAGAGAGGAGUGGAUAAAGUUGUUAUAAGAGAACUCAGCAAGGGGAAGGAUAUCGAACCAGUUAUCCUGAUGAUAGUUGAUGAAGCACCUCAAGAAUUGUUCCAACGUCUGAAUCGUUCGCUCGGACUGCCCAUCAGUUUGAGGAUGAUACGCCGAAGAGAGGUUGGCCUUCACUCCAAGCAGCUGCAAAAACCGUUGCCAGAAAUGAGAGAUGAACUGAGGCCCCCGAUCCGAAACCACAUCUGUAGGAAUCCCAUGAAGUCGGAAAAUUUCCCUGAAUACCAGUUUUGCCAUGUCCUCGCCCGAAAACUCCUUGGUACAUGGCAAGAAGUGCGCCAUCUUUGUGAAGCGAUCCACCACGACUAAAAUGCUGUUGAAGCCUCCAGAACUCGGAAGAUCACUCAAAAAAUCCAUGGAGAUGGAUUCCCAAGGACCUGAAGGGACCGGAAGGGAACGAAGCAAACCUGAAGGAAGGUGGCGAGGUACCUUAUUCCGGGCGCAAGUGUCACAAAAGGUGACAAAAGCUUUGAUGUAGUCGUCCAUGUGAGGCCACCAAAAGUCCCGUGCAACUAGCUCAUAGGUUUUCGCAAUGCCAAAGUGACCAGCAGUCGGGCUAUCGUGGCACGCCAUUAGGACCAACCUUCGAGCAUCACCUUCAGGAACGUAAAGCUGCUCCCCACGGUAUAAUAAGCCAUCUAAGAACUCGAACUCGUCAAAUCAUCGGCAGUCGGGAGUCACAGGGUGUCCAGCCUGAAGAUGGGGGAAAAUGUCGAUGGCGAGAUCAUCGGAUUGAAGAUUGUUUCUGAUGGCAUCCAUCAAGGAGGAGUUCUGAGGGGCCAGGGAAAUUGCCAUAACUUGAAGCCGAUUAGGACCGAGGAUAAUUUGAUCCUGUUGAUCGAAGGCAGGAUUACCAGGCCUGAGACUGAGAUAGGAGCGCCUUGAAAGAGCAUCAGGAAGGCCUUGAAGCUUUCCAGGUCUAUACUUGAUAACAAAGUCAAACCGACUCAAGAAUUGUGCCCACCUUGCUUGACGACGGCUUAAAACUCGAGAAGUGGCAAAGUACUCGAGAUUUUUGUGAUCCAUCCAGACUGUUGUUUGAUGGCCCGCCCCCUCCAAGAAACGGCCCCACUCUCCAAAGGAAUCCACGAUGGCAAGGAGCUCUUUGUCGUGGAUUUCGUAAUUGAUCUCCGCAAGCUGGAAUUUCCGAGAAUGGAAAGCGACCGGAUGAAGUUCUUGAUCCGCUCCGAGUUGAGACAGCACAGCACCGAUGGCAAAGUCGGAGGCGUCAGCCUCGAUGAAGAAAGGUUGUGAGGAAUUAGCAUGGAUCAAAACAGGAGCAGAAUUGAAGGCUGCCUUGAGUGUGUCGAAGGCGUGCUGGGCAGCAGUAGACCAAGAGAAGGGGACAUCCUUGCGAGUGAGAUGCGUGAGAGGAAGGACAAUGUCAGAGUAGUGAUCAAUGAAUUUGCGGUAGAAGUUGGCGAAGCCAAGGAAAACCUGAACGUCCGACAUUGAUUGUGGAGGCUCCCACUCGAGAAUAGUCUUGACUUUGGCAGGAUCCAUCGUGAUACCCUCAGGAGUGACAAUGUACCCAAGGAACUCCACAGACUGCUGAUCGAAGGAACAUUUCUCAAGCUUCGCGUAUAGGCCGUGUUCUCGCAGCUUUGCCAGCACCUUGCGUACAUGUUCGUUGUGCUCCUCCUGAGUUCUUGAGUAGAUGAGGAUGUCAUCGAGGUAGACGAUCACCAUCUGAUCAAGAAACUCCCGAAAGACGUCGUUCGCCAUGUGUUGGAAAACUGCUGGAGCAUUUGUCAAGCCAAAUGGCAUGACAGUGUACUCGAAGUGGCCAUAGCGGGUUCGGAACGCAGUCUUCCAUUCAUCACCAGGCCGGAUCCGGAUCAGGUUGUAUGCGCCACGGAGGUCAAUCUUGGUGAAGAAGCGGGCACCGCCGAGGCGUUCCAACAGGUCCGAGAUCAGGGGCAGCGGAUAACGGUUCCAAACAGUCACCUUGUUCAAACCUCGGUAAUCGAUGACUAGCCGCAAACUCCCAUCCUUCUUCUUGACAAAGAAGGCAAGCGCUCCAGCCGGGGACUGCGAAUGCCGAAUGAACCCUGAGGCAAGGUUCUCAUCCACGUACUCUUUGAGGGCCUUAAGCUCGGACGGGGAUAACCCGUAGAUAGGCCCCUAGGGAGGCGACGCUCCUUCCUGUAAAUCAAUGGGACAGUCAUAAGGCCGAUGAGUAGGCAGAACACUAGCUUUUUUCUUGUCAAACACAUCCCCAAAAUCAUGAUACUUCUCAAGAAGAUUGACAGGAAAAACAUGCAAAACAAAAAGGAAAAUAGGUUCUUCAUGAAGGAGUUCUUGCAUAGUGAUUGUGGAGAUAGGAGGACAUGUACGCCUAAAUGGAAUGAUGAGACGAGGAUACUAUCCAGUGUAAGAUGGAAAAGAGGAAAAAGAAGAGGGUGAAAACUUCGUAGAAUCAGGAACAGAACCCCGAUUUGAGUUUAGGAACUUUUCCUGAUUCGGACUCGAUGAACAGCAGGGGAAGCCGUGGGAGAUGGUGAUAUGGGAGAGAUGAGCUGUAAGUCCUUCCAACAAAUUUGAGGCUGAUGUAGUUGGAACCAAGGAAGACCGAGCACCACAGAGGAGGACUUGCUGUUGAUGAUAUUGAAGGCAAUAUCGGUGACGGUGGACCCAAUGUGUACUCGAACGGGCAACGUUUCCCUAAUUCCAGAAGAUGGAGACACAAAAUGCCCGCCAAUGCCUUCAACCCUCAGAUCCCGUAUGGUAGGAGAAAGAGGAACGUGAUGUCGGGCAGCAAAGUCCGUGUCCAUGAAGCAGGAAGUUGCACCCGAGUCCAGUAGCGCCUAAGCCUUGAGUCCUGAUUGUCUAGUGAAAGAAAGGAGACAUGGGACGCAGAAGUUGCGGGAAUUGGUGGUGGCUUUGAUAAAAGGUGGUGAGGAGCUUGAUAAGGAAGAAAAGUGAUUUUUAUUCAGGGAGUCCAAACAGACAACUCCUACUCUGUUUGGACAGGGUCGUUUCCCGACUGCAACAGAGGUGGACUUUGAGGCAGAGUGAACUCAAGCAAUUGGGGAGGCUUCUUGGGACACACAGUUGCUUUGUGAUUAGGAUCAGCACAAUAGAGGCAAAGAUUAUGAGAUAUUCGACGUUGCUUCUCAAUAGGACUCAAAUUCCCUUUAAUGAGUCGGGGAGUACCAGAAAUAUCCAUCGGGACCGGAGCAAUAGGUUCAGGACUAUGCCCCGAAGACUCAAGCUGGGAUUCCUGAGUCUGGGACGGAAAAACAGCGGCGCGGUGACUUUCCUGACGACGUUCAAAGAGACGAUUGUCAUAUUGAACAGCUUUGUUGAUGGCGUCUGACAGGUCCUUGGGAUCCUCCAUGGUGAGCAACAAAUCCUUGACACCGUUGUUGAGGCCAAAACGAAAUUGGUCAAUCAGGGCCCGCUCAUCCCACUGAGUGUCCAAGGCAAGGAGUUGGAACUCUGCAGCGUAGAUCGAGGCAAGACGAGACCCCUAAGAGAGACGUCUCAUCUUUGUGGUAGCAGCCCAAACCCGAUCCGUCUCGCCAAAACAUGCUUCGAGCUUCUCUUUGAACAAUUGAAGAUCCAUUAGCUCCGGAACCACGAACCCUUUCAUGCUCUUCUCCAGAAGAGGAGAAAACCAUGACAAAGCUGCACCCUCGAGCAACGUCCCAAUCGCGCCGAUUUGAGACUCAGGAGUGGGGUACCGCCGAUGUUGAAGUGCAAAGAUCAGCUUCAUUUGGUUCAAAAAUCCACGAAGCUCCAAACGCUUGCCUGAAAAUUUCGCCGGGAAACUCACCUUCGGUUCAGGAACUUUGCUGGAUCCUUGAGCCGAAAGUGAAGCAAGCUCUUGCUGCAUGCGAAGAAGGGUCGCCUUCAGCUCGGUAUUCUCAGACUGGAUUUUUGCAAGGACUUCAGCAAAGAAAUCAGGAUGGCUUGGAGACUCUAUUGGCAAGAAGAAAGAAAAGAAAGGGGGGAAAAAGACAAAGGCAAUCAAAUAAUCAAAACAAGCUAAAAGAAAAGCAAAAAACACAAUCUGAAUCAAACUGUCAAGACCCCCAACAAGAUCAAGGUUGGAAAAUGCUAAAGACAUAGAGAAAAAGCUAGUGAAAACAAAAAAGAGGCCUUAGACUGGCGUUGAUUCAAAUUGUGGAGAAAUGGAACAAGGCUAACUUAUAUAUACUAUAGGUUGAUGAAGCUCCACCACUCUUGGAUCGAGGACGGCCUAAAUAUAGUUGAGGUCGAGGAGGCGCCACAUCAAUAUUAGGAAUGUGGCUCCAGACUCAGGAAUCGGGAAGUGUCUUGAGAGUUAGGAAUAGAGAAGUGUCUUGAGAGUCAGGAAUAGGGAAGUGUCUCGAGAAUUAGGAAUGUGGUCUGCAGGUCAGGAAUCCGGCGAGAGUCAGGAAUAUGGCAAGAAUUGGGGGUUCCUGACAUAAGCUACCUAACCGUGUAUCACGACUCCAAGGCAUCCCCCACUUAGCAGUGUGCCCAAGCCAGUCUCCUUACUAAGAAUCCAUGACCAUUGAAAAAUGAAUAUUCUCAUAUUCUAAACCAUCACCACACCCUAAUGAGUUGGGAUUCGAACCCAAGCACUAGAGGGUUGGGACUCAAACCCAACCUCCAUAUAUACAUCUAUGGAUGGCAUCACCUAGGAUGCCUAGCGUGACUCCACACACCAGUGCAUCAAUUUAUACUUAAAGCACAUUAUAUAUCAUAGCUUAGGAAUUUAGUUCCUCUACACUGCCAAGUCCUCUCAUUUGACAUGUCUGUAAUCAUGCAUAAACUCCUCCAUGCUUGGCCCUAUGGGCCACCCUUUUUGAAGUUAGCACCUUCAACUAAAGUUUUUGUUCCCCCGACUUACUAAUCUCACAUAGCAAAUCAUCCGACCACCAUAACAUAGUUCAUGCACAAGCAUGAAAGUCCUUAACCAUCAAUUUUCAUUCAAAGCCCUUUCUUUGAACACUCAAGAACUACUUCUCUAACCUUGAUAGCCUCGCCUCCUAGCACACUUCAAAACCACGCUUUUGCUGCACCACUUUAAUUUUGCACACUCUAUAAAUCAUUUACACUUGGCUUUCUAAGUACUUAUUUACUUAAAAUUGUCUUUGGGAACCUUCAAGGAACUCUAUUCUUUAGCUUGUUAACACCUUUUCUUUUUGCAAGUUUUCUAAUUAAGUUUAACAUAGAUAAUUCCAUAUUUAGACUCUCCAUGGUAUCAUAGUUGCUUGAGCCCCCAUUUAAUUCUCUACUCCCAACUCGCAUAACCACAUUUAGUUAUGUCCUUCGAUUCCUAUGAUUCGGUUCUAUCCCUUUUUUACUCCUUAUACAUUUCCUUUGGUUAUUCUCCUUCAACCUAGGAGGAUCUUUGCACUUCUACCAUGCCUUAGUAAGUAUUCUUAAAGAUGAACCUACCCAAUGGCCUAGGGAGUGGUUCCUCAAUCUAAGUAUGCUUACCUUGUAAUCCCAUAUACCGAAAUUAAUGUUGCCACUUAUGGGCCUUUAUAUGCCUAUUACUAGCCUUGCCAAAAUCACUUUUUAGCUUUGUCCAAUUCAAGUAGACGGACUUCUCUCGUCUCCACAACCUUAAACAUUUGGAUAGCACCUCCUAUCCAUCAUUCAUUAGGGACUUAGUCCCUUAGGCCUUAUCUAAUGCACUCACGAUAGCAAACAUCACUUUUUGGUGUUUUAGAGCGUUUGAGUGUCCCAAUGAUAGCCUUCUUUGAUAAUAAACAUUCCCUUUAUAACAUUGACUUACUAUAUCGCAACAUAAACAAUUUAUCCUCUAUAAAGGUAUGUUCAACUUCUUUAUCCUAAUAAGAAAUCUUAGGUAGCUAUUUUUUACCAGUUUAAUCAAUUAUUUUGCACCUUUUGCUUAGUUGCCUCAUAGUUGUCAAGUCCUACAACUCAUUAAUGGUGUUUCCAUACCUCUAUCAUUAUUUGGGUCAUCACACUCCAACUGCAUGCCUUCUAGCUUAGGCUAUGUAAUUCUUAUUUCCAUUAGGAUUUUUUGGAAAAGGGUUCUCAUUAACCCACUAACUUGACCUCAAGGCAUCAUGCCUUGGCACAUUUGGUGUUUCUACACCAUUGGCUUUACAAGCCUACCUUUACAAUACUUCCCAUUUGUGUUUAGGUCUUUGCCAAGACCAAAGCAAUCUUUUUUUAUGCCAAUAAUCAAUUAGCAUUGCACCAUAGUGUCCACAUACAACCUUGUGCCAAAGUUGUUUUCUUCUGGAAACACAUUUCCCACAAUUUUAGUAUGGUACAUUUUGUCAUCAAUGAGAUACUCACUAUUCUCACUAUUAGAUUUUAUAAUCAUCCCCAUCCUUCGUGGGGUACAACACACCUCAGUCCAAAUACUCUUAUCAAUCCCUUAGGACUAUUCCUUGACUUUACUUGAGUCAUUGGACUUUACUAAUUUGACGACCCGUGAAGUCUUAUUUUUGAGGUGCCAGCUCAUUAAAAUGCAACUUCUUGUAUUCAUGUUCUACUCACAAAGACCAUCUUUGCAAGUGUUUCUUUGACACUUGAUUAUUUUCCAUUCUCUGUAGGCUACCUUUACCCUUUAGGAUUAUUUAUCCAUAUAAUGAGAAUACCAACUCAUCCUCUGAGCACACCCCCAAUUCCUUGGGUUUAUUUCAGCAUUUAUAAAAGGUAGCCCUGCUUACCAUUUCAAGGACUUGUGUCCCCAUCUGUAUUUGACCUUUCACGGUCAUUAAUUCCAGUCUCAAAUUCAUGAGCACUAGCUUUAACUAUAUAAGGAUAAUCUUGUGACUCCUUUAUUAUUUUGGAGUCUUUAUCUUUCCUGUAAUCCCAACCAUAGUUAUUUAACACAACUACAUUAGCAAUUUGCUAAGUCAAAUGCUCAUUUGGAUCACAUCCUCAACUCUCUAAGGAGAACCUUAUAUUAUUCCCAAAAUCCUGAAGUCGUUCUCUUAUUGACCCUUUCCUAUCCAUCACAUUGCCUACAAGUUCACACAUAAACUGUAGUGGGGAGCCAUGUCCUCUUAACAUGUUGUUCCUCAAGGAUAAGCCAAAUCCUAAGACCUUCUGAUACCAAUAUAAGUGGUGAUAUACUUGGCCAUCAAUAAGAAUCAGACUAAAGAACAACUCAAAUUGUAAGCAACUAAUUUUUCCAUUCUACUUUAGUCACUUAACCACACCUCCGACCACUUAGAGGAGUCUCAUUCACAACCUCUAUAAGUCCAAUUUAGGACUUGGGACUUACUAGCCCCAAGAAUGGCAUCCAUACCACUCAACCUUUGCACUUGGCAUAAGUGCUCCACGUGUUUGAUCCCAUGACUGACACCCCAAAGUACCACUGAUAUAUCAGCCCGUUACAUUAAGGCUAUGCCUAUUCAUCUUGGUCAUACCGGUGGUAUAACACCACUUGCAUCAUAAUCCCAUCUCUUAAAAACUAAGCUAUCCGUCCAUGAGUGAUUAUCCCAGAUCCACUCCUUAGCAUCCUUAGAAUGCCCGCAAAUAUGAGGUACAACCUUCCCCAAUAUCCCUUUACAAUCCCCAAGUCAAAUCCCUUUUCUGUCUAUAGCCGUGUUUGCCAACACUACCCUUGGGACAAGGCCCACAGGCCCUACCACUAAGUCUCACUAUUUUUUAAGACUUCCUCCCCACAUGAUUAUAUCCUUGGUCCCCCCACUAGAGGAUUGCUCCUUUUCCUUUCCCCAGUUUAGGACUUUAGGACAACAUUUCGGAACACUGUGGCUCUUUAUGAGCCUCAUAGGUACUCUCCCCCCCUUCUGUCUUUGGGUGCUCUACUCAUGGGUUUAGAGCGAGGUUUUGUUGAGCCCCCCCCCCCCCCCACUCCUUGGGGGACAAUUGCUUUGGGCUUUCACCCAACAGCCUGUAUUAGUAUUCAGACUCAAACUCGGACUCAAAAUCAGUCUCAGUCUCGGACUCAGACUUGGUCUCGGUCUUGGUCUUGGUUCCACCUCGAACUCCAUCUCGGGUCCAUUUUAGACUCCAUCUCGGGUCCAUCUUGGACUCCAUCUCGGAUCCAUCUCAGACUCCAUCUCGGACUCCAUUUUGAACUCCAUCUGGGACUCCAUUUGAGACUCCAUCUCGGGUUUAUCUCGGACUCUGUCUCGAAUCCANNNNNNNNNNNNNNNNNNNNNNNNNNNNNNNNNNNNNNNNNNNNNNNNNNNNNNNNNNNNNNNNNNNNNNNNNNNNNNNNNNNNNNNNNNNNNNNNNNNNUUGUUGCUCGCUUCGUGCUCAUUCCUUAAGCACUUUGUUAAGAGUUCCACUCCCACUCUCAACUUUUUAAGUUGGAGUUUUUAGUCCAAAUGCGUUACUUUCGCUUCCGCCACUACCACAUGGCACCCUUUUGGCUCCACUUUGUGGCUUAGGGAUUUGUGUCUCACAGAAUGCUAAAACACCACUCGAUUGAGGAGGAAGUAUUUAACAACAAUUGUAGAGGCACUAGCAAGAGCACUAACUUCCACAUAGUGAGUCAAAUAGUUAGAAGCAAUAAUAACAUACUCAUUGCCAACAAUCAAUUGUAGAAAAGGUCUCAUAAGAUCAAAUGCCACCAACUCAAAUGGACGGGAAAUUGCAAUUGACUCCAACCAUCCUUCUGUACCAUGAGGGGGAGUAUUACAAGCUUGGCAAUAAAUGCAACUACGCACAUACCGGAUAAUAUCACGUCGCAUCUCCAGCCAAUAGAAAGACCUGUGCAACUUCUCGGUCACAUGACGAUGUCCCAUAUGCCGGCGUAGAAUAGAAGAAUCAUGGUAGGUAUGGAGAAACCGUGGAAUAAAGACAAAAGACACCAUUGGCCAUAAAAGAUCAUCAGGAUCCAACCCCACAAAUAAAGAAGGCUAUCGUUAAGGCGAUACUGAGAAUGUAAUGUAAACAACCAAAGGGAACGACUCAAGAGACGAUCCAAUUGUAAGCAACCAAAGGGAACUGUAAGCGACUAAUUUUUCCAUUCUACUUUAAUCACUUAACCACACCUUUGACCACUUGGAGGAGUCUCAUUCACAACCUCCUUAAGUCCAAUUCAAGACUUGGGGUUUGCUAGCCCCGAGGAUGGCAUCUAUGCCACUCAUCCCUUGCACUUGGUCUAAGUGCUCCACGUGUCCGGUCCCAAGACCGACACCUAAAGGUACCACUGACAUAUCGGCCCGUUAUGCUAAAGCCAUGCCCAUUCACCUUUGCCACACUAGUGGUCCAAUACCACUUGCAUCACAAUCCCGUCUCUCCAAGACUGGGCCAUUCGUCCACAAGUGGUCAACCCAAAUCCACUCCUUAGCAUCCUUAGGAUGCCUAUAGACAUGGGGAAUAGCCUUCCCCAAUAUCCCUUUGUUAGUUCCUACCAAGUCCCUUUUCUGUCCAUGGCCAUGUUCGCCAACACUGCCACUAGAUCAAGGCCCACAGGCCCGACCAUUAUGUCCCACGGUCUUUUGGGACUUCCUCACCACUCGAUUGUAUCCUUGGUCACUACACCAAAAGACUACUCCUCUUCCUUUCCACAGUUUGGGCCUUUGGGACAACAUUUCGGAACACCGUGGCCCUAUGCGGGCCUCAUGGGUACUCUCCCCACCUUCCGCCAUUGGGUGCUCUAGCCAUGGGCUUAGAGUGAGGUUCUAUUGAGCCACACCAGGUAUCCAAGUAGGUAGUGCCACCCACACUUGGACUGGGAGCAUCGGCCAGUCGAUCUCCCGGGGGAACUAGAGCCGGCUCUUGAACACUUCACCAAGCUACCCCGCUUGUCGGUCCGUAUUCACUCUAGUUUUGGACUUCCCAGUGGUCAGUUCAUCACCCAACACUGGGUCUGGCCUUCCUGGGCCAAACUGGCCUUCCCUGGCCAAAUUGGCUCCACUGCAGUCCUCCCCCCUUACUAUACUUUUGGAGCUCACCAAACCCCCUAGGGUCUGGGAGACGAACGCUUUGGGCUUUCACCCUCUCAGACUCGAACUCGGACUCGGACUCGGACUCAGGCUCGGGCUUGCGCUCGGUCUCGGCCUCGGAUUCGGACUCAGACUCGGGCUCGAGCUCGAGCUCGGUCUCGGCCUCGGCCUCAGCCUCGGUCUCGGUCUCAGUCUUGGUCCCGGUCUCCGUCUCGGUCUCAAUCCCGGUCUCGGUCCCGGUCUCGGUCUUGACCUCGGACUCCAUCUUGGGUCCUUGUCGGACUCCAUCUCGGACUCCAUCUCGGGUCCAUCUCAGACUCCAUCUCGGACUCCAUCUCGGGUCCACCUCGGACUCCAUCUCGGACUCCACCUCGGACUCCGUCUCGGGUCCACCUCGGACUCCAUCUCGGAUUCCAUCUCGGGUCCAUCUCGAACUCCAUCUCGGACUUCGUCUCGGUCCAUCUCGGAUUCCAUCUUAGACUCCCCCAUGUGUCAUAUGUUGGUCCUUUUGGGUCCCUUUUUGGAGCCUUGCUUAUUGCUCGCUUCAUGCUCGUUCCUUGAGCACUCCGUUGGGAGUUCCACUCCCGCUCUCGACCUUUCAAGUCAGAGCCUUUUAGUCCAAAUGUGUUACGCUCGUUUGGCUUUUGCUUCGGCCACUACCACGUGGCACUCUUUCGGCUCCACUUUGGGGCUUAGGGAUUUGUGUUUCACAGGAACGACUUGAGAGACGGUCCAUGGGGUUCAAAUAUAGAGGGAAAGGGCUCAUGAACAAGAGUGCACCCCCUUUUCCAAUCGAUUAAGGGUCUUGGGGUACUUGGGGUUAAGAGUCCUUGGGUUUAAAUAGUACUGGGCUGGGUGGCCUCCCGGUUUGUCCAAACUCAGGACUUUACACCAAUGGGGUUCAAAUAUAGAGGGAAAGGGCCUAUGAAUAAAAGUGCACCCCCUUUUCCAAUCGGUUAAGGGUCUUGGGAUACUUGGGGUUAAGCGUCCUUGGGUUUGAAUAGUACUAGGCUGGGUGACCUUCCGGGCUAGCACUUCCAAGUCGGAGCCAAUGACACAACGUUGAGCUCCUCCGGCGUCACUCUCUGGAAAGUCCAAACUCAGGAGCUUACAUUUGGUAUCAGAGCAGUCUUAGGUUCGACUCUGUUGGUUGGCUAAGUGAAUCACACCACAUGUUGAUUGACAUCUGGCUGGUCCAGUUUGCUCCCGCUAGGCUCGACCCGAGGGGUAGGGUAUCAAGAGAGCGGGGCUCUCGGGAGAGCUGCAGCUCGUAACAUGGUGGAUUGUAAGCAACCAGAGGGGUAGGGUAUCAAGAGAGCGGGGCUCUCGGGAGAGCUGCAGCUCGUAACAUGGUGGAUUGUAAGCAACCAGAGGGAACGACUCGAGAGACGAUCCAAUGGGGUUCAAAUAUAAAGGGAAAGGGCCCAUGAAUAAAAAUGCACCCCCUUUUCCAAUCAAUUAAGGGUCUUGGGAUACUUAGGGUUAAGCGUCCUUGGGUUUGAAUAGUACUGGGCUGGGUGACCUCCCGAAAAGUCCAAACUCAGGAGCUUAUAUGUAAAUGCUGAAAUGGCAAGUCAUCAGCAAGUGAUGCAGGAUUCUCAAACCCAUCUCGAAGCCUUCGAAUCCAUAGCUUAAGCUUUUGAGCCUUGCUUUUGAACCUCAUCAAGAGAAGGUAGAUCUUGUUUUACACCUUAUAGACAUUGAACAUUAAGUACAACAACUGCCACAAAAUCUUCAUAUAGAAAAUCUAUAUAUGCCAGAACAAUAGGCUCAUCAGAAAUAUGAGAAAAGAGUGGAAAAGGAAGAGGAACUUAAGAAAGAGCAUCAACAUCAGCCAUAGAACUCCCUAGAUGAUGAACAACAUCAAAAUCAUAUAUCUAAAACUUCAAAGCCCACUAAGUAAUAUGACUAACCAGGUUUUUUCACUUCAAUAAUAAAAUAACGGUAGCAUGAUCACACAUCCAAGAGCAUGAAGUUUCUCGAAACCCUAGACUACUGCUAAACACUCCUUCUCUAUAGUGGAGUAGUUCACCUCCACUGGUUGUAAUGUACAGCUUAUAUAUGCAAUAGGAUGGCACUAACCAAGCACACUCGGGCUCUCUUACAUCAACACACCUCCAAGACCAAUAUCAAAAGCAUUCACGCGCAAAAUAAAAGGUUGAGUGUAAUAAGGAUAUACCAAAACUAGAGGAGUUGUCAAGAGCUCUUUAAGAUCCACAAACGCCUGCUCACAAUCCGAAUAUCAGAUGAAAAAUGACAUUGAUGAUUUCAACAAUGCUUGCAACAGUUCAAUACUAUCAAAAAGAUGAUCCACAAAACAACCGAGAUACUACACCUUGCCCAGAAAGCACUACACACCAUUCACACAUUUCAGAGUAGGGAAUUUUAGAACUGCCACAAUUUUGUCAUAAUCAAUUUGCAAACCUUCACGAGAAAUAUGGUACCCAAGAUAAAUUGUAUCCUUGGACCCAAAUAUGCACUUCAACUACUUUAGUUUUAAACUAAUGUCCUGUAGUUGAUCCAACACUUUACAAAUAUCACAAAUGUGCUCCUUUCACAUCCCCUCCGAGUGGAUUAAGACAUCAUUAAUAAAGUUAGCAAUCACCUUUGGCAUAUCGCAAAGAACCUCAUCCAUCAUUCAUUAGAAAGUUGCUGGAGCAUUGUUCAUACUAAACGGCAUCACUAAGAAUUCAUACAAACCAAACAGUGUAUGAAAAGUAGUUUUAGGAAUAUUUUCUUCGACUAUCGAUACUUGUCAGUACCCAAAAGCAAGAUCUAGCUUGGUGAACUAACGACUUCACCCCAAAUGAUCCAAACGAUCAGCAAUGUGAAGAAAAGGGUACAUAUCUGGGAUUGUCACUUUAUUUAAUAAACGAUAGUCAAUGCAGAACGAAUACUCCCAUCAAGCUUCGUCACAACAUGAGGUUCAUAAGCCCAAGGACUCCGUAACUUCCAAAUAACACCCUUCUUUAACAUCUCCUUGACGUUUGCAUGUAAAAUCUUGAUCUCUUUGGGUGAUCGAUGAUGAAUAGGAACCUUGAUUGGACGAGCAUCCCCAGUUGGAAUCAAAUGACGUGUGGCAAUUUUGACCCCAGACGAUAAGUCAAAUUCAAAGAGAUCAUAAUACUCCUUCAUAAGCUGAUCAACUACUGUAGCACAAAGGUUGUCAAAGGGAUUAGAAAAGGGAAAAGCAAAAUAAGAUGGAAAUAUAAGAGGAAAUAGUGGGGGGACAAAAGUAAUAGAGGUAGAGGUAAAAAUAGAGGGACGAAAAGGUACAGAAGUGAGAGGGAUGGAUGAAAUAUAAAGAAGUAUGAGACAAGGGGGAAAAGUCUCAAAGUCACACUUUAAGUAACAAUAAAAAUGUGUGGGUAAAACAACAUAUUUUUUGAGUAUAUAUGCUCUAUAUGUGACAUAAUCUUAGAUUGGAAUAGUGCCAAGGUGUGGCAUGCCUCUUGAUCAGUAUAUUUGGCUAGAUGAUAUAUUCUAGCUAUCCUUAAAUCAUCCUUUUUUAUUGUAGCUGCUGCAUAUCUCUUCAAUCUUUGGUGAAGAUUGCGGUAAUUGGAGGCACUUGAGCUUACAGAUUGCAUUGGGGUGUUCAACCUACAUGCUCAUUCCACCAUUUUUGGCAAUCUUGCACUAUUGAGUGUUAAUUGAUCAUGUCAAAAUUGAACGAGCCGAAAAUGUAUUUAUCUCCAAAGUCCCUCUUCUAGCUUUUACAAACUCAAAGUUUGAUAGAACCUAAUCUGUGGUCAAAAUGGAAGACAAGAACUCUGGAGCAUAUAUAGUAGGAUUAUAUACGCUACAAGAAAAGUGGUAAAUGCUUCAUCGUCUCUUCUCACUGGUAGGCUCUUGACAUCUCUUGGGCAAUCCAGCACACCCGAUUGAUCACACAGCAGUAGGGAUCAUCUCAGCCAUUGGGAGGUAUUAUCCAUUUAAAAUUAAUUAAUUUAUAAUAAUUUUCUGUUAUUAGAUCUGUGCGCUGCUCUAGAUCAUCCACAGCCUGUUCUAGAGGCUUGAUUGAAUCGGUAAGUAGUGCCAUCUUACCGAUGUUUUCCUGGAGACUGAAGAUAGAGCUUUGAUUUGUCACAAGGAAGUGCGCACUAAACGGUGGUCAUUUCAGGACUUUAUUAACUGUUUCUUCAUAUCGCUCCUAUUUAAAGGCGCUUUCAAAGAACACGUUGUAGCCAAAAUUUGCAAAACAAUCCCCGAGAGGAAACUUAGAGGAGCUAGCUGCAGCGCUUUUGACGUCCACUCCCAUGGCCAGCACCAGCAACAUGGCGAGAACCGAAAACAACACCAAGCAAGCCUAUGAUCAACGAACUCUAGUAUAUUCGAGAGAAGUGAUUUGAUCUGUGAGGCCGCUCGUAUUUAUAGCUCGAGGCAGCAUACAAUGCCAGAGUGGUGCCUCUUGGGAACUUUGUCCUUUGAAAGUUAUUCAAGGAAGUCGUUCCGUAUUUGUCAAUUCCUUUUCUUUUCUAUAAUGCUGGGACAUAGAACAACACACGAAAUGAAGCUGUGAAUCCAGAUGAGUAAAGACAACACUCUAGUUUUUUCACCAUUGCUAUAGAUUUCACUGCCACUGAAAAGAACAAAAAUCCAAUAAAUAGUUGGAUCUUGACGAUCUCUGGAAGAGAAGUGUGUGUCAUUUCAUUUUCGAUUGUGUUUUAUAUACGUGGUUGGUGUAUGUAAUUGCUAGACUUUGUCUUGGGAAAGAGAUCAGAUUUGUUGAAAAACUUGUCUCCACUAAAAUAUAUAUCAUUUUAGUCAAUAUUAUAUAAUAUAAUUUUGAGCCCAGAUAGAUUGACUUGGCUUUCUUUCUAUUUUAUCUGUCAUGUUCUAAAUUAUCCUGUCAUUCUGGUUCAAGUUUUUUGACUGAAUAUGUCACGUUUCUAUAUAUUAAAAGUCCAUACAUUGUGAACGCUACACUGCAACAACAACUCUCCAGAAAACGCACCAUAUUUAUCAUUGACAGUUUCAGACCCAGGGCAUCAAAGACGAAUAGACUCCAAAACAUCUUCGUUCACUCUUAUUCUACAUAUAUCUCAUCCAGGCUGUCAACCCAACUUUUCAUGAUUCGAAAUUCGCUCCCGUGGUUCUUUGAGGCCCGAGGCUCGCGAACUUUGGCAAUUCUUCAGCAGAUGCAGCGGCUGCCAUUCCAGCGCCACCCUCGAUGGCAGCUGUUGUCAUACCCGUACCAAUUGCAUUGCACGCAGCGAAAUCCAUUCCAGUACCAAGCGCUGCGCCAUCGCCUUGGUGAUGCCGCCGACCUCCAUUCCCACCGCUAGGUGUGCCUGGGCCUGGUUUUGAUGCUCCAAUCGAGUCUUAUUGCUUGCCGAUCAUUGGAGGAAUCGAUUGGAAGUCGUGGGAUUUGGAGAAGAGCGGAGAAGGACCAAGGACAGAUUCAGACAUUUUAUAUCAAGGCUUGGACAAUUUAUAUUCUAUUGCUGGAACUCAUGCAAUACUAUGCAACAUCGCACGAUACAGAAAACACGUUAUCAUUGUCUUUAUUCUUGUUUCCAGACCCUUGGCACUGCAGGAUGAUUAAAUCAAAGGCAAUUAUGAUGCUGAUUCUUAACUUGGGCUUACCCCGUGAAACGAGAGGUUUCAGUUGCGCGAGCAGCGAUUGUUGCGCCAGCUCCAACCCUUCUGGCAACGGUGGCAACCGUUGUCAUACCAAUACCACCCCGACUGGCAGCGCUGGGCAGCAGCCUUUGCGAGUCCUCCCACGUCCACGCCCAUGGCCAGCAUCAUCACAAAUAUGGCGAGCGCCAAAAACAACACGAAGAAAGCCUUGUUCUCCAUGAUUUGCUGCUAGCGAAGUAAGCUUGUUAGAAGUGGUUUGAUUUAGGCUCAUUUUUAUAGCUCGAGCCAGCACAGAGACGGAGUCCUUAUCUAUUUUGGUUCCGUGUUUGAGAAUUUCUUCUCUUUUUUAUAAUGCUGGGAUCCACAUAAAAUCUCUAUUAAGUUCCACAAAAUCGCCAACAAGCCCUGCAUUUGCCACGUGUGUGCCAUAUCAUCAGUUAAAUAUGGAACGGUUCCGAUUAUUUUAGAUCGACGGCUUUGAUUUAAGUAUAACGACAGCCCAGAUUGUAUACAGUGGACGGCUCAGAUUGUAUAUAAAGGAACGGUCCAGAAUGUUUUAAAUGCACGGUCUAGAUUGUGACUAGCUUUCCAGAAUAUACUAUUCUUCUAUUUAUACGAAAAGGAUAUAUUUACCAUUCGUUUACCGUACGCAUCAGAAGUACUUAACUUUCAGACAGUUUAAUGCCCAGCGAGCUUGGCUGAAAUACUGCGACUUUCUCUGGUAAGCUUCAUCUCUGACUAUGGCUCGCACGCCACCUCCACCUCACCGGGAGCAUGCGAGGAGGAUGCCGCCGCCCAAACCAUCGUCAAAGAGGACGCCGACAACUUCAUCUCCCCCAAGAGGUCUCCACCGGCACCAGCCAAGAGGCACAGUCAUUCACCACUAAAGCCCACAGAGGGACAUCACUCACCAACAAAGCCAGAGCACCAUGGAGCUGUACAUCCACCAUCUUCCUGCCGGCAUUCAACUGCGAUGAUGGUCGAGGCUCCACUUUGGUAAUGAGGUGCUCCUGGCUGCUGCUGCUGCCGCUGUUGCCACCGCCAGGCUGAUGGCCAUACUCCACCAGGAUGAUGUCGCCGUGCACCUUGUUCCUUCUCUGCUUCAAGAGUAUCCAGACUCCAGUGACGAUGGCUACCAGUGCGAGCAGGAGCAUAACGAUGCCUGCCACGAGCACACCAGGUGAUGCCACAAAUGCAGCUGCUGCUGAAGAUGGUGCUGACGGCGCAGUAGGCGGAGAGGUGCCCAAGCCAAGGGGCCUUGUUAUGGUCGAAGGUGGUGGCGAUGGCGGCCCGGCCCUCCUUGGUCGCCAGGUUACAGUGUUGGCCUUGUUGGGCGGCGAAGAAGAAGGUGGCGGCCCUGUAGCAGCUCCAUCAUCAGCCCGUCGAUGUCCAUGGUGCCUCUUUGGCUCAGCUGCUGGAUGUUCCUUGGUGGGCGGAGAGCUCGGUGGUGGAUGUCCAGCUCCAUGAUGCUCAGGAGAACUCAGUGGUGGCUUUGCUGGUGAGUGAUGUCCCUCUGUGGGCUUUGCUGGUGAAUGACUGUGCCUCUUGGCUGGUGCCGGUGGAUACCUCUUUGGUGGCGGAGAUGAAGUUGUCAGUGCCGUCUUUGGUGAUGGUUUGGGCGGCGGCGUCCUCUUUGUGUGCUUCAGUGAGGUGGCAUGGGCGGGGGCGUGGAGAUUUUGCGAGCCAUAGUCAGAGAUCAAGCUUACGAAAAAGUCGCAGUAUUUCAGCUCAAGCUUGCUUGCUUACCAUCGUGCUCAAGUUACUUCCCCUUUUUUAGGGCAUUAAAGUGUCUGAAAGCUAAGUACGGUAAACGAAAUCCUUUUCGUACAAAUAGAAGAAUAGUAUAUUCUUAAAUCUAUAAGAUCUGAGAACUUGAAAUCUGGGCCGUCUAUUGGACAGUCAUUCAUGUACAAUCUAGACCGUGCAUUUAAAACAUUCUGGACCGUUUAUUUAUAUACAAUCUGAGCCGCCCACGGUGUAAAAUCUGGGCUGUCGUAUUAAUUAAAUCAAAGCCGUCGAUCUAACAUGAUCUGAACCGUCCCAUAUUUAACUGAUGAUAUUGCAGGCUAAUGCAAAGUGGUGUGUCUUUACAAGAACAUGUGUGCUUUCAAACACUACUUAGGAUUGUUUUCAUCUUUUCGAGCUAAACUCCAUGGCUUUCUCUAUCUGCAAGCUUGUAGUACGAACUUGUGAAGUUUUAGCAACGAAUGAUUCUCAUUUGAAGGGUUGGAGAGAUUUAUGAGUAUUAUAGAAAGAGAAGAAAAUUUCAAACACAGAAGCAAAAUAGAUAACGACUAAGCAAUGCCGUCCCACAACAACUCUCUAGCAUUGUGUGCUGGCUCGAGCUAUAAAUACAAGCCCCUCCCAUCUCACAAAUCAAACCACUUCUCUCUAAUAUAACAAGCUUACUUCUCUAGCAGCAAAUCAUGGAGAACAAGGCUUUCUUCGUGUUGUUUUUGGCACUCGCCAUAUUUGUGAUGAUGCUGGCCAUGGGCGUGGACGUGGGAGGACUCGCAAAGGCUGCUGCCCAGCGCUGCCAGUCAGGAUGGUAUUGGUAUGACAACAGUUGCCACCGUUGCCAGAAGGGUAUGAGCUGGCGCAACAAUCGCUGCUCGCGCAACUGAAACCUCUCGUUUCACGGGGUAAGCCCAAGUUAAGAAUCAGCAUCAUAAUUGCCUUUGAUUUUAUCAUCCUGCAGUGGGUCUGGAAACAAGAAUAAAGACAAUGAUAACGUGUUUUCUGUAUCGUGCAAUGUUGCAUAGUAUUGCAUGAGUUCCAGCAAUAAAAUAUAAAUUGUCCAAGCCUUGAUAUAAAAUGUCUGAAUCUGUCCUUGGUCCUUCUCCUCUCUUCUCCAAAUCCCACGACUUCCAAUCAAUUCCUCCAAUGAUCGGCAAGCAAUAAGACUCGAUUGGAGCAUCAAAACCAGGCCCAGGCACACCUAGCAGUGGGAAUGGAGGUCGGCAGCAUCACCAAGGCGAUGGCUCAGCGCAUGGUACUGGAAUGGAUUUCGCUGCGUGCAAUGCAAUAAUGAAAUUUGUGACCUAUAGUUUAUCCUUUACUUUUACUAUUUAGUGAUAAAGGUUGGCAUGAAAAAAUCUACCAUAAUAAGUUGUACGUACUACUUCAGUAUUAUAUAUAUUAAUUAUCUCAAUGAGAUAACAUUAACAAUGUUUUCCUUUAUGAUCAAUUACUACAUAUUGGGAAGUUCAUUCAAUAAUUUAUAGUUGAUGUUUAUGCAAAGGUUGAGUCUAACAAUUUUUAUUUCUUUCACACUCAUAAAAAACACUUAAAAAUGGAUUACUAUAUGAGUCUUAUGGAUUAUGUUAGCAAUAGAGCUGCUACUAAUAAUGUUGAGUCUGGAAAAAUUAUAAUUUUGCCUUUUACAUUUCUUAAUAUCCCACGAGCAAUGCAACAACAUUAUCAAGAUGCUAUUGCUAUUGUCACACAUUCUUGAACUUAUUCAUUACAUUUAUAUACAACCUUAAAAUUGUGUAAAAUUUAUAGCCAAAUGAAUCAUCUAAGGAUUAACCAAAUCUUAUUUCAAGAGUUUUCCAACUUAAUUCUUAUAUAACAUAAGUAUCAAAUGAAUUUUUAGAAAAUGCAUUACAUAUGUUUAUGUUAUUAAAUUCUAGAAAGAGGUCAGCCUCAUUGUCAUUUUUUAGCAAUAUUCGUCUGGGUUAUUGUUUAACUAUUUCUAAAGCCAAAGGCCAAACUUUUGACCAUGUUGGCCCUUAUCUCCCCCAAACUAUUUUCACACAUAGUCAACUUUAUGUUGCUCUCUCAAUAUGUAGAUUAUAUGAACAACUUUGUGUUCAAGUGCUCGUAAGCCCCUUUCAAUGCAAUCUUAUACCACAUGAUCAACACUUUCACACUCUAAAUACAAUUUAUGGUGAGAUUCUUAUAAUUACAUGGCAUAAUUCCAAAUCCAAUUAUAAUUCUACAAAGCUAUCUACUCAACCACCCUUGACCUGCAAUUGCAAGUUUCAAAUCCAUGGCACAGGAAAGUUAGCAUUGACUGGUGUGCAUUGAGUGGUGUGCCAUUUUAGUUAUGGUAACGUGCUAUCAAGGUCCUAUUGCUUCUUGGGUGCAACUAUCAUUGCAGUGUAAUGGUUUCCAGCUCAUCCUAGGAGGAUUCUCCUGCUCUGUGGGUGGGCUGUGGAGCAAGUGGCAACAAUUAAGCCAAAGAUGGACUUAGAAGCAUUCUUUUGCCUUUUUAUGUUUAGAAUUGAGGAAUGCAACUCAACAUUGAUCUGAUUUGGCUUAUGAAAUCUGGAUUUGAGAAGUUUAGACAACAAUCAAGUACACUAAGUCCAUUACUGUUUUAUGAUUACAACUAACUUGUGGGGCAUGAUGCAGGGGCUGAGCAAUAACCACAGCCACCACAAUUUAGUUUUUCUGAAAUGUCUAGCACUUUAACACACACUAAGUUAUCAUUAAGACAUUUUUGGUCAAGAGAAUGCCUUUCAAUUGUGGAGUUGAUCAAGUAGCAAACAUAUCUAAACUCAGUAAACCUCUUGAAAUAGCAUGAAAUCUGCCAACCACCCAGCAUUUGCUGGGCAAUUGCUAGUAAUAUAAUAUAUAUUUUUGUCAAUGAAAGUUGUGGACACUCUGCCAUCUUAGUCUCGACAUGGAACUUGGAAAAGCAACCAGAUGGAAAUAUGACACAGUAGUGGAGACAAGUUUUUCAACGAAUCUGAUCUCUUUCCCAAGACAAAGUCUAACAUAUAUAAAACAUGAUUGAAAAUGAAAUUAAACACACACUUCUCUUCUAAAGAUCGUCAAGAUCCAACUAUUUAUUUGAAUUUUGUUCUUUUCAGUGGCAGUGAAAUCUUUAGCAGUGGCGCAUGGUGAUGCAUGAGUUCAUAUAUUAUAUAAACUGUGAAAAAACUAAAAUGCUGUCUUUACUCAUCUGGAUUCACAGCUUCAUUUCGCUCUGUCCCAGCAUUAUAGAAAAGAAAAGGAAACGACUUCCUCGACUACCUUUCAAAGGACAAAGUGAUGCCGUCCCAAGAGGCGCCACUCUAGCAUUGUAUGCUGCCUAGAUUACGUCAGGAGCUAUAAAUACGAGAAAUCACUUCUGUCGAAUAUACUAGAGUUCGUUGAACUCUUCGUUUCAUGGAGAACAAGGCUUGCCUGGUGUUGUUUUCGGUUCUCGCCAUGUUGCUGAUGCUGCCAUGGGAGUGGACGUGAGAGGAAUCGCAAAGGCUGCUGCCCAACGCUGCCAGUCCGAUAGUUGCCACCGAUGCCCUCGGCGCUGGUUACAACGUGUUCUUUGAAAGUAUGAAGUUAACGGAUUAUGGAUAAAGUCGGUGAAAUGUUUAGUCGAACCUCAUGCACAAUGGAAACGCAUUGACAAAUCAAAGCUCUAUCUUGUCAGUCUCCAGGAAAACACCGGUAAGAUGAUAGGAAUCACUACCACGCAGACGUACCGAUUCAAGCCUCUAGAACAGGCCGUGGACGAUCUAGAGCAGCGCGCAUCGUCGCUCAAGGACGACUACGUGCAAUUCCUUACAGCUUGCAUCGAUUUGCGUCAAGGUGCCAGGCUCCACGCGCUCAUCCUUGGGAGCAGCCACCACCAAUCCAACAGGUACCUCGCAAAUCUUCUCAUCCAACUCUAUGGAACGUGCGAGCGCGCGGAUCGAGCAUGGCAGGUGUUUAUCAGCAUCCACGAGCCCAACAGAUUCUCCUGGAACUUUCUGCUUGGCGCUUAUGCCCAAAGUGGGUAUCUUGAGAAAGAAAAAGAGCUGUUUGAUCAGAUGCCACAAAGGGAUAUUGUUGCUUGGAUGAUUUUUAUGACGGCUCGUGCAAACCGUGGAAACUUGGAGGAAUGCCGAGCAUUGUUUGAUCAGGUUCCAGAAUGGGAUGUAGUUUUCUGGCGGGCAUAUGGAUCAAGCAAGCCAGAUCUUUGAUGGAAUGCUAGAACACAACAGAGUUUCUUGGGCUGUUAUGGUUACUGGGUAUGCAAAAAAAGGUCUUGUUAACGACGCGCUAAUUUUGUUUAUGAGAAUCCCCGAAACCAACUGUUCAUAUGCCCAGCUUGAGCAAAAUGAAAAAGCCAAGGAGCUUUUCAGUAAAUGCCACACCGCGACUUAAUCUCGUGGAACGCAAUGCUAUCGGCAACGUCCAGCCUGCAAGAAGCUGUUUGAUGCCAUGCCACAGAAGAACGUUGCAUCGUGGUCGACAAUGAUCAAAGCACUGGCCGAGAGAAACCAGCUCGAAGAAGCUCGCAUUCUCUUCGAUCGACCUCCCUAUCACGACGACGUGGUGUGGCCUGACAUGAUCUUGGCCUACUCCAACCACGGCCACCUUGAAGAAGCCAUGAAAAUGUUUGCACGGAUGCCACAGUGCGAUUUCGUCCCUUAGACGGCAAUGGUGGCGGCAAUUGCUUUGCACGGGAGCUUGAUCGAUACCAGAGUCUUGUUCGACCAAAUGCCACAGCACGAUAGCGUCGUACAUCCAGAGCAAUUGCCCUCGUUCAAGCGCAGGAGCCGAGAGACACAGCGAGCUGGAUUGCCGUGAGCGCUCAAAGGGGGAAUCUCUUGCAGGCCGGGAAGAUCUUCUCCACGUUGCCUGAUCAGAGCAUUGUGUCGUGCGUACAGAAUGGCCAUGAGCGAAAAAUCCGCUGAGUUUUGUGGCACCAUGGAGCUUCCCACCGUGAUUGCAAGUCAGGAGAAUCGCCUGGAAACUUAUCUCGUUUCUCGCCUCGCCCUCCAUCGCCGUGUGGCCUAGUACAGCAUUUCUCCAAAUGUGAUUCACUUCCAGACGAUGGCAGAUGUGCUGGGACGAGCCGGGCUGGUUGCCGAGGCCGAAGGUUUGCUGCUGGUGAUGCCCUUCCAGCCGCAUUUCCUCGCAUGCGGUUUUAGGUUUUAGCGCUUGCAAAGUUCAUGGUAGCGGCAACAACAUCGAUGCUGCAGCUCGUGCCGCAGAGAAAAUCUUGGAGAUAGAACCAGGGGACUCGGCGCUGUACGUGCUCAUGUCGAAUCUGCAAAAGCAGGAUUCCACAGAAAGCUUGCCUUCCAACGUUCAUGCGUGGCCUUGCAACAGCUCGGUUUUUCAAGAUCUGGGACAGCACAAUGCACAAGAAGAGGAAAAAAUAAGAAACAUAAACAUAAAAUUUGACCAUUAGCUUGUGCACAAGCGUAACUUUAAGAAGAUUUAAUUAGUAACAGAAAAGUAAUUAUAAAAUAGUUUUAAAUUUACCACUUUCAUUGAUGCUCUCCCAUGCUGACCACUUUCUGGUCUUGAGGGUCUUGUUGCUGAUCACUACUGCUGCAUGAUCAAUCUGUUUGGGUGUGCUAGAUUGCCCAAGAGAUUGUCAAGAACGAUGUGGCAUUUACCACUUUUCUUGGAGUCCGUGGUUGUCAAUUUUUAACACUUGAUAGUGCAAGAUUGCCGAAGAGAAUGACCGUGUAUGUCCUGAUCUGCAAAUGUAAGCUCUGUUACCUCCAAUGACCAGAAUCUUCAUUGAAGAGAUCUGCAAAAGCUACAACAGACAAGGAUGGCUCAAAUAUAGUCAUACAUGCCUACACCUGGAUGAGUGAGGUGGCACUACUGCCACCUAGGAUCAUGUCAUAGAGAGCGUAUAUACUCGUAUGCUCAUUGUCCCACCCUUGAACACAGCCAAGAAUGUCAAGAACAAACCGGUUGUGAUGUUGGUGUUGGUGGAAUCGUCGCUGAUGUACGUCCCUUUGGCUCUUCCCACAAUCUGGGAGUCAUGCGAGGGAGAACAUCUUCAAUGACAAGCACCACUCCAAAAUAACCAUUCUGGGGGUCUGCGACCAAAACCACCAUGGAAUUUGAUUUGAGUUGCAUGAGAAAAACCAACUGAGCGCCAUAGGAUUUCUGGUUAAUCAAUAAUAUAGUUUAGAUUCUAAAAAUUAAAAAAAAUAGAUUAUAUCGAUUCCUAAACUUUUGCACCCCGAUUAAAAGUGAGGAAGGCAACAGGACCUUCCUGUGACUUACUCAAGCCCAUAGAAGGGACUGAAGAGAAAGCCAGAUAAAUGACGUAUUUGUUUUUCACUUGUUCUUAUGUUUUGUCUCUUGCAGUGCCUGCAAUCAAAGAGUAGCAUCUAGACAAAUUGGUUUCCAAGAAACGUACCUCGUCAAGUUCCCUGUCUCUCUCAGAGGUGGAAGAAUUCACCAGGAUACAGAAAGGCUCGUACCUGGUCGGCGUUUUCACCUGUCAGAGGAGGGUGCCCCGGAGCAGAUGGCUCCACCUCCAAAUCACUCUUGACCCGCUUGGGAUCAUUGGCUGUCAACUUCCAGACGAGGUUCUCGUCGCUCAUGAUCUGGGGGCUGUUCUCCACAUCGCGCUUCCUGAUCGAUUCAGCUUCGUCAGUCCAUAUUGUCAGCUCAAGUGCAGAGACUACUAACCUGUGGGAAAAAGGCCGGAUGCGGGGCUCCAUCAUGAUGAACUUCUGCAUUUGUUUCUCCAUCUCAGCCCGCUUCUUUGCCAGUGCUGCGACAUCUCCAGGAUCGAACACGGUGCCAGAACGAUCCGCCACCUUUCGUCCUUGUUCCCGUCCAUGAAACUGCUCUGGAACCCCGUCGCGUCGAGAUGAUAGGCGCACUGGGAGCUCGUUUGCAGCCAUUUUCUCGCCUGCUGGAUGAUGAGAGUAGCCACCAGUCGAGAAGAGUGGAUCAUCCUCCGGAGUGGCUGAGAACAGCCUUGGCUUGUCGUCAACUUCAUGCGCAGGAAAGACGACGAGAGGAUCCUCCAUCAUGACGUUUCCGCACUGGAUCAGCAGCACGAAAGAGUGGAUCCACUGCGAGCUUGUUUCCGGACGCAGACUUGUGGCGAGCACCAGCGGGAAGAGCAGACGGUCGUAGUCGCCUUGGUGGCCUCGGGAGCUCGUGAAUUCGGGGAUCAGCAGCUGCCUUCUUCCUACCGGCAUUCAACUGCGAAGAUGGUCGAGGCAAUACUUUGGUCAGGGGAACAUUAAUGAGGUGCUCCUGGUGGCUGCUGCUGCUGCGGCUGUUGCCACUGCCAGGCUGAUGGCCAUACUCCACCAAGAUGUCAUCGUGCACCUUGUUCCUUCUCCGCUUCAAGAGUAUUCAGACUCCAGUGACGACGGCUACCAGCGCGAGCAGGAGCAUAACGAUGCCUGCCGCGAGCACACCAGGUGAUGCCACGAAUGCUGCUGCUGCUGAAGAUGGUGCUGACGACGCAGUAGGCGGAGAGGUGCCCAAGCCAAGGGGCCUUGUUAUGGUCGAAGGGCGGCGAUGGCGGCCUUGGGUUCCACGUUAUGCUCGAAGGUGGUGGCGAUGGCGGCCCGGCCAUCCUUGGUCGCCAGGUUACAGUGUCGGCCUUGUUGGGCGCUGAAGAAAAAGGUGGUGGCCCUGUAACAUCUCCAUCACCAGCUCGUCGAUGUCCAUGGUGUCUCUUUGUGGGCGGAUGGCUCGGUGGUGGAUGUCCAGCUCCAUGAUGUUCUGGAGAACUCGCUGGUGGAUGUCCAUCUCCAUGAUGCUCAGGACUCGCUGGUGGCAUUGCCGGUGAGUGGUGUCCCUCUGUGGCACAGAAAGUAUCCGGCUACCAUCGCUUGCACAGACGCCUCCUCCACAUCCUGAUCACUGACCAGUGGUGAAUGACUGCUGGCACCGGUGGAGUGGUGGCGGAGAUGAAGUUGUCGGCGCCCUCUUUGGCGAUGGUUUGGGCGGCGGCGUCCUCCUCGCGUGCUCCCGGUGAGGCGGCGGGGGCGGUGGCGUCAUAGUCAGAGAUCAAGCUUACCAGAGAAAGUCGCAGUAUUUCAGCUCAAGCUCGCUUCCUUUUUUAGGGCAUUUAAGUUUCUACGAAAGGCUAGGUUAGCCGGCGGGAUUAGGGCAUUAGGGGGCGAUGGGGUACAAGAACAAGGAGAAGCAGAAGAGACCGCAGCCGCCGGCACCUCCGACGCGUCCACCGGUUAGCCCUGUGUCUCUGACCAUCCUCUACUACGAGCUUCGCAAGGACUGGCCGGUGCCCCCGAGUCGAAGAUGGACGAUCUAUGCAACGACAAUGGUUUCGUGGCUGACGUGGACGCGUGGCUCAACACCCUAGGUCUCUCGGAAGAGGUUGGCGUGGAGCGAAACCUUCAUCCUCAUGGUAAGGGAGGCUGGGCCGUGCGUUAAGUUCAUAGAACAGGGCUGCUUUGUUGCGUACUGCCCUAAUGCCAAUAGCAAAGAUCACACUGGAUUGCUGUACCGGCAGGCGCUGCGUUUCCAGAACUAUGCGAAGGCCAUGUUGCUCGCGGAAGAGGCAGCGCAGGCAGUGCAAGAAAGGCAAGAUGAAGGGGGAGGCAGCGGUAGAGGUGGCGGCACAGGCAGCGCAGGUGGAGGAGGAGAAGAAAGGGAAGAUGAAGGAGGCAGCGGUAGAGAUGGCAGCUGAGUCUAGUGGUAGCAAGUUUGUGACAACACUCGUAUUCCAAAGCAGCAAUCUUCACGUCCAAAGCAGCAAUCUUCACAUUCAAAGCAGUGAUCUAACUUGGUGCAGCGGGAGCAGAUUGCUGCUUCGGAUGUGAAGAUCGCUGCUUGGGAAGACGAGAAGUCGGUGCAGCGGGAGCAGAUCACUGCUUUGAUAGAGGAGAACUUGGAGCAGCGGCAGCAGAUCGCUGACUUGAAAGAUCAGAUCACUUCACUAAACCGGGAGAAGGCUUCGAUGCGGUCGACCUUGAGUUCGCUCAAAGCCCUGUUCAAGAGGAAGCUACUGGAGUCAUUCAGAGUGAAAGUCGCGCGCAUGUUCCCAGAAGCAGUCUGGAACGGGAGCGUCCCUGAGAUUCGAUGGUGGCGUACCUUCAUCCAAGACCCCAGGAGCAUUGCAGCUCUCUCUUCGGCAUCGGGAAUCGCUUUUGACAUGCCCGACGCUUGCACUGACGAGCUACGACCACGGCUCAGCUCAAUCCAGCAAGCGGGAGGAGUGGCUGCACAUGUCAUCACCGAAGAACCCGAGGUCUAUGCCACUCUGGUCUGUCAGUACGCUGGCGCUUCGCUGGAGAGGAUGAAGAAGAUCUAUCGGCUGGUCUUCGGGCGUGACGCUGCCCAGGAUGCCUUUGGGGACGUGGGGUGCUGCAAGUGUCCAGUCCAUUGUCCGGAGGUGGAGUAAGUAUAUCUUCCUCUGCAAAAGUUCUAUUGGUUGUUUCUCUUAUGCAGGGCGUAAAAACGGGGCAGUCUCCUUCCAGAAGACAAGCCAAGGAUUUUGUUUGCCUCUUUUAUUUUGUUUCUUGUCUUUUCUUUUGUUUUCGCAUACAACGUCUCAAGCUCAAAGGCUCCUUCCAGAAGAUAAAGAACGAGUAGAUAGAAGCAAUAUUACAUACCCGACCUGUAUUUGGCUUUUAUCCAAAAUAGUAAAUGCGGCUUCCAUAAGUAUGGGGUAUUUGCAAAGCUCUGGGAUGCUUUUACAAGUUUUGUUAACCAAAUACAGGUUAUUUGCUGCAUUGUAUGGAUGCUGGUUCCAGUCGCAUUGUCUCCGAGUCUUGGCGAUUUUGUGGAACUUAAUGAUCCUCAUUUGAAGGGCUGGAGAGAUUUUAUGAGCAUUAUAGAAAAAGAAGAAAAUUUCAAACGCGGAACCAAAAUAUCAUAUUGGCCAACUCCAACCACGGCCACCUCGAAGAAGCCAUGAAGAUGUUUGCAUGGAUGCCACAGAGCGAUCUCGUCGCUUAGACGGCAAUGGUGGCGGCAAUUGCUUUGCACGGGAUCUUGAGUCUUGUUGGACCAAAUGCCACAGCACGAUAGCGUCGCGUGAAACACGCUUAGAUCCAGAGCAAUUGCCCUCGUCCAAGCGCGGGAGCUGAGAGACACAGCGAGCUGGAUUGCCGCUCAAAGGGGGAAUCUCUUGCAGGCCGGGAAGAUCUUAUCCACGUUGCCUGAUCAGAGCAUUGUGUCGUGGAACGCGAUGAUCCCUGGUUGCGCACAGAAUGGCCAUGAGCGAAAAGCCGCUGAGUUUUUUGGCAGCAUGGAGCUUCCCACCGUGAUUACAAGUCAGGAGAAUCGCCUGGAAACUUAUCUCGUUUCUCGCCUCGCCCUCCAUCGCCGUGUGGCACUCGACUACUUUCGAUAUGGUGGCCUAGUACAGCAUUUCUCCAAAAGUGAGUCACUUCCAGGCGAUGGCAGAUGUGCUGGGACGAGCCGGGCUGGUUGCCGAGGCCGAAGGUCUGCUGCUGGUGAUGCCCUUCCAGCCGCAUUUCCUCGCGUGGAAGAGCUUGAUCAGCGCUUGCAAAGUUCAUGGUAGCGGCAAGAACAUCGAUGCGGCAGCUCGUGCCGCAGAGAAACUCUUGGAGAUGGAAUUGGCGCUCUACGUGCUCAUGUCGAAUCCGCAAAAGCAGGAUUCAAGGUUGCCUUCCAACGUUCAAGUGCGGCCUUCUAGGUUUUUCAAGAUUUGCACGCUGCACCCUAGGAAGAAAAAAACAUAAACACAAAAUUUGAAAUUCGUUCAUUAGCUUGUGGGAAGAAUUGCGAUUACUGCAAUUUCGGUUAACUUUCUAGCAUCUAAAAAUGUAACAUAAUACAAACAGAAAAAUAAUUAUUAAUUAAUUAAUUUUAAAUGGAUAAAUGAAGCAUAAACCAUUUUCUGAUCCCAUUGCUGAUCACUACUGAUGCAUGAAUCUAUUUGGGCAUGUUAGAUUACUCAAUAGAUUGUCAAAAGCCUACCAAUGUAGCAUUUAUUUAUAUGCUUUAGAGUUCUUAUCUUCCAUAAAUCAAACUUUCAAAUAGUUUAAUUAUGUGCAGAUUAUUUACCACAGAAAGUAUUGUGAUAAUAAUAAGAUUCCCUAUUAUGGUCAACUUGAUCUGACUAAAGAAAAAUCACUAUUUAAUUAAAAAAAUUUGGUAGAUAUUCAAAAUUAGGUGAUUCAUAUGAUUUAAUGGGAUUUUAUAUCAAAAUAAAGUUAUAAUAAAUAUAUACAAAUUGUGGAAAAAAACAAAUCAAUUGAUAAACUUCUUUAUUAAAAUAGUUUUUUGGCUAUGCAGAAUAUCAACAAUUUGCAUAAAAAGUAUUUUUUGUCAACUUAUUGACUAUACAAGAAUGAUGCAUAAAGUGUAUGUAUAUAGAAAAACACAAAUCACAUGAAAGUAUUUUUUGGUGAACAAAAUAAAGAUUAUUUUACUAUUAGGAUUUAGACAAUUUAGUAACUAUAAUAUAUGGUGAAAUUUACAAAUAAUAAUUUGUUGACUCUUGAUGUAAUUUUUGGAACUAAAAACUAUAGAGUAAAGUUUUCAUUUAUUUUAAAGUGAAUAAUUUUUGAUAAUUUAUAGUUCCUAUUGUACACCAUGUUUAUUUCUUAUUAUCAUAAAAAAAUGGUAUUUUAGUUAUAUGGGAUAAUGAGAGAUGAGAGAAUAUAUGAAAAAUUAAAUAAUAACUUUUAAUAAUUAAGUUUUAAAACAUAUACCAGAUUGGAAUGAAUGAUAAUUUAACAUUGUGAGUGCUUGGAAUAUGAAAAGGAAAUACAGUGAAUGUGUAUAUCAAUUACCUCACAAAUCUUCUCAUCCAACUCUAUGGAAGGUGCAAGAGCACAGAUUGAGCAUCUGUUUGAUCAGAUGCCACAAAGGGAUAUUUCUGCAUGGAUGAUUUUUAUAACAGCUUGUGAAAACCGUGGAAACUUGGAGGAAUGCCGAUCAUUGUUUGAUCAGGUUCCAGAAUGGGAUGUAAAUUUCUGGAACUCUCUACUUACAGUAUAUACCCACAACGGGCAUAUGGAUCAAGCAAGGCAGAUCUUUGAUGGAAUGGUAGAACACAACAUAGUUUCUUGGGCUGUUAUGGUUACUGCGUAUGCAAGAAAAGGUGUUGUUAACGAAAUUUGUUUAUGAGAAUCCCCGAAACCAACAAGCUGGGAUGAACUGUUCUUGUCACUGCAUAUGCCCAGCUUGAGCAUAAUAAAAAAGCCAAGGAGCUUUUCAGUAAAAUGCCACACCACGACUUAAAUCUCGUGGAACGCAAUGCUAGCGGUAACGUCCAGCCUAAGAAGCAAGGUCUCUGUUUGAUGCCAUGCCACAGAAGAACGUUGCAUCGCGGUCGACAAUAUAACAGCACUGGCCGAGAGAUACCAGCUCGAAGAAGCUCGCAUUCACCUCCCCGACGACGUGGUGUGGACUGACAUGAUCUUGGCCUACUCCAACCACGGCCACCUCGAAGAAGCCAUGAAGAUGUUUGCACGGAUGCCACAGCGCGAUCUCGUCGCUUAGACGGCAAUGGUGGCGGCAAUUGCUUUGCACGGGAGGUUGAUGGAUGGCAUCUUGUUCGACCAAAUGUCCCAGCAUGAUAUCGUCGCGUGAAACACGAUGCUGGGAGCUUACAUCCAGAGCAAUUGCCCUCGUCCAGCGCGGGAGCUCUUCGCGACCAUGAUGGUGAGAGACACAGCGAGCUGGAUUGCCGCGAGCACUCAAAGGGGGAAUCUCUUGCAGGCCGGGAAGAUCUUCUCCACGUUGCCUGAUCGGAGCAUUGUGCCGUGGAACGCGAUGAUCCAUGGCUGCGCACAGAAUGGCCACGCUGAGUUUUUGACAGCAUGGCGAUGGAGAAACGAGAUAAGUUUCCAGGCGAUUCUCCUGACUUGCGGAAGCUCCGAGUGGCACUCAACUACUUUCGAUCUAUGGUGGCCGAGUACAGCAUUUCUCCAUGUGAUUCACUUCCAGGCGAUGGCAGAUGUGCUGGGACGAGCCGGGCUGGUUGCCGAGGCCGAAGUGUUGGAGCAGGAAUCAAGGCGUCAAGGACACAGGAAUCUGCAGCAGGAAUCUAGGAAAGAUUAAAGAAGAUGAACGAGUAUAUAAGACUGUAUACAACAAGCAUUCAACAGCAGCUUUUCCCGUUCCAUCAUGGUAUCAGAGAAUUUUCUGUUCAGCAGGGCAGUGGGCUUGAUGCAACGUAAUGCAGAUCAUGAGAGCCAUCACAGGCAAAGCUCUGCCUCAGUAGGGCUUCUUCCUAUUCUUCCCCUGCACUCUGUCUCUGUAGAGAUUUUUUGAUAGGCGGCAGCAAGCUGCAUGGAACAGUGAUAGGGUCAGGCAAGCAGUGUUCCAGUCUUGUGUGGAUUUGCAUGCAAGUCGUGCACAGCAGUCAAGAUCUUGAGCAAUGUUCAGGAUAAGGCCGAACAGAAUUUGGUGGAGCAAGAGGGUCCGAUCAAGUUGAUCUUGUUCUGCAGGCACUGUCAAGAUUGACACCUGUCGAUUGAGAUGUCGACAGGUGAUGGGCGCAUCCUGACUAUCGCGAGCAAAAGCGGACAUACCCCGAGUCCAGGUGAUGGUGUCCCUCGUGAAGGAGUCCACUUAGCAACCAGCAGGGAUUUGGAAGGAUUUCCCGUGGAAAUUAGUGCUGCUCUGUGCGAGGCCUACCGUCGCUGGCAGGGAAAUUGCGGAGACUUUCUUUGCGAGCUGUCAUCUGGCGGUGUUCUUCGCGCAUAUGAUCCAGCUAAAUACCGGGACUGGAUACAGGAACUCGAUUGGUUGGUUUGACAGCGCUGGUUUUUUCAGCCCGAUCCAGCCAUUCGAUGGCCCUGGAUCGCUCGACGAUGUGGAGACGCUCCUUGGCAGUGGAAAAAGGAAGCUCGAGCUCUUCCACCGACACGGCCGGGGCUUGUUCCACCGUGGAAGACGAGGGUGGCGAAGUGGAAGACGUGACUUCUAGCCGCAACAAGCUCUCCAAUCUUGUCGUUUCCAGCGGCGGCAGGCUCGCGAAGCUCGAGGUUGGCGAUCCAAAACUUGUCGACGUCAAAGCAGCGUUUCUAGCGGGGCUCGGGCGACUCUCGGCAGUGGCGACUCUCGGCAGUGGCCGAUGUUACUUCGGUGUACAAAGUUCUUUACGACUGUCCUGGCAGUCAGGCUCGCCGAGAAGCGUUUGAGACGCUCAGUGCGAGGUGGGGAUGUGAAUUUGCAUCAGGGUUGGUAGGGGUGUUCUCGAAACGAGCUUCUCAGUGUCAUAUGGUUUUGGACUCCACCUAGGGUGUGGGGAUAUAUCUUAGUCCGGAGAGUCUGUCUCGUCUGAGUUGCAGAGGCACGGAUAUUGACGUCUUGCUGUGCCGUGCGAUUCUUGGCAAAGCUGAGCUUGUGCGAGAUACACCACCAGUGGAUGCUACUGAGGUCUUGCUGCAGCACAACAAACCGGAGACCUUCACCACAGAUUGUCACAGAGAUUGUCUUGAUGAUGGCUGGUCACACCCAAGCAGGGCAUGGAUUCCUUUUCCUAUCUUUUUAUUCUCAUAGUUUGACCUUACAGCUUGGCAUCGUCAACUACUUGUGGAAGGCCAAAGGAUCUGAUACACAUGCAAGGACUGUUGAACGAAGCUACAAUGAAGGCUCUUUGGGAAACUAAGGUACCUCAAUAUUAUUCAAGUUUGGUUUCAAUGUUUGGAGAUGAUUUGUGGUGCAAUAGUAGACGACUUCAACCGUCACUCCAUUGUCUGUUGUGACUCGAUCCAUUGUGAUCAGAUCCACUCUUUCAUUUCUUUCUCGAAGAAUUUCGAAGAGCUCUAGCCAUGUGAGCAUAAGUCUUGGAGAUGAAGAUGCUGUCUCGGCAGAAUUUCAUACAAUUCUGGCCACACAUUGGACCCUCCAUGGUCAAGACGAAAUUGGGGAGAGCAAAGAUGGCAGCAUUUCAUACAAUUCUGGCCCCACAUUGGAAUCUCCUUCCAGAUUUCUGCACCAUACAAGCAUGGUGGGAAGGAGAAGAAGAUGAUGAGAUGCAUCUUAUGCAACGCUGAAAUCUAUGAUGUACCAGUCUUCAGACAGGUACAGCACUUACUCUUUUGUACUUACAUGUGUUUUGAAUGUAUAGGAUAUCUGUAAGAUGGAUUGCUAUGGAGGGACAAUGUUCUCUUACGCAACCAAGACGAAGGUAUUUCUUAUUUCUGGCAUUAAACCAAAGGUGGCAGGUUACAGUGCUAUCAGGAUACUGCUGUAUUAGUACUAAGCAGAUUUGCCACUCUUGGAGGAAAAUACAAUGCCAUAGUGCUCCUAGAGCCUCCAACUCAGAGAAAGGUACAAUUCUACAUGGCACUGACCCUAGAAAGUGUAGGUCCAGAUACUUUACAGGUCUAGCCAGAAAAUGAUAGGUCUUGGUCAGUAAUUUUGAAGUUUGUAGUAUCUUCUAAUACAUGGGUUCUACGUGUUCACAACAUAAGUAUAUUGCAAACUUCUUAAGGUGUUUCUAAACCACGUUCUGAGGGGGAGAAAAAGGAGAUGCUUUACCAGAACGUGUUUCUCAAGUCAUAUAUUUUGAUGAGUGCUCCUUCUGGCUCUCGUACAUGGACACUGCUAGGUUCUUCUUGGAGAGCAACUCAAUCCAGGACAGCAGCGGCAGAUGCAAGAGCUGUGUGCUGAGGAUUGUGGAGCUUGUUACCCAGAUGGAAUGCCAGGGAUCAGCAUGUUCGUCGACACUUUCAUGGAGGACAUGGAGAUGAGGGAGACGAUCCGGGCCGACAUAGCUGCCAUCCCCGAGCGGCGAGUUUGAACGUUGACAAUAAACGAUACAACCAGGUACAUUAUUUUAAUUUACUAAUACAGUGAGUUUUUGGUGUAGCAUGCAAUGUUGCUAUGGAAGGCAGCUAAAGAAACACUCUACGUUUUGAAUUGCAAACAACCCUGAAUGACAACACAGGUGAUUGCCUGGAAAGAAUGAAUACUUUCUCAUGAAGAUCUCAACACUUGCUACUGAUAGGCAUUGUGAUCAUGGGGGCGAACUUGGCAGAGCUGAGGAGUCCACUGACAACAUGAUCACAUACUAGUACGUGCUGUGCAAUCAUGAGCGUGAAUGUGGAGCUCAGAAUCGAUGAAAAGGAGCAGCUGGAACUCCAAGACGAGCCAAUACUGGUUCCAAUGCUCCAUGCUUACGAGUGCAAGCUGCUUGCGAAGGCAACUCUGGACACAACAGUUCACCACAAGCUAGGACCGUACCAACGCAGGGGGAGUAGGCGAUAUGGUCUGAUCUCUAGGAUGGAUCAGAUCAAGGGGGAGUGUUGGAGCACGAAUCAAGGCAUCAAGGACACAGGAAUCUACGGCAGGAAUCUAGGAAAGAUUAAAGGAGAUGAACAAGUAUAUAAGAUUGUAUACAACAAGCAUUCAAUAGUAGCUUUUCCCAUUCCAUCACGAAGGUCUGCUGCUAGUGAUGCCCUUUCCUCACGUGCUUGAUCAGCAGUUGCAAAGUUCAUGGCAGCGGCAAGAACAUCGAUGCUGCAGCUCGAGCCGCAGAGAAUAUCUUCAUGAUGGAACCAGGGGACUCGGCGCUCUACGUGCUCAUGUCGAAUCUGCAAAGGCAGGAUUCCAGAGAAAGCUUGCCUUUCAUGCAUGACCUUCGAACAGCUCGAACUGGGACAGCAGGAAGAAGAGAGAAAAGUAAGAAACAUAAACACAAAUUUUGACCAACCUGAUGUGAUCUAACCAAAUUCAUUCAAAUGAAUUUGCUUGUGACCAGCGAAGAGAAUUGUGAGCAAUUUUCGGUUGCAUCUAUAAAUGUAACAUAGUCUGCAAAUAUUUAUAACUUUAACAAGACUUAAUAUCAGAAAAUAAUUAUUAAUUGAUUAAUUUUAAACGCAUAAUACCAUGCUGGAUGGCUGAAGCAUAGACCACUUUCUGGUCCCGUCACUGAUCACUCUGCGUGAUUAAUCUGUUUGGGUGCUGGAUUGCCCAAGAGAUUGUCAACAGCCUCCUAGUGAGAAGAGACGAUGUAGCAUUUACCACUUUUCUUGCAGCGUAUACACUCCUAAUAUAUAUGCUCCAGAGUUCUUAUCUUCUAUUUCGACCACUGACUUGGUUCUAUCGAGCUUUGAGUUUGAGCUAAAAGAGGGACUUCAUAGAUAUAGAUACAUUUUCGGCUUGUUCAAUUUUGACAUGAUCAUUAACACUAAAUAGUGCAGCAUCGAUAGUUUAGAUUUCAUAAAAACAGAAUAAAAAAUUAACAAAAUAAAUUUGUGAUCAUCCUGGCUAUUGAUUGAUGGUUCCUCCUAAACUUUUGUACCCCGAUGAAAAGCGAGGAAGGCAACAGGACCUUCCUGUGACUUACUCAAGCCCAUAGAAGGGACUGACAGAUAAAUGACGAGCUUUCGCUCUUCCUGCUAUUUGUUUUUCUCUUGCAGUGCCUGCAAUCAAAGAGUAGCAUCUAGACAAAUUGGUUUCCAAGAAACGUACCUCGUCAAGUUCCCUGUCUCUCUCAGAGGUGGAAGAAUUCACCAGGAUACAGAAAGGCUCGUACCUGGUCGGCGUUUUCACCUGUCAGAGGAGGGUGCCCCGGAGCAGAUGGCUCCACCUCCAAAUCACUCUUGACCCGCUUGGGAUCAUUGGCUGUCAACUUCCAGACGAGGUUCUCGUCGCUCAUGAUCUGGGGGCUGUUCUCCACAUCGCGCUUCCUGAUCGAUUCAGCUUCGUCAGUCCAUAUUGUCAGCUCAAGUGCAGAGACUACUAACCUGUGGGAAAAAGGCCGGAUGCGGGGCUCCAUCAUGAUGAACUUCUGCAUUUGUUUCUCCAUCUCAGCCCGCUUCUUUGCCAGUGCUGCGACAUCUCCAGGAUCGAACACGGUGCCAGAACGAUCCGCCACCUUUCGUCCUUGUUCCCGUCCAUGAAACUGCUCUGGAACCCCGUCGCGUCGAGAUGAUAGGCGCACUGGGAGCUCGUUUGCAGCCAUUUUCUCGCCUGCUGGAUGAUGAGAGUAGCCACCAGUCGAGAAGAGUGGAUCAUCCUCCGGAGUGGCUGAGAACAGCCUUGGCUUGUCGUCAACUUCAUGCGCAGGAAAGACGACGAGAGGAUCCUCCAUCGUGACGUUUUCCCGGCUUCCCUGCUGGCCAUGCACUGGAUCAGCAGCACGAAAGAGUGGAUCGUUCCCGGACGCAGACUUGUGGCGAGCACCAGCGGGAAGAGCAGACGGUGGCAGCCGCCUUGGUGGCCUCAGGAGCUCGCGAAUUCUGUGGUCAGCAGCCGGCUUCUUCCUGCCAGCUUUCAACUGCGAUGAUGGUCGAGGCUCCACUUUGGUAAUGAGGUGCUCCCGCUGGUUGCUGCUGCUGCCGCUGUUGCCACCGCUAGGUUGAUGGCCAUACUCCACCAGGAUGUCGUCGUGGUGGAUGUCACCGUGCACCUUGUUCCUUCUCCUCUUCAAGAGUAUCCAGACUCCAGUGCCGAUGGCUACCAGUGCGAGCAGGAGCAGAACGAUGCCUGCCGCGAGGACACCAGGUGAUGCCACGAAUGCUGCUGCUGAAGAUGGUGCUGACGACGCCGUAGGUGGAGAGGUGCCCAAGCCAAGGGGCCUUGGUUGCCACGUUAUGGUCGAAGGUGGUGGCGAUGGCGGCCUUGGGUUCCACGUUAUGGUCGAAGGUGGUGGCGAUGGCCUUGGGUUCCACGUUAUGCUCGAAGGUGGUGGCGAUGACGGCCCGGCCCUCCUUGGUCGCCAGGUUACAGUGUCGGCCUUGUUGGGCGGCGAAGAAGAAGGUGGCGGCCCUGUAGCAGCUCCAUCACCAGCUCGUCGAUGUCCAGGGUGCCUCUUUGGCUCCGCUGCUGGAUGUUCCUUUGUGGGCGGAGAGCUCGGUGGUGGAUGUCCAGCUCCAUGAUGCUCAGGAGAACUCGGUGGUGGCUUUGCUGGUGAGUGAUGUCCCUCUGUGGGAUUUGCUGGUGAGUGACUGUGCCUCUUGGCUGGCGCCGGUGGAGACCUCUUUGGUGGCGGAGAUGAAGUUGUCGGCGCCCUCUUUGGCGAUGGUUUGGGCGGCGGCGUCCUCCUCGUGUGCUCCCGGUGAGGCGGCGGGGGCGGUGGCGUGGAGAUUUUGCGAGCCAUAGUUAGAGAUGAAGCUUACCAGAGAGAGUCGCAGUAUUUCAGCUCAAGCUCGCUUGCUUACCAGAGAAAACUCGCGCUUGCUUACUUCCCCUUUCUUAGGGCAUUAAAGUGUCUGAAAGCUAAGUACGUUGUAGCGGCCAAUAACGAGCCCGUAGAACAAAGUGAGGCGGGACACGUGGAUGAUGACAUGGAGAGAGAUGACUUGGCAUGGGGUCCGACGUGGCGGGGAGGAGACCGGUUUGUUACAGAGGAUCGGGCGGCGCAUCAGGGGGGACUUCUUGGGAUGCAGCGGGGCGGCGAUAAGAAGGCGUGGCGGGAGCCAGGGCAGGGGGGAGAUCAUCUCAGGAGCAAACCCAAGGCGCUGGCAAGCAGGGGCUAUCAAGAUCCGACCAAGGUGAGGGCUUUGACCGGGUGUGGACUCCAGUAAGCCUCGCCCGGGCUUACGCCCAUUUUAAGAAAUGAUGUGUGAAUGGUAUUUUUCGUACAAAUAGAAGAAUAGUAUAUUCUUGAAAGAUAUAAGAAUUUGAAAUCUGGGCCGUCUAAUUGACAGUCAUUGUUGUACAAUCUAGACCGUGCAUUUAAAACUUUCUGGACCGUUCCUUUAUAUACAAUCUGAGCCGUACACUGCAUAAAAUCUUGGCUGUCGUGUUAAUUAAAUCAAAGCCGUCGAUCUGACAUGAUCUCAACCGUCCCAUAUUUAACUGACACACACACACUUGGCUAAUGCGAUUCUUUUAACAUAUCUAUCUGUAAGCUUGUAAUACGAACUUGUAAUGGAAUGGCGAUUUUCGGGAACUUAGUGAUCCUCAUUUGAAGGGUUGGAGAGAUAUUAUAGAAACGAGAAGAAAGUCUCAAACAUGGAUAGAUAAGGACUCCCACGACAACUCUCUAGCAUUGUGUGCUGGCUCGAGCUAUAAAUAUGAGCCCAAAUCAAACCACUUCUAACAAGCUUACUCUAGCAGAUCAUGAAGAACAAGGCUUUCUUCAUGUUGUUUUUGGCACUCGCCAUAUUUGUGAUGAUGCUGGCCAUGGGCGUGGACGUGGGAGGAAUCGCAAAGGCUGCUGCCCAGCGCUGCCAGUCGGGGCGGUAUUGGUAUGAAAACAGUUGCCACCGUUGCCAGAGGGGUUGGAGCUGGCGCAACCGAAACCUCCAGUUUCACGGGGUAAGCCCAAGCUAAAAAUCAGCAUCAUAAUUGCCUUUGAUGUCAUCAUUCUGCAGUGCCAAGCUCAAUCAAGACACUGAUGACGUGUUUUUUGUAUCGUGGGAUGCUGCAUGGCAUUGCAUGAGUUCCAGCAAUAAAAUAUACAUUGUUCAAGCCUUGAUAUAAAAUGUCUGAAUCUUCUCGUCUCUUCUCCAAAUCUCGGACUUCCAAUCGAUUGCUCCAAUGAUCGGCAAGCAAUAAGACUCGAUUGGAGCAUCAAAACCAGGCCCAGGCACACCUAGCGGUGGGAGUGAAGGUCGGGGGGAUCACCAAGGCGAUGGCGCAUCGCUGCUGCGGAGGAUGGUAGUGGGAUGGAUUUCGCUGCGUGCAAUGCAAUUAGUACGGGUGUGACAACAGCUGCCAUCGAGGGUGGCGCUGGAAUGGCAGCCGCUGCUUCCGCUGAAGAAUUGCCAAAGCUCGGGCCUCGAAGAACCACGGGAACGAAUCUCGAAUCAUGAAAAGUGAUAUAUAUAUAUAAAAUAAGAGUAUGUUUUAGAGUCUAUUCACGUGAGACUGUCAAUGAUAAAAUGGUGCGUUUCCUGCAAAGUUGUUGCUGCAGUGUAACGUUAGGAACUUUUUCAUAUAAUCUGGACUCAAAUUUAUAUAAACUGUGAAAAAACUAAAAAUGUUGUCUUUACUCAUCUGGAUUCACAGUUUCACUUCGUGUGUUGUUCUAUGUCCCAGCAUUACAGAAAAGAAAAGGAAUUGACAAACACGGAACGACUUCCUCAACUAACUUUUAAAGGACAAAAAGAUGCCGUCCCAAGAGGCGCCACUCAAGCAUUGUAUGCUGCCUCGAGCUAUAAAUACGAGCGGCCUUACAGAUCAAAUCACUUCUCUCGAAUAUACUAUAGUUUCAUAGGCUUGCUUGGUGUUGUUUCGGUUCUCACCAUGUUGCAAAGGCGCUCCCUGCCACCGAUGGCGCUGGUAUGGCGGCUCUGUGAUCGUAAGUUUCCUCUCAGGGAUUGUUUUGCAAAGUUUGGCUUGUUCUUUGAAAGCGCAUUUAAAUAGGAGCGAUAUGAAGAAAAAGUGGCAUUGAAAAAUCGAAGCUCUAUCCAGGAAAACACCGGUACUACCACGCAGACGUACUUCAAGCCUCUAGAACACAGCAGUCAGUGCUGCCCGGUCCUGCUGGUCGGGCAGUAGUCCCCCCGGCUCACCACGAGUGGACGAUCUAGAGCAGCGUGCAUUGUCGCUCGACGACUACGCGCAACUUCUCACAGCUUGCAUCGAAUUGCGUCAAGGCGCCACGCGCAGCCACCACCAAUCCAGCAGGUACCUCGCAAAUCUUCUCAUCCAACUCUAUGGAAGGUGCGAGCGCGCGGAUUGACAUGGCAGGUGUUUAUCAGCAUCCACGAGCCCAACAGAUUCUCCUGGAACUUGCUGUUUGGCGCUUAUGCCCAAAGUGGGUAUCUUGAGAAAGAAAAAGAGCUGUUUGAUCAGAUGCCACAAAGGGAUAUUGUUGCUUGGCUGAAUUUUAUGACGGCUCGUGCAAACCGUGGAAACUUUGAGGAAUGCCAAGAAUUGUUUGAGGUUCCAGAAUGGGACGUAGUUUUCUGGAACUCUCUACUUAAAGCAUAUGCCCAUAACGGGCAUAUGGAUCAAGAAAGCCAGAUCUUUGAUGGAAUGCUAGAACACAACAGAGUUUCUUAUGGUUCCUGGGUAUGCAAGAAAGGUCUUGUUAACGACGCGCUAAGUUUGUUUAUGAGAAUCCCCGAAACCAACGAGCUGGGAUGAACUGUUCUUGUCAGUAAAAUGCCACACCGCGACUUAAUCUCGUGGAACGCAAUGCUAGCGGCAACGUCCAACCUGGAAGAAGCAAGGUCUCUGUUUGAAGCCAUGGCACAGAAGAACGUUGCAUCGUGGUCGACAAUAUCACAGCACUGGCCGAGAGAAACCAGCUCGAAGAAGCUCGCAUUCUCUUGGAUCGACCUGAGGACUUACAUGAUCUUGGCCUCGGCCACCUCGAAGAAGCCAUGAAGAUGUUUGCACGGAUGCCACAGCGCGAUCUCGUUGCUUAGUCGGCAAUGGUGGCGGCACUUGCUUUGCACAGGAGCUUGAUCGAUGCCAGAGUCUUGUUCGACCAAAUGCCACAGCACGAUAGCGUCGUACAUCCAGAGCAAUUGCCCUCGUCCAAGCGCGGGAGCCCAUGCUGGUGAGGUCACAGCGAUCUGGAUUGCCGCGAGCACUCAAAGGGGGAAUCUCUUGCAGCCCGGGAAGAUCUUCUCCACGUUGCCUGAUCGGCUCAUUGUCCCGUGGAACGCGAUGAUCCAUGGCUGCGCACAGAAUGGCCAUGAGCGAAAGCCACUGAGUUUUUGGCAGCAUGGCGAUGGAGGGCGAGGCGAGAAACCAGAUAAGUUUCCAGGCGAUUCUCCUGGCUUGCAAUCACGGUGGGAAGCUCCGUGUGGCACUCGACUACUUUCGAUCUAUGGUGGCCGAGUACAGCAUUUCUCCAUGUGAUUCACUUCCAGGCGAUGGCAGAUGUGCUGGGAUGAGCCGGGCUGGUUGCCGAGGCCGAAGGUCUGCUGCUGGCAAUGCCCUUCUAGCCGCAUUUCCUCGCGUGACAAUUUGCAAAUAAUAAGUUGUUGAUUCUUGAUACAAUUUUUGGAACUAAUCAUUAUAAAUUAAAGUUUUUAUUUAUUCUAAUCACUAUAAGGUAAAGUUUUCAUUUAUUUUAAAGUGAAUAAUCUUUGAUAAUUUACAACUUCCAUUAUACACCAUGCUUGUUUUUUAUUAUGCUGCUGGAUGUUCUUUUUUGGGCAGAGAGCUCGGUGGUGGAUGUCCAGCUCCAUGAUGCUCGGGAGACCUUGGUGGUGCUCCAUGAUGCUCGAGAGAGCUCGGGCUGACCCCCAAAUUCGCGAGCUCCUGAGGCCACCAAGGCGGCCUUCCCACUGGUGCUCGCCACAAGUCUGCAUCCAGAAACGAUCCACUCUUUCGUGCUGCUGAUCCAGUGCAUGGCCAGCAGGGAAGCCAGGGAAACGUCAUGAUGGAGGGAUCCUCUUGUCGUCUUUCCUGCAAAUGAAGUUGACGAGCAGACAAGGCUGUUUUCAGCCACUCGUCCUGAUCCGGAGGAUGAUCCACUCUUCUCGACUGGUGGCUACUCUCAUCAUCCAGCAGGCAAGAAAAUGGCUGCAAACGAGCUCCCAGUGCGCAUAUCAUCUCGAGGCGACUGGGUUCCAGAGGAGUUUCAUGGCCGGGAACAAGGACGAAAAAUGACGGAUCGUUCUGGCACCGUGUUCUGGAUCCUGGAGAUGUCGUAGCACUGGCAAAGAAGCGGGCUGAGAUGGAGAAACAAAUGCAGAAGUUCAUCAUGAUGGAGCCCCGCAUCCGGCCUUUUUCCCACAUGUUAGUAGUCUCUGCACUUGAGCCAGGAAGCGCGAUGUGGAGAACAGCCCCGAGAUCACGAGCGACGAGAACCUUCUCUGGAAGUUGACAGCCAAUGAUCCCAAGCGGGUCAAGAGUAAUUUGGAGGUGGAGCCAUCUGCUCCGGGGCACGCUUCUCUGACAGGUGAGUUCUUCCACCUUUGAGAGAGACAGGGAACUUGAUGAGGUACGUUUCUUCAAAGUCAAUUUGUAUAGAUGCUACUCCUCGAUUGCAGGCACUGCGAGAGACAAAACAUAAGAACAAGUGAAAAAAAAAAAAAGAAUUGAGAGCGAAAUCUGGCUUUCUCUUCAGUCCCUUAAGGUCCUCUUACCUUAAAUGCUUUUCAUAGGUGUACAAAUCAUCGAUAUACAAUUAGCCAGAAUGAUCACAUAUUUAUUUUGUUAAUUUCUAUUCUGUUUUUAAGCUAUUUUAUGCUGUAUUAUUGCACUAAUAGAUAUUAGACAACACCAGAAAUCCUACUGCCUCUCACUUGGUUUUUCUCAUGCAACUCAUAUCAAAUUCCAAAGUGGUUUUGGUCACAGGCCCCAGAAUGGCAUUUUGGAGUGGUGUUUGUCAUCAAUGAUGUUCUCCCUUGCAAGUCCAUUUUCCCCAGAAUCCAUUUUGCCCAAGUUUUGAGAUUGCAUAUGAGUGUGAUGGUUAAGUUUUAUAAUUAAUUUUAAUCUACUAAAUUUUGCUCUCUUUGCUUCAACAUAAUAAAUUUUACUUAAUGUUUGCAAAAUUGUCUUUUAGUUGCCCAUAAACAAUUACACUAAGUUGAAAAAACUUAAUUACUGUGUUAUUCACCUCUAACGAUGAGAUACCAUAUAGAUAAAUUUGAAAAUGAUUAUACAUAAGAUUUGUGAAUAUUGUAUUUAUCAAAUUUUACUUGAGAGUUGUUAAUAUUUCUUGCUUUAACAAUCACACCAUUAAUUAAUUUUUGGUACUUAUAAUUUCAAAUAAAACAAUGAUCUUUGCAAUAAGUAGUAAAUCAGUACUUUAUUUGAACUUUAAUAGUAAAUUGACGAAUUGCCUAAUUUAUCCUUAGAGUGUUUUGUUUUUUUGGACAAGAGUUUAAAUUUCAUAUUGGAGUUAUGAGUGCUUGGAAUAUGGAAAGGGAAUAUAGAAAAUGUGCAUAUCAAUUAACCCAAAAACCCUUAGCUUAUAUACAAGAGUGAGUGAUCCAAAUUAAACUAAUCUGACGGCUACCAAAAUUUCACUACAUUAAGAUUAGUAUAUGGCAUUAUAGCCAUACACUUGGACCUCACAUAAUCCCCUCCUCUGAGAAUAAUGGAAGACCAUCAAGGUUCUCUUGUAAAUGGGCCGGGAUCUAGAGGAACGUCAAGAGGAGGUAUCAGCAGAUUUGUAGGUGGUCUCAAUUGUUCAUGAUCCCUUUGUAUGAAGCAUUUCAACUAAUGUACAUGCACAAUUUAUGGGGGAUUGGCCUGUUAGACAUUAUACUGAACCUCAUAAACUUGCAAUCCAACUUGUUGCAACACCUAAUAUAGUCCUUUCCACUAAGCAAAGAGCUCCUUAGAUAAACCACGUACCAUAAAGUGGGGAAAACAGACUAACACUAAGUCAUCCACUUUGUGGUGGAUGAUAAUAGGAGUUGUAACUUCGUUGUUGUCCCCUAAGUGUUCAGCAAACUUUGCUCGGACAAAUGGAAGAAUGCUUAUCAAAUAUUGAUCUCACCACCUAGCAUCGACAGCUCGUGGCAAUUGCAAAGGUAAACCCAACUCCAUUGGUAAUAUUGUAUCAUGACCAUAUAGAAGUUUAUAUGGUGAAGCACUAAUAUAACUCUAUAUACGCAUAUGUAUACCGAAGAGAUGGCAAAUAACCAUCCCAAUUUGAAUGCUGAAAGUUCACAUAUUUCGUGAUCAUUCCUUUGAAUGUCCGAACAAGCCGUUCCACCAAACCAUAUGACUGUGGAUGAUAAAUACUCGUGAAAGUGUGGCAUAUCCCCAACCGAGACGUCAAAACAUGAAAUUCCUUAACUAUAAAUGCGGGAUUAUUAUCCAAAAGAAUCUGCUCCAGACAAGAAUGUUAGAACACCACUCGAUUGAGGAAGAAGUCUCCAAUAGUAGUUGUAAAAGCACUAUCAAGAGCACUAAUUUCCACCUGAUGAGUCAAAUAGUUAAAAAUAAUAAUAAUAUACUCAUUGUCAAUAGGAAAAGGUCCAAUAAGAUCAAAUGCCACCAACUCAAAUGGAUGGAAAAUUGCAAUUGACUUCAACCAUCCUUCCGCAGCAUGAAGGGGAGUAUUAUAAACUUGGCACCAAAUGCAACUACACACAUAUCGGAUAACAUCAUGUCGCAUCUUCGGCCGAUAGAAAGACCUGUGCAGCUUCUUGGUCACACGACGAUGUCCCAUAUGCCCACCUAGAAUAAAAGAAUCAUAGUAGGUAUGGAGAAACCGUAGAAUAAAGACAGAAGGCACCACCAGCCAUAAAGGAUCAUCAGGAUCCAACCCAACAAAAUAAAAAGAAGGCCGUCGUCAAGAAGAUACUAAGAAUGUAAAUGCUAGAAUGGCAAGUCAUCAGUAAGUGAUGCAAGACUUUUAAACCCAUAUCGAAACAUUCGAAUCCAUAGCUUAAGCUUUUGAGCCUUGCGAACCUCAUCAAGAGAAGGUAGAUCUUGCUCUGCCCCUUAUGAACACUGAACAUCAAGUAUAACAACCGCUGACGGCAUAGAAUCCUCGUUUAGAAAAUCCACAGAUGCCGGACAAUAGACUCAUCGAAAGCAUGAAAAAAGUGUGGAAAAGGAAGAGGAGCUUGAGAAAGGGCAUCAACAUUAGCCAUAGAACUCCCUGGGCGAUAAACAACAUCAAAAUCAUAUAUAUGAAGUUUCAAAGCCCACCAAGUAGUACAACCAACCAAGUUCUUUUGCUUCAAUAAUGAAGUAAUGGUAGCAUGAUUGUUGUGAAUAUAACUUUGGGUAUCAAAAAUUACCUGUCAGCUAGUCCUUUCGGAUACUCUUUCCUUACUGCCACGAUGGCAGGAGGUUGUUAUUGCUGGAUCUAUUAUCAAUCUCCACCUAAGCUAGUUGAGAAAUUGGUCAUCACAUGUGCACUUAGACCAAAAGGGCACUAAGGAAGGAAAUCUUACGUUGUCAUUUAGUUAAGUAUACUUGGCACGGUGACGAGAAACUCAUAUUGUUGACUUGCACUUGCUAGUGUUGGGAACCUUUGCAAUAUUGAGAUUGGUCCUUCAAUAUUCGCUAGAUGAUAGCUUACCGUGUCUACCAAACACCUUUGCUAUUAUACCUUUUGUGUUAGUCUCAUUCCAGUCCCAAAUGCUAUUUAUGGAAAGUGUUCAGAUUUGCUCAUUUGGCAUAUCUAUGGAAUGUAAAGAUUGUCCUGAACACAAUGGUGUUCAUCCCGUGUCUAAAUUCGCAAUCUAGGAACAUUCCAUAUUUAGUAAGUUUCGAGCUUGUCUUAGAGACUAACUCUUGGUACUAAGGGUGGAUUGGGGUGAAAGCCCAAAGCAUGUGUUCCUCAAGGGGGGGAGGGUUCCAAAUGUAUAAUAGGGAUAGUGGGUAGGUUAGACAUGGCUAACCAACCUGAGACAUAGUUUAACUCCUACUUGCGUGCUUGUCUUUGUUCUCCGUCCAGCUUGGGUCUAAGCCCAAAUUCCAUUCCAUGCUAGCUGAUGGAGUACUUAUAUCCUUGCAUUAGGCCAUUAGUAUGCUGAAAUAGGAGUGAAGGGACAGGAGCACGGAGCGACUUGGAAUAGUCCUAGAGCAACUAGCAUCCCAAUGCUAGGACCAACAUGCAAAACAGAGCUAAACGGAGUCUGGCGCUUAGGCUGUAUGCUUGGGAGUUACUCUAUGGUCCGGUUUCGUCAUUCCUUGGCUUUAUGCUUGGGAGUUUGGCACUGUUCCUUCGUUCAGUGGCCCAAGGCCCUGAAACUUGGGUUCCACACCAGGACACAUGGCAUAUGAUAUAUGGCAUGUAGCAUAUGUCAUGUGGCAUAAAGAGGGUUUAGGUUCCACUUUAUGGUGUUAUCCUAUGGUAAAUUACCAUAGGAUAAAGGGUAAAACCACAUGUGCUACAAUGAUCACCUUCAAGGAAUGUCUGAGAAUGAUAUAUAUAUGUAUGAAGUUUCUCGAAACCCCAGACUGCUGCUAAACACUCUUUCUCCAUCAUGGAGUAGUUCACCUCUACUAGUUGUAAUGUACAGCUUAUAUACGCAAUGGGAUGGUGCUGAACAGGCACACUCAGGCUCUUUUGCAUUAACACACCUCCAAGACCAAUAUCAGAAGCAUCCAUGUGCAAAAUAAAAAGUCAAGUGUAAUCAGGAUAUGCCAAAACUAGAGGAAUUGUUAAAAGCUCUUUCAAAUUCACAAAUGCUCGCUCACAAUCUGGAGAUCAGAUGAAAGAUGACAUUGAUGACUUUAACAAUGCUUGCAAUGGUGCAAUGCAAUCAAAAAAAUGAUCCACCAAAUAACCAAGAUACUACACCUGCCCAGGAAGCAUUGCACAUCAUUCACACACUUCAAAGUAGGGAGUUUUAGAACAACCACAAGUUUGUCAGGAUCAACUUACAAACCCUCACGAGAAAUACAAUACCCAAGAUAAAUUGUGUCCUUGGACCCAAACAUGCACUUCAACUACUUCAGCUUUAAACUAACGUUCCGCCGAUCCAACACUUUACAAAUAUCAUGAACAUAAUCAUUCCACGUCCCCUCCAAGUGGAUCAAGACAUCAUCAAUGAAGUCAGCAGUCACCUCUGGCAUAUCGUAAAGAACCUCAUUCAUCAUUCGCUAAAAAGUUGUUAAAGCAUUGUUCAAACCAAAUGGCAUCACCAAGAACUCAUACAAAUCAAAUGGUAUACGAAAAGCAGUCUUAAAAAUAUCUUCUUCGGUUAUCAGUAUUUGCUAGUACCUAGAAGGAAGAUUUAGUUUGGUGAACUAACGACUUCACCCUAGACGAUCCAAGAAAUUAGUAAUGUGAGGAAGAGGGUACACAUCUGGGAUCAUCACUUCGUUUAACGGAUGAUAGUCAAUAUAAAAACGAAUACUUCCAUUAAUAUGAGGUUCAUAUGCCCAAGGACUCCACGACUUUUGAAUAACACCCUUCUCAAACAUUUCUUUGAUGUUUGCAUGUAGAAUCUUAAUCUCUUUGGGUGACUGAUGACGAACAAGAACUUUGAUUAGACAAACAUCCCCAGUUAGAAUCAGAUGACGUGUGGCAAUCUUGGCCCUAGAUGGUAAGUCAAAUUCAAAGAGAUCAUAAUACUCCUUCAUGAGCCGAUUAACUACUACAGCACAAAAAUUGUUAGAGGGAUCAAAAAAGGGAAAAGUAGAAUAAAAUGGAAACAUAAGAGGAAAUAGUGGGGGGAUGAAAGUAAUGGAGGUAGAGGUAAAAGUAAAAAGACGAAAGGGUACGAAAAUGAAAGGAAUGGAUGAAAUAUAAGGAAGUAUGAAACAAGGGGGAGAAGCCUUAAAGUCAUAUUUGGCAUAAUUGCGCUACAACUAUAAUACCUUAAUUGAACUAUUUAUUUUUUUAUUAGUAUAAGGAAAAUUUUAAGUAGCAACAACCUACAUAUCUAUCAAAUACAAAGAAAAUUAUAAAAGUCAAAAUAUUGAUUCACUUACCAAUUUUAUCAUUUUAUUCAUCUUAAAAAUACCUAAUAAAUGCUUCUUCAUUUUGAAAAUUAAUUUCAAAAUAUUUGAUAAGUUCCUUAAUCUUAGCUCACUUAAUAGUAUCAUCAUAAAAAUUGUGUGAAUUAAAUGAUACUGUGAGGACCAAGUGUACAGCUAUAAUCCCGUAUACUAAUUUAGCAUAGUGGGAUUUUAGUAGCCAUCAGAUUAGUUUUAACCUAGACCACUCACUCUUAUAUAUAAACUAGAAUUUUUUGGCGCACAUUUUCUGUAUUCCCUUUCCAUUGUCCGUGCACUCACAUUGGUGGAGAUGAGGGGCACCUUUGAUUGUCCCUGAGAAGUGCUUGGAUUUGGGAUUUUGGUUUAAAUUUAGCUUUUGCAUUGUCUAAAUCUAGCUUUUUCCAUUUCCUUUCUUUUGUUCUUUCCCUUCAAGAUUUUGGUUUAAAUUUAGCUUUUUGCAUUGUCUAAAUCUCCAUUUCCUUCUAGGUUUUUGUCAUUCCUUUUUUUUUGUUCUUUCCUUUUUGUUCAUCUUCAUGGCAAAUUAGCAAUCUCCUCUUUUGACUCUAGAGCAGCAAUUGGUACAAUUACUUGAUGCUAUGCACUUGCAAUUGAACAACAAAACUCAGUUAAUGGCAGCGUGGUACAACUCCUCCUGCUUUUGGUGUCAAUCCUCGCGUUCGGCUGGAGUUUUUUCAUGGGAAUCUUGGGGAUGAUGUAUACCAUUGGUUUGAUCACUUCAUGGUGAUUGCCACAUAUCAUUCUUGAGAUGAUGCUCGAUGUUUGCAUGAGUUUCCCACGUGUCUCCAAGGGACAACAUUAUAGUGGUACAAUAGUUUGAGUGUAGCCACUCGUGGGGAUUGGAGUGUUCUCCUGGACAUCUUCAAAUGCACAUUCAAACAUGUCGACGAUUGUGAUGAUGCCUUCCAACAAUUGCAUCAUCUUCGCCAAGAGCCAUUGAGUCAGUGAUGUAAUUUAGUAUUCGUUUUCGAAGUCUUUUGUGGAGCCAAAUAUGUCGGAGCAGAUCAAGCUAGGAAUGUUGUGGCCAGCAUUUUAUCAAGAUUUUGUUGGAUUUAUGCAUGCACUUGCUCCAGCCACCUUAAUGAUGCGCUUUGUUUGGCACAACGUUAUGAAACGUCACCUCUUCCACUUCUCACUACCCGUCCUUCCACUCCUCUUCCUGUGGGUGAUGGUCCUAUUCCAAUGGAGGUUGAUGCUGCUCGAGUCCAAAGACAAGGGCGAGGACGUGGUCAUGGCCGUGACAUUCGCUAUUGGGCACGUAAUGAAGUUGGUCACACUUAUUGGCAUUGUUGGCAUUUUCCAGAUUGGUGACCUCCAUUUCCUGGGUGGAGACCUUGGCAUCAAUAACGUCCUGUUGGUGCUGCUGCAGUGGAAGGUCUAGACACUGAGAUGCAUCCAAGAAAUGAGGAGUCGCGCAAGUAAUAGAGCAACCUUGCGCAAAUAAGUCAGUGAUCCUUCCAUCUUUCUUUCAAGAGUAUCAUCAAGGGGUUCACUCAGCACCGAUUCAUCCAGUAUUUACUUUCCAAGCUUGUUUUUAUAACAAGAAGUCUCCUAUUAUUCUCUAUUGGUUAUUAUUGUUUGAUAUAAGUUCAAGUUUAUCUUCCAUUGCUCGAUCUGUUGCCACACGUUGCCGUUUACACUUGCGUCAUAUGGCGGAACCAGUUUUCAUUCUUUAUGGCAACGGCCGUACACAUGCAUAUGCACUGGAUGAGGUGGACCUGGUUGUGCGUGUGAGCGAUCUCGAGCUUGAGUUGCAGUCAUUGUGGGUGGUGCCGAGUCAAGCUUUUGACCUUAUUCUUGGUAUGGAUUGGUUGCAACGCAAUCAUGCCAAGUGUGAUUUUGAGGCUUCUCCCUCUUGUCUCAUACUUCCUUAUGUUUCAUCCAUUCCUCUCACUUUUGUACCUCUUUGUCCUUCUAUUUCUACCUCUGCUUCCAUUACUUUUGUUCCCCCACUAUUUCUUCCUAUGUUUCCAUUUUGUUCUGCUCUUCCCUUUUCCGAUCCCUCCGAUGAUCUUUGUGUUGCAGUGGUGGACCAGCUCAUGAAGGAGUAUUCUAAUCUCUUUGAAUUUAACCUAUCAUCUGGGGCCAAGAUUGCCCCGGUUGUCAUCCAAUUCCAACCGGGGAUGCCCGUCCAAUCAAUGUUUCUGUUCGUCGUCGGUCACCCAAAGAGAUCAAGAUUUUAAGUGCAAACGUUAAGGAGAUGUUGGAGAAGGGUCUUAUUCAGAAGUCGCGGAGUCCUUGGGCAUAUGAACUUCAUCUUGUGACGAAGCUUGAUGAGAGUAUUCAUUUCUGCAUCAACUAUCGUCCAUUAAACAAAGUGACGAUCUUGGAUGUGUACCCUCUUCCUCACACUGCUGAUCUCUUAGAUCAUCUGGGGCGAAGUCGUUAAUUCACCAAGCUAGAUCUUGCUUCUGGGUACUAGCAAGUACCAAUGGCUGAAGAAGAUAUUCCUAAGACUACUUUUCGUACACCAUUUGGAUUGUAUGAGUUCUUGGUGAUGCCGUUUAGUUUGAACAAUGCUCCAGCAACUUUCUAGCGGAUGAUGGAUGAGGUUCUUUGUGAUAUGCCAAAGGUGACUGCUAACUUCAUUGAUGAUGUCUUGAUCCACUCAGAGAGGACGUGGGAGGAGCACAUUCGUGAUGUUCAUAAAGUGUUGGAUCGGCUACGGGACGUUGGUUUAAAGCUAAAGCGAUUGAAGUGCGUGUUUGUGUCCAAGGACACAACUUAUUUUGGGUACCAUAUUUCUUGUAAGGGUUUGCAAGUUGAUCCUGACAAACUUGUGGCUAUUCUAAAGUUCCCUAUUCCGAAGUGUGUAAAUGAUGUGCAGCACUUCUUGGACAAGGUGCAGUAUCUCGGUCACUUUGUGGAUCAUCUUUCUGAUCGCACUAUACCAUUGCAAGCGUUGCUGAAGCCAUCAACAUCAUCUUUCAUCUAAUCUUUGGAUUAUGAGCAGGCAUUCAUGAAUCUCAAAGAGCUAUUGAUGACUCGUCCAGUUUUGGCAUAUCCUAACUACACUUGACCUUUUAUUUUGCGUGUGGAUGCUUUUAACAUUAGUCUUGGAGGUGUGUUGAUGCAAAAGAGCUCGAGUGUGCUUGGUCAGUGCCAUCCUAUUGUGUAUAUAAGUUGUACAUUAUAACCAAUGGAGAUGAACUACUCCAUGACAGAGGAGUGUUUAACAGCAAUCUGGGGUUUCGAGAAACUUUAUGUAUAUAUACAUGGUUCUCAGACGUUAUUUGAAGGUGAACAUGCUACUGUUACUUCAUUAUUGAAGCGGAAGAACAUGGUUAGUCAUACUACUUAAUGGGCUUUGAAGCUCCAUAUUUAUGAUUUUGAUGUUGUUCAUCGCUUAGAGAAUUCUAUGGCUGAUGUUGAUGCCCUUUCUUAAACUCCUCUUCCUUCUCCACUCUCUUUUCAUAUUUCUGACGAGCCUAUUGUUCUAGCAUCUGUGGAUUUUUUAGACAAGGAUUUUGUGCUAUCGGCGGUUAGGUUCGCGAGGCUAAGAUUAAUUCAUGGAUUUGAAGGCUUCGAGAUGGGUUUGAGAAUCCUACAUCACUUGCUAAUAAUUUACUUUUCUGGCAUUUACAUUCUCAAUAUCUCUUUGAAGAUGGCCUUUUUUAUUUUGUAGAGACAGAUCCUGAUGAUCAUUUACGUCUAAUGGUGCCUUCUGUCUUUAUUCCAUAGUUUCUCCAUGCCUACCAUAAUUCUCCUAUUCUAGGUAGGCAUAUGGGACAACGUCGUGUAAUCGAGAAGUUGCACAAGUCUUUCUAUUGGUUGGAGAUGCGACAUGAUAUUAUCCGGUAUGUGGGUAGCUGGGUUUAGUGCUAAGUUCGUAAUACUCCUCCUCGUGCUGCGGAAGGACGGUUGGAGUCAAUUGUAGUUUCCCAUCCAUUUGAGUUGGUGGCGUUUGAUCUUAUGAGACAUUUUCCACAGCCGAUUGCUGGCAAUGAGUAUGUUAUUAUUGCUUUUGACUACUUGACUUAUUGGGUGGAAGUUGGUGCUCUUGCUAGUGCCUCUACAAUUGCUGUUGGAUACUUCCUCAAUCAAAUAGUAUUCCAACAUUCUUGUCCAAAACAGAUUCUUUCGAAUAAUGGUCCUGCAUUUAUAGCUGAGGCAUUUCAUGUUUUGAAGUUUUAGUCGGGGAUACGCCACACUUUCAUGAGUGUUUAUCAUCCACAAUCAGAUGGUUUAGUGGAACGGCUCAUUCAGACAUUCAAAGGGAUGAUUACAAAGUAUAUGAACUUUCAGCAUUUGGAUUGAGAUGGUUAUUUGCCGUCUCUUCAGUAUGCAUAUGUCACAAGGGUGCAAAGUUCUAUUGGUGCUUCACCAUAUAAACUCUAAUAUGGUCAUGAUCUAAUAUUACUAAUGGAGUUGGGUUUACCUUCGCGAAUGCCACGAGCUGCCGAUGCUAAGUCGUGGGAUUAGUAUUUAACGAGAAUUUUUCCACUUGUCCAAGUAGAGUUUGCCGAACACUUAGGCUGCGUACAAGUGGGACGCUAAAACUCCCAUCAUUGUCCACCUACGAAGUACAAAAUGGAUGAUUUAGUGUUAAUCUGUUUUCCCCAUCUUACGGUAUGUGGUUUUUUUAAGGGGCUCCUUCACAGUGGAAAGGACCGUAUUGGGUGUUGCGGCAAGUUGGACUACAAGUUUAUGAGGUUCAGCAUGACAUCUAGCAGGCCAAUCCUCCAAAGAUUGUGCAUGUGCAAUAGUUGAAACGCUUCAUACAAAAGGAUCAAGAGCAAUUAAUACCACCUACGAAUUUGUCGAUGCCUCCUCCUGACGUUCCUCCAGAUCCUGGCCUAUCUACGAGAGAACUUUGAUGGUCUUCCAUUAUUCCAAGAGGAGGGAAUGAUGUGAGGGCCAAGUGUACAGCUAUGAUGCCGUAUACUAAUAUUAGCAUAGUGGGAUUUUGGUAGUCAUCAGAUUGGUUUUAAUUUGGACCACUUGCUCUUAUAUAUAAACUAGGGUUUUUGGGUUAAUUGAUAUACACGUUUUCUGUAUUCCCUUUCUAUAGUCCAUGUACUCACUUCCAUAAUCCAUGCACUCACAAUAUAUAAUAUCUUUAAAAUAUUUCUAUAUUUACAUCUAAAUAUCCCAUGAUUCCACCUUACAAAUAAUAUAUUUAAGUUAGGGUGCAGCGUGCAAAUCUUGAAAAACCUAGAAGGCCGCACUUGAACGUUGGAAGGCAACCUUGAAUCCUGCUUUUGCAGAUUCGACAUGAGCACGUAGAGCACCAAUUCCAUCUCCAAGAGUUUCUCUGCGGCACGAGCUGCCGCAUCGAUGUUCUUGCUGCUACCAUGAACUUUGCACAUGCUGAUCAAGCUCUUCCACGUGAGGAAAUGCGGCUGGAAGGGGAUCACCAGCAGCAGACCUUUGAGCCCAGCUUGUCCCAGCACAUCUGCCAUCGCCUGGAAGUGACUCACUUUUGGAGAAAUGCUGUACUAGGCCACCAUAUCGAAAGUAGUCGAGUGCCAGGGUGAGGCGAGAAAUGAGAUAAGUUUCCAGGUGAUUCUCCUGACUUGUAAUCACGGUGGGAAGCUCCAUGCUGCCAAAAAACUCAGCGGCUUUUCGCUCAUGGGCAUUCUGUGUGCAGCCAGGGAUCAUCGCGUUCCACGACACAAUGCCUUAAUCAGGCAACGUGGAUAAGAUCUUCCCGGCCUGCAAGAGAUUCCCCCUUUGAGCAGCAAUCCAGCUCGCUGUGUCUCUCAGCUCCCGCGCUUGGACGAGGGCAAUUGCUCUGGAUCUAAGCGUGUUUCACGCGACGCUAUCGUGCUGUGGCAUUUGGUCCAACAAGACUCAAGAUCCUGUGCAAAGCAAUUGCCGCAACCAUUGCCGUCUAAGCGACGAGAUCGCUCUGUGGCAUCCAUGCAAACAUCUUCAUGGCUUCUUCGAGGUGGCCGUGGUUGGAGUAGGCCAAUAUGAUAUUUUGGUUCCGCAUUUGAAAUUUUCUUCUUUUUCUAUAAUGCUCAUAAAAUCUCUCCAGCCCUUCAAAUGAGGAUCAUUAAGUUCCACAAAAUCGCCAAGACUCGGAGACAAUGCGACUGGAACCAGCAUCCAUACAAUGCAGCAAAUAACCUGUACUAAAUAAAAAUUUGGUUAACAAAACUUGUAAAAGCAUCCCAGAGCUUUGCAAAUACCCCAUACUUAUGGAAGCCGCAUUUACUACUUUGGAUAAAAGCCAAAUACAGGUCGGGUAUGUAAUAUUGCUUCUAUCUACUCGUUCUUCAUCUUCUGGAAGGAGCCUUUGAGCUCGUUGUAUGCGAAAACAAAAGAAAAGACAAGAAACAAAAUAAAAGAGGCAAACAAAAUUCUUGGCUUGUCUUCUGGAAGGAGACUGCCCCGUUUUCACGCCCUGCAUAAGAGAAACAAUCAAUAGAACUUUUGCAGAGGAAGAUAUACUCCACCUCCGGACAAUGGACUGGACACUUGCAGCACCCCACGUCCCCAAAGGCAUCCUGGGCAGCGUCACGCCCGAAGACCAGUCGAUAGAUCUUCUUCAUCCUCUCCAGCGAAGCGCCAGCGUACUGACAGACCAGAGUGGCAUAGACCUCGGGUUCUUCGGUGAUGACAUGUGCAGCCACUCCUCCUGCUUGCUGGAUUGAGCUGAGCCGUGGUCGUAGCUCGUCAGUGCAAGCGUCGGGCAUGUCAAAACCGAUUCCCGAUGCCGAAGAGAGAGCUGCAAUGCUCCUGGGGUCUUGGAUGAAGCCGCACCACCACCCAACAUCAGGGACGUCCCCGUUCCAGACCGCAUCCGGGAACAUGCCUGCUACUUUCACUCUGAAUGACUCCAGUAGCUUCCUCUUGAACAGGGCUUUGAGCGAACUCAAGGUCGACCGCAUCGAAGCCUUCUCCCGGUUUAGUGAAGUGAUCUGAUCUUUCAAGUCAGCGAUCUGCUGCCGCUGCUCCAAGUUCUCCUCUAUCAAAGCAGUGAUCUGCUCCAGCUGCACCGAGUUCUCAUCUUCCCAAGCAGCGAUCUUCACAUCCAAAGCAGCAAUCUGCUCCCGCUGCACCAAGUUAGAUCACUGCUUUGAAUGUGAAGAUUGCUGCCUUGGACGUGAAGAUCGCUGCUUUGGAAGACGAGUGUUGUCACAGACUUGCUACCACUAGACUCAGCUGCCAUCUCUACCGCUGCCUCCUUCAUCUUCCCUUUCUUCUCCUCCUCCACCUGCGCUGCCUGUGCCGCCACCUCUACCGCUGCCUCCCCCUUCAUCUUGCCUUUCUUGCACUGCCUGCGCUGCCACUUCCGCGAGCAACUUAGCCUUCGCAUAGUUCUGGAAACGCAGCGCCUGCCGGUAUAGCAGUCCAGUGUGAUCUUUGCUGUUGGCAUUAGGGCAGUACGCAACAAAGCCGCCCUGUUCUAUGAACUUAACGCACGGCCCAGCCUCCCUUACCAUGAGGAUGAAGGUUUCGCUCCACGCCAACCUCUUCCGAGAGACCUAGGGUGUUGAGCCACGCGUCCACGUCAGCCACGAAACCAUUGUCGUUGCAUAGAUCGUCCAUCUUCGACUCUGGGGCACCGGCCAGUCCUUGCGAAGCUCGUAGUAGAGGAUGGUCAGAGACACAGGGCUAACCGGUGGAUGCGGCGGAGGUGCCGGCGGCUGCGGUCUCUUCUGCUUCUCCUUGUUCUUGUACCCCAUCGCCCCCUAAUGCCCUAAUCCCGCCGGCUAACCUAGCCUUUCGUAGAAACUUAAAUGCCCUAAAAAAGGAAGCGAGCUUGAACUGAAAUGUAAGCUUGAUCUCUGACUAUGACGCCACCGCCCCCGCCGCCUCACCGGGAGCCGAGGAGGACGCCGCCGCCCAAACCAUCGCCAAAGAGGGCGCCGACAACUUCAUCUCCGCCACCAAAGAGGUCUCCACCGGUGCCAGCCAAGAGGCACAGUCAUUCACCACUGGUCAGUGAUCAGGAUGUGGAGGAGGCGUCUGUGCAAGCGAUGGUAGCCGGAUACUUUCUGUGCCACAGAGGGACACCACUCACCGGCAAUGCCACCAGCGAGUUCUCCUGAGCAUCAUGGAGAUGGACAUCCACCAGCGAGUUCUCCAGAACAUCAUGGAGCUGGACAUCCACCACCGAGCCCUCCGCCCACAAAGAGACACCAUGGACAUCGACGAGCUGGUGAUGGAGAUGUUACAGGGCCACCACCUUUUUCUUCAGCGCCCAACAAGGCCGACACUGUAACCUGGCGACCAAGGAGGGCCGGGCCGCCAUCGCCACCACCUUCGAGCAUAACGUGGAACCCAAGGCCGCCAUCGCCACCCUUCGACCAUAACAAGGCCCCUUGGCUUGGGCACCUCUCCGCCUACUGCGUCGUCAGCACCAUCUUCAGCAGCAGCAGCAUUCGUGGCAUCACCUGGUGUGCCCGCGGCAGGCAUCCUGCUCGCGCUGGUAGCCAUCGUCACUGGAGUCUGAAUACUCUUGAAGCGGAGAAGGAACAAGGUGCACGAUGACAUCUUGGUGGAGUAUGGCCAUCAGCCUGGCAGUGGCAACAGCCGCAGCAGCAGCAGCCACCAGGAGCACCUCAUUAAUGUUCCCCUGACCAAAGUAUUGCCUCGACCAUCUUCGUAGUUGAAUGCAGAAAGAAGGCAGCUGCUGAUCCCCGAAUUCACAAGCUCCUGAGGCCACCAAGGCGACUACGACCGUCUGCUCUUCCCGCUGGUGCUCGCCACAAGUCUGCAUCCGGAAACAAGCUCGCAGUGGAUCCACUCUUUCGUGCUGCUCAUCCAGUGCGGGAAACGUCAUGAUGGAGGAUCCUCUCGUCGUCUUUCCUGCGCAUGAAGUUGACGACAAGCCAAGGCUGUUCUCAGCCACUCCGGAGGAUGAUCCACUCUUCUCGACUGGUGGCUACUCUCAUCAUCCAGCAGGCGAGAAAAUGGCUGCAAACGAGCUCCCAGUGCGCCUAUCAUCUCGACGCGACGGGGUUUCAGAGCAGUUUCAUGGACGGGAACAAGGACGAAAGGUGGCGGAUCGUUCUGGCACCGUGUUCGAUCCUGGAGAUGUCGCACCACUGGCAAAGAAGCAGGCUGAGAUGGAGAAACAAAUGCAGAAGUUCAUCAUGAUGGACCCCCGCAUCCGGCCUUUUUCCCACAGGUUAGUAGUCUCUGCACUUGAGCUGACAAUAUGGACUGAUGAAGCUGAAACGACCAGGAAGGGCGAUGUGGAGAACAGCCCCCAGAUCAUGAGCGACGAGAACCUCGUCUGGAAGUUGACAGCCAAUGAUCCCAAGCGGGUCAAGAGUGAUUUGGAGGUGGAGCCAUCUGCUCCGGGGCACCCUCCUCUGACAUGUGAAAACGCCGACCAGGUACGAGCCUUUCUGUAUCCUGGUGAGUUCUUCCACCUCUGAGAGAGACAGGGAACUUGACGAGGUACGUUUCUUGGAAGCCAAUUUGGAUAGAUGCUACUCUUUGAUUGCAGGCACUGCAAGAGACAAAACAUAAGAACAAGUGAAAAACAAAUAGAAUAAAGAGCGAAAGCUCGUCAUUUAUCUGGCUUUCUCUUCAGUCCCUUCUAUGGGCUUGAUUAAGUCACAGGAAGGUCCUGUUGCCUUCCUCGCUUUUAAUCGGGGUACAAAAGUUUAGGAGGAGCCAUCGAUAUAAAUUUUUUUUUUUAAUUUUUAGAAUCUAAACUAUAGGUGCUUUGUUAUGCUGGAGUUGGUGAUAAUAUUAUUGAUUAGACAACACCAGAAAUCCUACGGCCUCUCAGUUGGUUUUUCUCAUGCAACUCAAAUCAAAUUCCAUGGUGGUUUUGGUCGCAGGCCCCCAGAAUGGUUAUUUUUGGAGUGGUGUUUGUCAUCGACGAUGUUCUCCCUCGCAUGACUCCCAGAUUGUGGGAAGAGCCAAAGGGACGUACAUCAGCGACGAUUCCACCAACACCAACAUCACAACCGGUUUGUUCUUGACAUUCUUGGCUGUGUUCAAGGAUGGGACAAUGAGCAUACGAGUAUAUAUGCUCUCUAUGACAUGAUCCUAGGUGGCAGUAGUGCCACCUCACUGAUCCAGGUGCAGGCAUGUAUGACGAUAUAUUUUAGCUAUCCUUUGAGCCAUCCUUGUCUGUUGUAGCUUUCUCUUUCCUUGGGUGCAGUGUGCUGUCCCAGAUCUUGAAAACCGAGCUGUUGCAAGGCAACGCAUGAAUGUUGGAAGGCAAGAUUUCUGUGGAAUCCUGCUUUUGCAGAUUCGACAUGAGAACGUACAGCGCCGAGUCCCCUGGUUCCAUCUCCAAGAGUUUCUCUGCGGCACGAUGCAGCAUCGAUGUUCUUGCCGCUACCAUGAACUUUGUAAGCGCUAAAACCUAAAACCGCAUGCGAGGAAAUGCGGCUGGAAGGGCAUCACCAGCAGCAGACCUUCGGCCUCGGCAACCAGCCCGGCUCGUCCCAGCACAUCUGCCAUCACCUGGAAGUGAAUCACAUUUGGAGAAAUGCUGUACUUGUUGUGAUGUAAAAAGGGAUGGACAUAACACUCAUGAGCUCGUUCAUUGUGUUCCGACUCUUCUUACAUGACUCAAGGGACACGACUCAUGACCACGUGGACAUGCCACGUCACUGAUCGAGACUGACAUCUCGACAGUACUAGGCCACACGGCGAUGGAGGGCGAGGCGAGAAACAAGAUAAGUUUCCAGGCGAUUCUCCUGACUUGCAAUCACGGUGGGAAGCUCCAUGCUGCCACAAAACUCAGCGGAUUUUCGCUCAUGGCCAUUCUGUACGCAGCCAUGGAUCAUCGCGAUGCUCUGAUCAGGCAACGUGGAGAAGAUCUUCCCGGCCUGCAAGAGAUUCCCCCUUUGAGCGCUCACGGCAAUCCAGCUCGCUGUGUCUCUCAGCUCCUGCGCUUGGACGAGGGCAAUUGCUCUGGAUGUACGACGCUAUCGUGCUGUGGCAUUUGGUCGAACAAGACUCUGGCAUCGAUCAAGCUCCCGUGCAAAGCAAUUGCCGCCACCAUUGCCGUCUAAGCGACGAAAUCGCACUGUGGCAUCCGUGCAAACAUUUUCAUGGCUUCUUCAAGGUGGCCGUGGUUGGAGGAGGCCAAGAUCAUGUCAGGCCACACCACGUCGUCGUGAUAGGGAGGUCGAUCGAAGAGAAUGCGAGCUUCUUCGAGCUGGUUUCUCUCGGCCAGUGCUUUGCUCAUUGUCGACCACGAUGCAACGUUCUUCUGUGGCAUGGCAUCAAACAGCUUCUUGCAGGCUGGACGUUGCCGCUAGCAUUGCGUUCCACGAGAUUAAGUCGCGGUGUGGCAUUUACUGAAAAGCUCCUUGGCUUUUUCAUUAUGCUCAAGCUGGGCAUAUGCAGUGACAAGAACAGUUGGUUUCGGGGAUUCUCAUAAACAAAAUUAGCGCGUUGUUAACAAGACCUUUUUUUGCAUACCCAGUAACCAUAACAGCCCAAGAAACUCUGUUGUGUUCUAGCAUUCCAUCAAAGAUCUGGCUUGCUUGAUACAUAUGCCCGCCAGAAAACUACAUUCCAUUCUGGAACCUGAUUAAACAAUGCUCGGCAUUCCUCCAAGUUUCCACGGUUUGCACGAACCGUCAUAAAAAUCAUCCAAGCAACAAUAUCCCUCUGUGGCAUCUGAUCAAACAGCUCUUUUUCUUUCUCAAGAUACCCACUUUGGGCAUAAGCGCCAAGCAGCAAGUUCCAGGAGAAUCUGUUGGGCUCGUGGAUGCUGAUAAACACCUGCCAUGCUCGAUCCGCCCGCUCGCAACUUCCAUAGAGUUGGAUGAGAAGAUUUGCGAGGUACCUGUUGGAUUGGUGGUGGCUGCUCCCAAGGAUGAGCGCGUGGAGCCUGGCACCUUGACGCAAAUCGAUGCAAGCUGUGCACGUAGUCGUCCUUGAGCGACGAUGCGCGCUGCUCUAGAUCGUCCACGGCCUGUUCUAGAGGCUUGAAUCGGUACGUCUGCGUGGUAGUGAUUCCUAUCAUCUUACCGGCGUUUUCCUGGAGACUGACAAGAUAGAGCUUUGAUUUGUCAAUGCGUUUCCAUUAUGCAUGAGGUUCGACUAAACAUUUCACCGACUUUAUCCAUAAUCCGUUAACUUCAUAUCGAUCCUAUUUGCGCUUUCAAAGAACACGUUGUAACCAGCGCCGAGGGCAUCGGUGGCAACUAUCGGACUGGCAGCGUUGGGCAGCAGCCUUUGCGAUUCCUCUCACGUCCACUCCCAUGGCUAGCAUCAGCAACAUGGCGAGAACCGAAAACAACACCAGGCAAGCCUUGUUCUCCAUGAAACAAAGAGUUCAACGAACUCUAGUAUAUUCGAGAGAAGUGAUUUGAUCUGCGAGGCCGCUCGUAUUUAUAGCUCCUGACGUAAUCUAGGCAGCAUACAAUGCUAGAGUGGCGCCUCUUGGGACGGCAUCACUUUGUCCUUUGAAAGGUAGUCGAGGAAGUCGUUUCCUUUUCUUUUCUAUAAUGCUGGGACAGAGCGAAAUGAAGCUGUGAAUCCAGAUGAGUAAAGACAGCAUUUUAGUUUUUUCACAGUUUAUAUAAUAUAUGCACUCGUGCAUCACCAUGCGCCACUGCUAAAGAUUUCACUGCCACUGAAAAGAACAAAAUCCAAAUAAAUAGUUGGAUCUUGACGAUCUUUAGAAGAGAAGUGUGUGUUUAAUUUCAUUUUCAAUCAUGUUUUAUAUAUGUUAGACUUUGUCUUGGGAAAGAGAUCAGAUUCGUUGAAAAACUUGUCUCCACUACUGUGUCAUAUUUCCAUCUGGUUGCUUUUCCAAGUUCCAUGUCGAGACUAAGAUGGCAGAGUGUCCACAACUUUCAUUGACAAAAAUAUAUAUUGUAUUACUAGCAAUUGCCUAGCAAAUGCUGGGUGGUUGGCAAAUUUCAUGCUAUUUCAAGAGGUUUACUGAUCUUAAUUAUGUUUGCUACUUGAUCAACUCCACAAUUGAAAGGCAUUCUCUUGACCAAAAAUGUCUUAAUGAUAAAUUAAAGUGCUAGACAUUUCAGAAAAACUAAAUUGUGGUGGCUGUGGUUAUUGCUCAGCCCCUGCAUCAUGCCCCACAAGUUAGUUGUAAUCAUAAAAUAGUAAUGGACUUAGUGUACUUGAUUGUUGUCUAAACUUCUCAAAUCCAGAUUUCAUAAGCCAAAUCAGAUCAGUAUUGAGUUGCAUUCCUCAAUUCUGAACACAAAAAGGCAGAAGAAUGCUUCUAAGUCCAUCUUUGGCUUAGUUGUUGCCACUUGCUCCACAGCCCACCCACAGCUCAAGAGAAUCCUCCUGGGAUGAGCUGAAUGGAGUGAAAAAAAUUAUUUCUUUGUUUACAGGAUAUUCAGAUCGUCGAGGAUGAAGAAAAGAAGCAAUAUGACCUUGAUAGCACAUUACCAUAACUAAAAUGGCACACCACUUAAUGCACACCAGUCAAUGCUAACUUUCCUGUGCCAUGAAUUUGAAACUUGCAAUUGCAAGUCAAGGGUGGCUGAGUAGAUAGCUCUGUAGAAUUAUAAUUGGAUUUGGAAUUAUGCCAUGUAAUUAUAAGAAUCUCACCAUAAAUUGUAUUCAGAGUGUGAAAGUGUUGAUCAUGUGGUAUAAGAUUGCCUUAAAAGGGGCUUACGAGCACUUGAACACAAAGUUGUUCAUGUAAUCUACAUAUUGAGAGAGCAACAUAAAGUUGACUAUGUAUGAAAACAGAUUAAGGGAGAAAAAGGCCAACAUGGUCAAAAGUUUGGCCUUUGGCUUUAGAAAUAGUUGAGCAAUAACCUAGAUGAAUAUUGCUAAGAAAUGACAAUGAAGCAGACCUCUUUCUAGAAUUCAAUAACAUAAACAUAUGUAAUGCAUUUCCUAAAAAUUCAUUUGAUUCAUUUUAAGAAUUCUUUAAGUUUUAAGUUGAAAACUCUUGAAAUAAGAUUAGGUCAAUCCUUAGAUGAUUUAUUUGGCUAUAAAUUUUGCACAAUUUUAGGUCACUUUAAGUUAUAAAUGUAAUGAAUAAGUUCAAGAAUGUGUGACAAUAGCAAUAGCAUCUUGAUAAUAUUGUUGCAUUGCUCGUGGGAUAUCAAAAAAUGUAAAAAGAAAAAUUAUAAUUUUUCAAGAUUCAACAUUAUUAGUAGCAGCUCUAUUGCUAACAUAAUCCAUAAGUAAUCCACUUUUAAGUGUUUUUUAUGAGUGUGAAAGAAAUAAAGGUUGUUAGACUCAACCUUUAAAUUAUUGAAUGAACUUCCCAGUAUGUAGUAAAUGAUCAUAAAGGAAAAAAUUGUUAAUGUUAUCUCAUUGAGAUAAUUAAUAUAUGUAAUACUAAAGUAGUAUGUACAACUUAUUAUGGUAGAUUGUUUUAUGCCAACCUUUAUCACUAAAUAGUAAAAGUAAAGGAUAAACUAUACAUCACAAAUUUCAUUAAGAAUAGAAAUAUUUUUUUGCUAUGAGUUAUAUGGAUGUAUGCAUAUUUCUUUGUCAAGAUAUAGCUCAUUCUCAUCAAUAGCAAAAAAACAGCAACAACAUCAUUAGUCCAUGGCAAGUUAUAACAAUGUAGAUUAGUACUUUCACUUUAAACAACCAUGUAAACACCAUAUUUUAGAGUUCCAUUGCUAAUUGAAUGAUGUUGUUCUUGUGAUUCAAUAUCAUACAUCAUUUGAAAAGCUUGUGCAUAUGGGUUUAUUGUUAUUAGCAGGUGAUUUAAUUGUAAUAACAAAUUAGGAUCACAAUUUGUAUUGAAUGGGUUUUGCUUUUCAAUAUUUAUAGUCUUAGAUGCAUCAAACAUGUAAAGUUAUCUAUAUAAUGGGAGCAUUUUAGCAGUAGGAUAUGCUGAAGCAAUAUUGUAAUAAAUUUGACCAUGUAUUCUAAAGAAAUAUGGGCAUUUCCCACUUAAAUUAUCAACAUUAGUACCCCCUGAUACAAAAAUCAAAUCACUAUUGAAAUUUUUAUAUUAAUUUUGAAGUUGAAGUUUUUAUUUCAUUAAAAAUCAUAUGCAAUACAGUAGGUAAAGAUGAAAGUUGGGGAAGGGAAAUCUUUCCAUUUUGGCAACACAUUAAUCUUGACUUAUUUUCAAAAUAUAGUGCACUGUAAAAAACACAUAUGAAUGACAUAUUUCAAAUAUUAAACAUCAUUGUAACUUUUUUAAUGUGCUAAUUCAUAAAUGGUAUAAUUGUGAUGAUUACAUGCAUUGUUAUUAGUCUUAUUAGCAUUUUCAAAGUCUAUAUUUUUAUGAGCUUCAUCAGCAUGUGCUAUAUUUAUAUUAACAUCAUUAAGAUUUGAAGUAAUUUUUGCAUUAGUAUGUUCAAGGUCUAAAUUAGUUUAUUAAUUAUCAUAUUUAAGGUUGUUAUGAGUAUGAAUAUGUGUGCUAGUGUCAAUAGUUGGAGGCAACUAUUAACAUAUACCUCUUAAUACUUCACAAAGUCAAUGCAUACUUUGCUAAGGAGGAAGUUGGUGUUUGAUAAAUGAAACUAUCUAGUCAAAUUUAAAUUUAUUGAGGCAUGAAUUUAAAAGAAGAUCAAAGCAUUUAUCUCAAAUUUUUCAAAGAUUCUAAGUAAAAGCUAGAACUCACAUUCUCACACUGAAAAAAAUACAGAAAAAAGAAAUUGAAGACUAUUUUAGUAGCGUAGGAGCACAAUCUGUACGAGCUGUAAAAAAAAGGGAAGUUGCACCAAUGCUAAUUUAGCAACCAACAAACCUAGAUAGAGGAUUAGCACACCUUUUCCAAGCUGUGGUGAGCACUCAAAAAGCCUCCCAUGCUUUCCAUUAUGUCUUGACCACCACCACCACUGCUGAAGCGCAAAUAAGCCUGGUUUGCUGAUCAAUAACUUGAGACGAUCGCACUUGUCGGGCAGGAAGAUCUGGCUCUCGAGUUUUUGAACAUGACAGAGGAUGAAGGAGGUGGCUGUGUAGUAGACAAUGCAAGCUACACUGCUGCUUCAAGGCUUGCUCAGGCCUGGCAGCCUAAGACGAAGGCAAGGAGCUCGAUGGGAAGCUUGUUAAAGUUUUUGAGAAUACAAUGACGCUUGGGCUGUGAGAGGUGGAUGGGGUUUGCAAGCUAUGGUUUCAAAAACUCACCUUGAGCUUGUUCUCUUUCAUGGAAAAACAAGGACUUCAGCCGCGUUAAUGGCUUCCACAAACCCAAAUGAACAUGUCUCAAAUGUCCACAGCACAGGGCCAAAUCAACGGCUGUCGCCCAGACGCUAAACGGGCACAAUUGCUUUGGGGGCAAGACACACUGCUGACACGUGUCAAAUGCCUUUAUUGCCUAACUCAAGCCAAUGAGCACUGGUGAUCUCCAAGAAUAACAUCACGAAAAUUUUGCGUGUGACCAUGCAAACCGAGCCUACCUCGGCCUGGGAUCCAACGGCCAGCAAGCAUCCCCCUAUAUAUAUAUAUAUAUAGAUAUAAUAUAAUUUUCAGUCCAGAUAGAUUGGCUUUUUCUCUUUUUUAUUUGUCAUGUUCUAAAUUAUCCUGUCAUUCUGGUUCAAGACUGACUAUAUGAAGUCCCUAUAUAUUAAAAGUCCAUACAUUGCAAACGUUACACUGCAACAACAACUCCCCAGAAAGCGCACCAUAUUUAUCUCAGGCCCAGGGCAUCAAACACGUAAAGACUCCAAAACAUCUUCGUUCACUCUUAUUCUACAUAUAUCUCAUCCAGGCUGUCAACCCAACUUUUCAUGAUUCACGAUUCGCUUCCGCACCCUCGAUGGCAGCUGUUGUCAUACCCGUACCAAUUGCAUUGCACGCAGCGAAAUCCGUUCCAGUAGGUAAUCCUCCACGGCACCGCUGCGCCAUCGCCUUGGUGAUCCCCCCGACCUCCAUCCCCACCGCUAGGUGUGCCUGGGCCUGGUUUUGAUGCUCCAAUCGAGUCUUAUUGCUUGCCAAUCAUUGGAGCAAUCGAAUGGAAGUAGAGGGAUUUGGAGGAAGGAGAAAGGACAGAUUCAGACAUUUUAUAUCAAGGCUUGGACAAUUUAAAUUUUAUUGCUGGAACUCAAGCAAUACCAUGCAACAUCGCACGAUACAGAAAACAUGUUAUCAUUGUCUUUAUUCUUGUUUCCAGACCCUUGGCACUGCAGGAUGAUAAAAUCAAAGGCAAUUAUGAUGCUGAUUCUUAACUUGGGCUUACCCCGUGAAACGAGGGGAUUCAGUUGCGCGAGCAGCGAUUGUUGCGCCAGCUCCAACCCUUCUGGCAACGGUGGCAACUGUUGUCAUACCAAUACCACCCCGACUGGCAGCGCUGGGCAGCAGCCUUUGUGAGUCCUCCCACGUCCACGCCCAUGGCCAGCAUCAUCACAAAUAUUGCGAGCGCCAAAAACAACACGAAGAAAGCCUUGUUCUCCAUGAUUUGCUGCUAGAGAAGUAGGCUUGUUAUAUUAGAGAGAAGUGGUUUGAUUUGUGAGGUGGGAGGGGCUUGUAUUUAUAGCUCGAGCCAGCACACAAUGCUAGAGAGUUGUUGUGGGACGGCAUUGCUUAGUCGUUAUCUAUUUUGGUUUUGUGUUUGAAUUUUUUUUCUCUUUCUAUAAUACUCAUAAAUCUCUCCAACCCUUCAAAUGAGAAUCAUUCGUUGCUAAAACUUCACAAGUUCGUACUACAAACUUGCAGAUAGAGAAAGCCAUGGAGUUUAGCUCGAAAAGAUGAAAACAAUCCUAAGUAGUGUUUGAAAGCAACACAUGUUCUUGUAAGACACACCACUUUGCAUUAGCCGCGUGUGUGCAAUAUCAUCAGUUAAAUAUGGGACGGUUCAGAUCAUGUUAGAUCGACGGCUUUGAUUUAGUUAAUACGAGAUUUUACACCGUGGGCGGCUCAGAUUGUAUAUAAAUAAACGGUCCAGAAUGUUUUAAAUGCACGGUCUAGAUUGUACAUGAAUGACUGUCCAAUAGACGGCCCAGAUUUCAAGUUCUCAGAUCUUAUAGAUUUUAAGAAUAUACUAUUCUUCUAUUUGUAUGAAAAGGAUUUCGUUUACCGUACUUAGCUUUCAGACACUUUAAUGCCCUAAAAAAGGGGAAGUAAACAAGCAAACUUGAGCACGAUGGUAAGCAAGCAAGCUUGAGCUGAAAUACGGCGACUUUUUCGUAAGCUUGAUCUCUGACUAUGGCUUGCAAAAUCUCCACGCCCCCGCCCAUGCCACCUCACCGAAGCACACAAAAAGGACGCCGCCGCCCAAACCAUCACCCUGACAACUUCAUCUCCGCCACCAAAGAGGUAUCCACCGGCACCAGCCAAGAGGCACAGUCAUUCACCAGCAAAGCCCACAGAGGGACAUCACUCACCAGCAAAGCCACCACCGAGUUCUCCUGAGCAUCAUGGAGCUGGACAUCCACCACCGAGCUCUCCGCCCACCAAGGAACAUCCAGCAGCUGAGCCAAAGAGGCACCAUGGACAUCGACGAGCUGAUGAUGGAGCUGCUACAGGGCCGCCACCUUCUUCUUCGCCGCCCAACAAGGCCGACACUGUAACCUGGCGACCAAGGAGGGCCGGGCCGCCAUCGCCACCACCUUCGACCAUAACAAGGCCCCUUGGCUUGGGCACCUCUCCGCCUACUGCGCCAUCAGCACCAUCUUUGGCAGCAGCUGCAUUCGUGGCAUCACCUGGUGUGCUCGUGGCAGGCAUCGUUAUGCUCCUGCUCGCACUGGUAGCCAUCGUCAAUGGAGUCUGGAUACUCUUGAAGCGGAGAAGGAACAAGGUGCACGGCGACAUCAUCCUGGUGGAGUAUGGCCAUCAGCUAGGCGGUGGCAACAGCGGUAGCAGCAGCAGCCAGGAGCACCUCAUUACCAAAGUGGAGCCUCGACCAUCAUCGCAGUUGAAUGCCGGCAGGAAGAAGGCGGCUGCUGACCCCCGAAUUCGUGAGCUCCUGAGGCCACCAAGGCGACCUUCCCACUGGUGCUCGCCACAAGUCUUCAUCCGGAAACGAUCCACUCUUUCGUGCUGCUGAUCCAGUGCAUGGCCAGCAGGGAAGCCAGGGAAACGUCAUGAUGGAGGAUCCUCUUGUCGUCUUUCCUGCAAAUGAAGUUGACGAGCAGCCACGGCUGUUUUCAGCCAGUCGUCCUGAUCCGGAGGAUGAUCCACUCUUCUCGACUGGUGGCUACUCGCAUCAUCCAGCAGGCGAGAAAAUGGCUGCAAACGAGCUCCAGUGCGCCUAUCAUCUAGACACGACGGGGUUCCAGAGCAGUUUCAUGGACGGGAACAAGGACGAAAGGUGGCGGAUCGUUCUGGCACCGUGUUCGAUCCUGGAGAUGUCGUAGCACUGGCAAAGAAGCGGGCUGAGAUGGAGAAACAAAUGCAGAAGUUCAUCAUGAUGGACCCCUGCAUCCGGCCUUUUUCCCACAGGUUAGUAGUCUCUGCACUUGAGCCAGGAAGCGCGAUGUGGAGAACAGCCCCGAGAUCACGAGCGACGAGAACCUUCUCUGGAAGUUGACAGCCAAUGAUCCCAAGCGGGUCAAGAGUAAUUUGGAGGUGGAGCCAUCUGCUCCGGGGCACGCUUCUCUGACAGGUGAGUUCUUCCACCUUUGAGAGAGACAGGGAACCUGAUGAGGUACAUUUCUUCGAAGUCAAUUUGUAUAGAUGCUACUCCUUGAUUGCAGGCACUGCGAGAGACAAAACAUAAGAACAAGUGAAAAACAAAUAGAAUUGAGAGCGAAAUCUGGCUUUCUUAAGGUCCUCUUACCUUAAAUGCUUUUCAUAGGCGUACCAAAUCAUCGAUAUACAAUUAGCAAGGAUGAUCACAUAUUUAUUUUGUUAAUUUCUAUUCUUUUUUUAAGCUAUUUUAUGCUAUAUUAUUGCACUAAUAGAUAUUAGACAACACCAGAAAUCCUACUGCCUCUCACUUGGUUUUUCUCAUGCAACUCAAAUCAAAUUCCAAAGUGGUUUUGGUCACAGGCCCCAGAAUGGCAUUUUGGAGUGGUGUUUGUCAUCAAUGAUGUUCUCCCUUGCAAGUUCAUUUUCCCCAGAAUCCAUUUUGCCCAAGUUUUGAGAUUGCAUAUGAGUGUGAUGGUUAAGUUUUAUAAUUAAUUUUAAUCUACUAAAUUUUGCUCUCUUUGCUUCAACAUAAUAAAUUUUACUUAAUGUUUGCAAAAUUGUCUUUUAGUUGCCCAUAAACAAUUACACUAAGUUGAAAAAACUUAAUUACUGUGUCAUUCACCUUUGAUGAUGAGAUACCAUAUAGCUAGAUUUGAAAAUGAUUAUACAUAAGAUUUGUAAACAUUCUAUUUAUCAAAUUUUACUUGAGAGUUGUUAAUAUCACACCUUUGAUUAAUUUUCGGUAUUCAUAAUUUUAAAUAAAACUAUAAUUUUUGCAAUAAGUAGUAAAUCAAUACUUCAUAUGAACUUUAAUAGUAAAUUGAUGAAUUGCCUAAUUUAUCCUUUGAGUGUUUUGUUUUUCUGUACGAAUAUAAAUUUCAUAUUGGUGUGAAAUACCUUAAUUGAACCAUUUUUCUUUUUAUUAGCAUGAGGGAAAUUUUGAGUAGCAACAACCUACAUAUCUAUCAAAUACAAAAAAAUUAUAAAAGUCAAAAUAUUAAUUCACUUACCAACUUUAUCAUUCUACCCAUCUAAAUUCUUCUUCAUUUUGAAAAUUAAUUUUAAAAUAUUUGAUAAGUUGCUUAAUCUUAGCUUACUUAAUAGUAUCAUCAUAAAAAAACUGUGUGAAUUAAAUGGUACAUAAUAUCUUUAAAAUAUUUCUAUAUUUACAUCCUAAUAUCCCCUGAUUCCACCUUACAAAUAAUAUAUUUAAGUUAGUUCCUCCUUAUGUGGUAAAUGCACAAUAGAAUUUAACAAUCAAAUGUAACUCUAUAUAAAAAAUUAAAUAUAUUAUAUUAUAUUAAAUCAUCAAUCAUUAUUGCAUGUGAUUUUCAAUCUGACAUAUGGUCUAAAACUGAAUUCUUAAAAACUAUCAUCCAAUUCUUCAUAUGUUGCAUACAACUGAAAGACCAUUUUUAUGAUCAUUAAAAACAAAUGUGAUUUACAAUAAGAAUUAUAAACAUUUAAAGAUUUCACUUUAAAAUAAAUGAAAACUUUACCUUAUAGUGAUUAGUUCCAAAAGUUGCAUCAAGACAAAACAAAUUAUUAUUUGCAAAUUUUACCAUCUUUUGCAGUUGCCAAGUUAUUUGAAUCUCAAUAGUAAAACAAUAUUUAUCAUCUAAAUACUUUCUUAGGAUUUGUGUUCUUCUAAAUACGUACACUCUUCCAACUACAUACACUUUGUGUAUUAUUAUUGAAGAAAGUCAUUUAAGAUCUAUUAUGAGGUCUAAGAGUUCCAUGAAGAGGAUUUUUUUUGUGCAAAUGAUUUAGAUUCAGAUUUUUCUAAAUUAAAUGAAAUUAUAGCUCCUAUUAUGUAUAUAUUACACAAAGAUUUGAAUAAAUUUCUAGAUGGUGAGAGAAAGGGUGAUAAGGUGAAAUUUUAGCAGUUUUCCAACAAAAUUCAGGAUCAUAGAGAUUUAAAACCAGAAAAAAACACAAGUUUUUUAUCAUUAAUCAGAUAUUUUAUUUAAUAACAAAAUAUAAUUAGAAAUAUUUUGACACAAGUAUUGGUGUGAAUAUGGAAAAUAAAAUGCUCAUGAAACAUCUAUUACACUUAAGUAAACUGGAUCAAAGUUUUAACAAAUGGAGCUGCAAUGUUUUGGUCAAAAUGUUUUAUAAAUACUAAUUAUGAUCAUAGAGAACAUUAUGAUACAAAUGGGAUUUCUUGUCAUGGUCAACUUGAUCCAAUUGAAGAAAUUCAUAUGAUCUAGCAGGAUUUUACAUCAAAUUAAAUUUAUAAUGAGCAUAUGCAAAUUGUGGGAAAGGACAAAUCAACCAAUGAACCUUUUUGUUAGGAUAAUUUUCUAAUUAUGCAACAUAUUAACAAAUUGCAUAAAAAGUAUUUACUGUCAACUUAUCAACUACAUAAUCAAUAUCAAGAUAAGUUAUUUGUUUUCUUCUGGAAACUGAUAUGUUUCCACCAUGAUCGAUCAUGGAAAAACCAUAAAAAAAUUUAGGUCAAUUAAAUUUAAGUCUGCAGACAGGUAGGUGUUUUGAUGCCUUGAAUAAUCCCCAGAAAGUCACAAAUAAAUGCAAAGUCAUUACCAAAGUAAGUGGAGAGAGUGAUAUAAGAUGGUAUUUAAUAACAGGUAACAAUGAGCAUGUGUGGUAAGACAGCAUUUUUUUUGAGUAUAUAUGCUCUAUAUAUGACAUGAUCUUAGGUUGCAAUAGUGCCACCUCACUGAUCCAGGUGUGGCAUGUCUCUUGAUCAGUAUAUUUGGCUAUGAUAUUCUAGCUAUCCCUAAAUCAUCCUUUUCUGUUGUAUCUGCUGCAUAUCUCUUCAAUCUUUGGUGAAGAUUGCAGUAAUUGCAGGCACCUGAGUUUACAGAUUGCAUCGGGGUAUUCGACCUACACGCUCAUUCCACCAUUUUUGGCAAUCUUGCACUAUUGAGUGUCAAUUGAUCAUGUCAAAAUUGAAAGAGCCGAAAAUGUAUCUAUUUCCAAAGCUUUUACAAACUCAAAGUUCAAUAGAACCUAGUCUGUGGUCAAAAUGGAAGACAAAAACUCUGAAGCAUAUAUAGUAAGAUUAUAUAUACUACAAGAAAAGUGGUAAAUGCUACAUUGUCUCUUCUCACUGGUAGGCUCUUGACAUCUCUUGGGCAAUCCAGCACACCCGAUCGAUCACGCAGCAGUAGGGAUCAGCUCAGCCAUUGGGAGGUAUUAUCCAUUUAAAAUUAAUUGUUAUUAGAUCUGUGUGCUGCUCUAGAUUGUCCACAGCCUGUUCUAGAGGCUUGAAUCGGUAAGUAGUGAUUCCUGCCAUCUUACCGACGUUUUCCUGGAGACUGAAGAUAGAGCUUUGAUUUGUCGCAAGGAAGUGCGCACUGAACGGUGGUCAUUUCACCGACUUUAUUAACUGUUUCUUCAUAUCGCUCCUAUUUAAAGGCGCUUUCAAAGAACACGUUGUAGCCAAAAUUUGCAAAACAAUCCCCAAGAGGAAACUUAGAGGAGCUAGCUGCAGCGCUUUUGACGUCCACUCCCAUGGCCAGCACAGCAACAUGGCGAGAACCGAAAACAACACCAAGCAAGCCUAUGAUCAACGAACUCUAGUAUAUUCGAGAGAAGUGAUUUGAUCUGUGAGGCCGCUCGUAUUUAUAGCUCGAGGCAGUAUACAAUGCCAGAGUGGUGCCUCUUGGGAACUUUGUCCUUUGAAAGUUAUUCGAGGAAGUCGUUCCGUAUUUGUCAAUUCCUUUUCUUUUCUAUAAUGCUGGGACAUAGAACAACACACGAAAUGAAGCUGUGAAUCCAGAUGAGUAAAGACAUCAUUCUAGUCUUUUCACCAUUGCUAUAGAUUUCACUGCCACUGAAAAGAAUAAAAAUCCAAUAAAUAGUUGGAUCUUGACGAUCUCUGGAAGAGAAGUGUGUGUCAUUUCAUUUUCGAUUGUGUUUUAUAUACGUGGUUGGUGUAUGUAAUUGCUAGACUUUGUCUUGGGAAAGAGAUCAGAUUCGUUGAAAAACUUGUCUCCACUACUGCUUCAUAUUUCCAUCUGGUUGCUUUUCUAAGUUCCACGUCGAGACUAAGAUGGCAGACUGUCCACAACUUUCAUUGAUAAAAAUAUAUAUGACUUUAGUUAAUAUUAUAUAAUAUAAUUUUGAGCCCAGAUAGAUUGACUUGGCUUUCUUUCUAUUUUAUUUGUCAUGUUCUAAAUUAUCCUGUCAUUCUGGUUCAAGUUUUUUGACUGAGUAUAUCAUGUUUCUAUAUAUUAAAAGUCCAUACAUUGCGAACGUUACACUGCAACAACAACUCUCCAGAAAACGCACCAUAUUUAUCAUUGACAGUCCCAGACCCAGGGCAUCAAAGACGAAUAGACUCCAAAACAUCUUCGUUCACUCUUAUUCUACAUAUAUCUCAUCCAGGCUGUCAACCCAACUUUUCAUGAUUCGAGAUUCGCUCCCGUGGUUCUUUGAGGCCCGAGGCUCGCGAACUUUGGCAAUUCUUCAGCAGAUGCAGCGGCUGCCAUUCCAGCGCCACCCUCGAUGGCAGUUGUUGUCAUACCCGUACCAAUUGCAUUGCACGCAGCGAAAUCCAUUCCAGUACCAAGCGCUGCGCCAUCGCCUUGGUUGUGCCUGGGCCUGGAUUUGAUGCUCCAGUCGAGUCUUAUUGCUUGCCGAUCAUUGGAGCAAUCGAUUGGAAGUCGUGGGAUUUGGAGAAGAGAGAAGGACCAAGGACAGAUUCAGACAUUUUUUAUCAAGGCUUGGACAAUUUAUAUUUUAUUGCUGGAACUCAUGCAAUACUAUGCAACAUCGCACGAUACAGAAAACACGUUAUCAUUGUCUUUAUUCUUGUUUCCAGACCCUUGGCACUGCAGAACGAUAAAAUCAAAGGCAAUUACGAUGCUGAUUCUUAACUUGGGCUUACCCCGUGAAACGAGAGGUUUCAGUUGCGCGAGCAGCGAUUGUUGCGCCAGCUCCAACCCUUCUGGCAACGGUGGCAACUGUUGUCAUACCAAUACCACCCCGACUGGCAGCGCUGGGCAGCAGCCUUUGCGAGUCCUCCCACGUCCACGCCCAUGGCCAGCAUCAUCACAAAUAUGGCGAGCGCCAAAAACAACACGAAGAAAGCCUUGUUCUCCAUGAUUUGCUGCUAGAGAAGUAAGCUUGUUAUAUUAGAGAGAAGUGGUUUGAUUUGUGAGGUGGGAGGGGCUUGUAUUAAUAGCUCGAGCCAGCACACAAUGCUAGAGAGUUGUUGUGGGACGGCAUUGCUUAGUCGUUAUCUAUUUUGGUUCUGUGUUUGAAAAUUUCUUCUCUUUCUAUAAUACUCAUAAAUCUCUCCAACCCUUCAAAUGAGAAUCAUUCGUUGCUAAAACUUCACAAGUUCGUACUACAAACUUGCAGAUAGAGAAAGCCAUGGAGUUUAGCUCGAAAAGAUGAAAACAAUGAAAGCAACACAUGUUCUUGUAAGACACACCACUUUGCAUUAGCCGCGUGUGUGCAAUAUCAUCAGUUAAAUAUGGGACGGUUCAGAUCAUGUUAGAUCGACGGCUUUGAUUUAAUUAAUACGUACACCGUGGGCGGCUCAGAUUGUAUAUAAAUAAACGGUCCAGAAUGUUUUAAAUGCACGGUCUAGAUUGUACAUGUGACUGUCCAAUAGACGGCCCAGAUUUCAAGUUCUCAGAUCUUAUAGAUUUUAAGAAUAUACUAUUCUUCUAUUUGUACGAAAAGGAUUUCGUUCUUAGCUUUCAGAACUUUAAUGCCCUAAAAAAGGGGAAGUAAGCAAGCAAACUUGAGCACGAUGGUAAGCAAGCAAACUUGAGCUGAAAUACUGCGACUUUUUCGUAAGCUUGAUCUCUGACUAUGGCUCGCAAAAUCUCCACGCCCCCGCCCAUGCCACCUCACCGAAGCACACAAAGAGGAUGCCGCCGCCCAAACCAUCACCAAAGACGGCGCUGACAACUUCAUCUCUGCCACCAAAGAGGUAUCCACCGGCACCAGCCAAGAGGCACAGUCAGUCACCAGCAAAGCCCACAGAGGGACAUCACUCACCAGCAAAGCCACCACCGAGCUCUCCUGAGCAUCAUGGAGCUGGACAUCCACUACCGAGCUCUCCGCCCACCAAGGAACAUCCAGCAGCUGAGCCAAAUAGGCACCAUGGACAUCGACGAGCUGAUGAUGGAGCUGCUACAGGGCCGCCACCCUCUUCUUCGCCGCCCAACAAGGCCGACACUGUAACCUGGCGACCAAGGAGGGCCGGGCCGCCAUCGCCACCACCUUCGACCAUAACAAGGCCCCUUGGCUUGGGCACCUCUCCGCCUACUGCGCCGUCAGCACCAUCUUCAGCAGCAGCUGCAUUCGUGGCAUCACCUGGUGUGCUCGUGGCAGGCAUCGUUGUGCUCCUGCUCGCACUGGUAGCCAUCGUCACUGGAGUCUGGAUACUCUUGAAACGGAGAAGGAACAAGGUGCAUGGCGACAUUAUCCUGGUGGAGUAUGGCCAUCAGCCUGGCGGUGGCAACAGCGGCAGCAGCAGCAGCCAGGAGCACCUCAUUACCAAAGUGGAGCCUCGACCAUCAUCGCAGUUGAAUGCCGGCAGGAAGAUGGUGGAUGUACAGCUCCAUGGUGCUCUGGCUUUGUUGGUGAGUGAUGUCCCUCUGUGGGCUUUGGUGGUGAAUGACUGUGCCCCUUGGCUGGCGCCGGUGGAGACCUCUUUGGGGGAGAUGAAGUUGUCGGCGUCCUCUUUGACGAUGGUUUGGCCGGCAGCAUCCUCCUCGCGUGCUCCCGGUGAGGCGGAGGGGGCGGUGGCGUGCGAGCCAUAGUCAGAGAUGAAGCUUACCAGAGAAAGUCGCAGUAUUUCAGCCAAGCUCGCUGCUUACGAGAAAACUCGCGCUAAAGUUUGCUGCGCCUUUUUUAGGGCAUUAAACUGUCUACUGGGUAAACGAAUGGUAAAUAUAUCCUUUUCGUAUAAAUAGAAGAAUAGUAUAUUCUGGAAAGCUAGUCACAAUCUAGACCGUGCAUUUAAAACAUUCUGAACCGUUCCUUUACAUACAAUCUGAGCCGUCCACUGUAUACAAUCUGGGCUGUCGUAAUAUUUAAAUCAAAGCCGUCGAUCUAAAUUGAUCUGAACCGUCCCAUAUUUAAAUGAUGAUAUGGCACACACGUGGCAAAUGCAGGGAUUCUUCGGAACUUGGAAUGGCUAUUUUCUGGAACUUAAUGAUCCUCAUGUAGAGAUUUUAUGUGGAUCCCAGCAUUAUAGAAAAGAGAAGAAAUUCUCAAACACGGAAUCAAAAUAGAUAAGAACUCCGUCCCACGACAACUCUCUAGCAUUGUGUGCUGGCUCGAGCUAUAAAUACAAGCCCCUCCCACCUCACAAAUCAAACCACUUCUCUCUAAUAUAACAAGCUUACUUCUCUAGCAGCAAAUCAUGGAGAACAAGGCUUUCUUCGUGUUGUUUUUGGCGCUCGCCAUAUUUGUGAUGAUGCUGGCCAUGGGCGUGGACGUGGGAGGACUCGCAAAGGCUGCUGCCCAGCGCUGCCAGUCGGGGUGGUAUUGGUAUGACAACAGUUGCCACCGUUGCCAGAAGGGUUGGAGCUGGCGCAACAAUCGCUGCUCGCGCAACUGAAACCUCUCGUUUCACGGGGUAAGCCCAAGUUAAGAAUCAGCAUCGUAAUUGCCUUUGAUUUUAUCGUUCUGCAGUGCCAAGGGUCUGGAAACAAGAAUAAAGACACUGAUGACGUGUUUUCUGUAUCGUGCGAUGCUGCAUGGCAUUGCAUGAGUUCCAGCAAUAAAAUAUAAAUUGUCCAAGCCUUGAUAUAAAAUGUCUGAAUCUGUCCUUGGUCCUUCUCCUCUCUUCUCCAAAUCCCACGACUUCCAAUCGAUUGCUCCAAUGAUCGGCAAGCAAUAAGACUCGAUUGGAGCAUCAAAUCCAGGCCCAGGCACACCUAGCGGUAGGAGUGGAGGUCGGCGGCAUCACCAAGGCGAUGGCGCAGCGCUUGGUACUGGAAUGGAUUUCGCUGCGUGCAAUGCAAUUGGUACGGGUAUGACAACAACUGCCAUCGAGGGUGGCGCUGGAAUGGCAGCCGCUGCAUCUGCUGAAGAAUUGCCAAAGUUCGCGAGCCUCGGGCCUCAAAGAACCACGGGAGCGAAUCUCGAAUCAUGAAAAGUUGGGUUGACAGCCUGGAUGAGAUAUAUGUAGAAUAAGAGUGAACGAAGAUGUUUUGGAGUCUAUUCGUCUUUGAUGCCCUGGGUCUGGGACUGUCAAUGAUAAAUAUGGUGCGUUUUCUGGACAGUUGUUGUUGCAGUGUAACGUUCGCAAUGUAUGGACUUUUAAUAUAUAGAAACAUGAUAUACUCAGUCAAAAAACUUGAACCAGAAUGACAGGAUAAUUUAGAACAUGACAAAUAAAAUAGAAAGAAAGCCAAGUCAAUCUAUCUGGGCUCAAAAUUAUAUUAUAUAAUAUUAACUAAAGUCAUAUAUAUUUUUAUCAAUGAAAGUUGUGGACAGUCUGCCAUCUUAGUCUCGACGUGGAACUUGGAAAAGCAACCAGAUGGAAAUAUGAAGCAGUAGUGGAGACAAGUUUUUCAACGAAUCUGAUCUCUUUCCCAAGACAAAGUCUAGCAAUUACAUACACCAACCACGUAUAUAAAACACAAUCGAAAAUGAAAUGACACACACUUCUCUUCCAGAGAUCGUCAAGAUCCAACUAUUUAUUGGAUUUUUAUUCUUUUCAGUGGCAGUGAAAUCUAUAGCAAUGGUGAAAAGACUAGAAUGAUGUCUUUACUCAUCUGGAUUCACAGCUUCAUUUCGUGUGUUGUUCUAUGUCCCAGCAUUAUAGAAAAGAAAAGGAAUUGACAAAUACGGAACGACUUCCUCGAAUAACUUUCAAAGGACAAAGUUCCCAAGAGGCACCACUCUGGCAUUGUAUGCUGCCUCGAGCUAUAAAUACGAGUGGCCUCACAGAUCAAAUCACUUCUCUCGAAUAUACUAGAGUUCGUUGAUCAUAGGCUUGCUUGGUGUUGUUUUCGGUUCUCGCCAUGUUGCUGAUGCUGGCCAUGGGAGUGGACGUCAAAAGCGCUGCAGCUAGCUCCUCUAAGUUUCCUCUCGGGGAUUGUUUUGCAAAUUUUGGCUACAACGUGUUCUUUGAAAGCGCCAUAAGAAUGUUAGAACACCAUUCGAUUGAGGAGGAAGUAUCCAAUAGCAGUUGCCGAGGCGCUAGCAAGAGCACAAACUUCCACCCAACGAGUCAAGUAGUCAGAAGCAAUAAUAACAUACUCAUUGCCAGCAGUCGACCGUGGAAAAGGUCCCAUAAGAUCAAAUGCCACCAACUCAAACGGACGGGAGACUGCAAUUGACUCUAACCGUCCUUCCGCAGCACAAGGGGGAGUAUUACGAGCUUGGCACCAAACGCAGCUACACACAUAUCGGAUAAUAUCACGUUGCAUCUUCGGCCAAUAGAAAGACCUGUGCAGCUUCUCGGCCACACGACAAUAUCCCAUAUGCCCACUUAGAACAAAAGAAUCAUGGUAGGCAUGGAGAAAUCGCGGAAUAAAGAUAGAAGGCACCACCAGCCAUAAAUGAUUAUCAGAAUCCGUCCCCACAAAAUAAAGAAGGCCAUUUUCAAGAUGAUAUUGAGAAUGUAAAUGCCGAAAAGGCAAGUCAUCAACAAAUGAUGCAAGAUUCUCAAAUGCAUCUCGAAGCCUUCGAAUCCAUGGCUCAAUCUUUUGAGCCUCACGGACCUCAUCAAGAGAAGGUAGAUCUUGCUCUGCACCUUGUGGACACUAAACAUCAAGUAUAGCAAUCGCCAAUGGCAUAGAAUCCUGGUCUAAAAAAUCCACAGAUGCUGGAAUAAUAGGCUCAUCAGAAACAUGAUAAAAGAGUGGAGAAGGAAAAGGAGCUCGAGAAAGGGCAUCAGCAUUAGCCAUAAAACUCCCUGGGCGAUGAAUAACAUCAAAAUUAUAUAUUUAAAACUUUAAAGCCCACUGAGUAGUACGAUUAACCAGGUUCUUCUGCUUCAAUAAUGAAGUAACGGCAGCAUGGUCACCUUCAAAUAACAUCCGAAAACCAUGUAAAUAGGCAUGAAGUUUCUUGAAACCCCAAACUGUCGCUAAACACUCCUUCUCUAUCGUGGAGUAGUUUACCUUUGUUGAUUGUAACAUAUGGCUUAUAUAUGCAUUGGGAUGACGCUAACCAAACACACUCGGGCUUUUUUGUAUUAACACACUUCCAAGACUAAUAUCAAAAACAUAUUCUUAGCUUGAGCAUAAUAAAAAAGCCAAGGAGCUUUUCAGUAAAAUGCCACACCACAACUUAAAUCUUGUGGAACUCAACGCUAGCAGUAAUGUCCAGCCUAAGAAGCAAGGUCUCUAUUUGAUGCCAUGCCACAUAAGAACGUUUCAUCGCGGUUGACAAUAUCACAGCACUGGCCGAGAGAAACCAGCUCGAAGAAGCUCGCAUUCACCUCCCCGACGACGUGGUGUGGACUGACAUGAUCUUGGCCUACUCCAACCAUGGCCACCUCGAAGAAGCCAUGAAGAUGUUUGCACGGAUGCCACAGCGCGAUCUCAUUGCUUAGACGGCAAUGGUGGCGGCAAUUGCUUUGCACGGGAGGUUGAUGGAUGGCAUCUUGUUCGACCAAAUGUCCCAGCAUGAUAUCGUCGCGUGAAACACGAUGCUGGGAGCUUACAUCCAGAGCAAUUGCCCUCGUCCAGCGCGGGAGCUCUUUGCGACCACGAUGGUGAGAGACACAGCGAGCUGGAUUGCCGCGAGCACUCAAAGGGGGAAUCUCUUGCAGGCCGGGAAGAUCUUCUCCACGUUGCCUGAUCGGAGCAUUGUGCCGUGGAACGCGAUGAUCCAUGGCUGCGCACAGAAUGGCCACGCUGAGUUUUUGACAGCAUGGCGAUGGAGGGCGAGGCGAGAAACGAGAUAAGUUUCCAGGCGAUUCUCCUGACUUGCGGAAGCUCCGAGUGGCACUCAACUACUUUCGAUCUAUGGUGGCCGAGUACAGCAUUUCUCCAUGUGAUUCACUUCCAGGCGAUGGCAGAUGUGCUGGGACGAACCGGGCUGGUUGCCGAGGCCGAAGUGUUGGAGCAGGAAUCAAGGCGUCAAGGACACAGGAAUCUGCAGCAGGAAUCUAGGAAAGAUUAAAGAAGAUGAACGAGCAUAUAAGACUGUAUACAACAAGCAUUCAACAGUAGCUUUUCCCGUUCCAUCAUGGUAUCAGAGAAUUUUCUGUUCAGCAGGGCAGUGGGCUUGAUGCAACGUAAUGCAGAUCAUGAGAGCCAUCACAGGCAAAGCUCUGGCGGCAGCAAGCUGCAUGGAACAGUGAUAGGAUCAGGCAAGCAGUGUUCCAGUCUUGUGUGGAUUUGCAUGCAAGUCGUGCACAGCAGUCAAGAUCUUGAGCAAUGUUCAGGAUAAGGCUGAACAGAAUUUGGUGGAGCAAGAGCUGGAGGCACUGUCAAGAUUGACACCUGUCGAUUGAGAUGUCGACAGGUGUGGGCGAGGCAGCGAUGUGAUGGGCGCAUCCUGGAGCAAAAGCGGACAUACCCCGAGUCCAGGUGAUGGUGUCCCUCGUGAAGGAGUCCACUUAGCAACCAGCAGGGAUUUGGAAGGAUUUCCCGUGGAAAUUAGUGCUGCUCUGUGCGAGGCCUACCGUCGCUGGCAGGGAAAUUGCGGAGACUUUCUUUGCGAGCUGUCAUCUGGCGGUGUUCUUCGCGCAUAUGAUCCAGCUAAACACCGGGACUGGAUACAGGAACUCGAUUGGUUGGUUUGACAGCGCUGGUUUUUUCAGCCCGAUCCAGCCAUUCGAGGGCCCUGGAUCGCUCGACGAUGUGGAGACGCUCCUUGGCAGUGGAAAAAGGAAGCUCGAGCUCUACCACCGACACGGCCGGGGCUUGUUCCACCGUGGAAGACGAGGGUGGCGAAGUGGAAGACGUGACUUCUAGCCGCAACAAGCUCUCCAAUCUUGUCGUUUCCAGCGGCGGCAGGCUCGCGAAGCUCGAGGUUGGCGAUCCAAAACUUGUCGACGUCAAAGCAGCGUUUCUAGCGGGGCUCGGGCGACUCUCGGCAGUGGCCGAUGUUACUUCGGUGUACAAAGUUCUUUACGACUGUCCUGGCUCGCCGAGAAGCGUUUGAGACGCUCAGCGCGAGGUGGGGAUGUGAAUUUGCAGCAGGAGGGGUGUUCUCCAAACGAGCUUCUCAGUGUCAUAUGGUUUUGGACUCCACCUAGGGUGUGGGGAUAUAUCUUAGUCCGGAGAGUCUGUCUCGUCUGAGUUGCAGAGGCACGGAUAUUGACGUCUUGCUGUGCCGUGCGAUUCUUGGCAAAGCUGAGCUUGUGCGAGAUACACCACCAGUGGAUGCUACUGAGGUCUUGCUGCAGCACAACAAACCGGAGACCUUCACCACAGAUUGUCACAGAGAUUGUCUUGAUGAUGGCUGGUCACACCCAAGCAGGGCUUUUCCUAUCUUUUUAUUCUCAUAGUUUGACCUUACAGCUUGGCAUCGUCAACUACUUGUGGAAGGCCAAAGGAUCUGAUACACAUGCAAGGACUGUUGAACGAAGCUACAAUGAAGGCUCUUUGGAAAACUAAGGUACCUCAAUAUUAUUCAAGUUUAGUUUCAAUGUUUGGAGAUGAUUUGUGGUGCAAUAGUAGACGACUUCAACCGUCACUCCAUUGUUUGUUUUCUUAAACAGAGCGAACUGUGACUCGAUCCAUUGUGAUCAGAUCCACUCUUUCAUUUCUUUCUCGAAGAAUUUCGAAGAGCUCUAGUCUCAUCUCCAUGUGAGCAUAAGUCUUGGAGAUGAAGAUGCUGUCUCGGCAGAAUUUCAUACAAUUCUGGCCACACAUUGGAUCUCCCUCCAUGGUCAAGACGAAAUUGGGGAGAGCAAAGAUGGCAGCACUUCAUACAAUUCUGGCCCCACAUUGGAAUCUCCUUCCAGAUUUCUGCACCAUACAAGCAUGGUGGGAAGGAGAAGAAGAUGAUGAGAUGCAUCUUAUGCAACGCUGAAGUCUAUGAUGUACCAGUCUUCAGACAGGUACAACACUUACUCUUUUGUAUUUACAUGUGUUUUGAAUGUAUAGGAUAUCUGUAAGAUGGAUUGCUAUGGAGGGACAAUGUUCUCUUACUCAACCAAGACCAAGGUAUUUCUUAUUUCUGGCAUUAAACCAAAGGUGGCAGGUUACAGUGCUAUCCGGAUACUGCUGUAUUAGUACUAAGCAGAUUUGCCACUCUUGGAGGAAAAUACAAUGCCAUAGUGCUCCUAGAGCCUCCAACUCAGAGAAAGGUACAAUUCUACAUGGCACUGACCCUAGAAAGUGUAGGUCCAGAUACUUUACAGGUCUAGCCAGAAAAUGAUAGGUCUUGGUCAGUAAUUUUGAAGUUUGUAGUAUCUUCUAAUACAUGGGUUCUACGUGUUCACAACAUAAGUAUAUUGCAAACUUCUUAAGGUGUUUCUAAACCACGUUCUGAGGGGGAGAAAAAGGAGAUGCUUUACCAGAACGUGUUUCUCAAGUCAUAUAUUUUGAUGAGUGCUCCUUCUGGCUGUCGUACAUGGACACUGCUAGGUUCUUCUUGGAGAGCAACUCAAUCCAGGACAGCAGCGGCAAGCUGAUGCAAGAGCUGUGUGCUGAGGAUUGUGGAGCUUGUUACCCAGAUGGAAUGCCAGGGAUCAGCAUGUUCGUCGACACUUUCAUGGAGGACAUGGAGAUGAGGGAGACGAUCCGGGCCGACAUAGCUGCCAUCCCCGAGCGGCGAUUUUGAACGUUGACAAUAAACGAUACAACCAGGUACAUUAUUUUAAUUUACUAAUGCAGUGAGUUUUUGGUGUAGCAUGCAAUGUUGCUAUGGAAGGCAGCUAAAGAAACACUCUACGUUUUGAAUUGCAAACAACCCUGAAUGACAACACAGGUGAUUGCCUGGAAAGAAUGAAUACUUUCUCAUGAAGAUCUCAACACUUGCUACUGAUAGGCAUUGUGAUCAUGGGGGCGAACUUGGCAGAGCUGAGGAGUCCACUGACAACAUGAUCACAUACUAGUACGUGCUGUGCAAUCAUGAGCGUGAAUGUGGAGCUCAGAAUCGAUGAAAAGGAGCAGCUGGAACUCCAAGACGAGCCAAUACUGGUUCCAAUGCUCCAUGCUUACGAGUGCAAGCUGUUUGCGAAGGCAACUCUGGACACAACAGUUCACCACAAGCUAGGACCGUACCAACCCAGGGGGAGUAGGCGAUACGGUCUGAUCUCUAGGAUGGAUCAGAUCAAGGGGGAGUGUUGGAGCAGGAAUCAAGGCAUCAAGGACACAGGAAUCUGCGGCAGGAAUCUAGGAAAGAUUAAAGGAGAUGAACAAGUAUAUAAGAUUGUAUACAACAAGCAUUCAAUAGUAGCUUUUCCCAUUCCAUCACGAAGGUCUGCUGCUAGUGAUGCCCUUUCCUCACGUGCUUGAUCAGCAGUUGCAAAGUUCAUGGCAGCGGCAAGAACAUCGAUGCUGCAGCUCGAGCCACAGAGAAUAUCUUCAUGAUGGAACCAGGGGACUCGGCGCUCUACGUGCUCAUGUCGAAUCUGCAAAGGCAGGAUUCCAGAGAAAGCUUGCCUUCCAUGCGUGACCUUCGAACAGCUCGAACUGGGACAGCAGGAAGAAGAGAGAAAAGUAAGAAACAUAAACACAAAUUUUGACCAACCUGAUGUGAUCUAACCAAAUUCAUUCAAAUGAAUUUGCUUGUGACCAGCAAAGAGGUUUGGGAAGAAUUGUGAGCAAUUUUCGGUUGCAUCUACAUAGUCUGCAAAUAUUUAUAACUUUAACAAGACUUAAUAUCAGAAAAUAAUUAUUAAUUGAUUAAUUUUAAACGCAUAAUACCUCCCAUGCUGGAUGGCUGAAGCAUAGACCACUUUCUGGUCCCGUCACUGAUCACUCUGCGUGAUCAAUCUGUUUGGGUGCUGGAUUGCCCAAGAGAUUGUCAACAGCCUCCCAGUGAGAAGAGAUGAUGUAGCAUUUACCACUUUUCUUGCAGCGUAUACACUCCUAAUAUAUACGCUCCAGAGUUCUUGUCUUCUAUUUCAACCACUGACUUGGUUCUAUCGAGCUUUGAGUUUGAGCUAGAAGAGGGACUUCAGAGAUAUAGAUACAUUUUCGGCUUGUUCAAUUUUGACAUGAUCGUUAACACUAAAUAGUGCAGCAUCGAUAGUUUAGAUUUCAUAAAAACAGAAUAAAAAUUAACAAAAUAAAUUUGUGAUCAUCCUGGCCAUUGAUUGAUGGUUCCUCCUAAACUUUUGUACCCCGAUGAAAAGCGAGGAAGGCAACAGGACCUUCCUGUGACUUACUCAAGCCCAUAGAAGGGACUGACAGAUAAAUGACGAGCUUUCGCUCUUCAUGCUACUUGUUUUUCUCUUGCAGCGCCUGCAAUCAAAGAGUAGCAUCUAUACAAAUUGACUUCGAAGAAACGUACCUCGUCAAGUUCCCUGUCUCUCUCAGAGGUGGAAGAAUUCACCAGGAUACAGAAAGGCUCGUACCUGGUCGGCGUUUUCACCUGUCAGAGAAGUGUGCCCCGGAGCAGAUGGCUCCACCUCCAAAUCACUCUUGACCCGGUCGGGAUCAUUGGCUGUCAACUUCCGGACGAGGUUCUCGUCGCUAGUGAUCUCGGGGCUGUUCUCCACAUCGCGCUUCCUGAUCGAUUCAGCUUCAUCAGUCCAUAUUGUCAGCUCAAGUGCAGAGACUACUAACCCGUGGGAAAAAGGCCGGAUGCGGGGGUCCAUCAUGAUGAACUUCUGCAUUUGUUUCUCCAUCUCAGCCCGCUUCUUUGCCAGUGCUGCGACAUCUCCAGGAUCGAACACGGUGCCAGAACGAUCCGCCACCUUUCGUCCUUGUUCCCGUCCAUGAAACUGCUCUGGAACCCCGUCGCGUCGAGAUGAUAGGCGCACUGGGAGCUCGUUUGCAGCCAUUUUCUCGCCUGCUGGAUGAUGAGAGUAGCCACCAGUCGAGAAGAGUGGAUCAUCCUCCGGAGUGGCUGAGAACAGCCUUGGCUUGUCGCCAACUUCAUGCGCAGGAAAGACGACGAGAGGAUCCUCCAUCGUGACGUUUUCCCGGCUUCCCUGCUGGCCAUGCACUGGAUCAGCAGCACGAAAGAGUGGAUCGUUCCCGGAUGCAGACUUGUGGCGAGCACCAGCGGGAAGAGCAGACGGUGGCAGGCGCCUUGGUGGCCUCAGGAGCUCGCGAAUUCGGUGGUCAGCAGCCGGCUUCUUCCUGCCAGCAUUCAACUGCGAUGAUGGUCGAGGCUCCACUUUGGUAAUGAGGUGCUCCCGCUGGUUGCUGCUGCUGCCGCUGUUGCCACCGCUAGGUUGAUGGCCAUACUCCACCAGGAUGUCGCGUGGUGGAUGUCACCGUGCACCUUGUUCCUUCUCCUCUUCAAGAGUAUCCAGACUCCAGUGCCGAUGGCUACCAGUGCGAGCAGGAGCAGAACGAUGCCUGCCGCGAGGACACCAGGUGAUGCCACGAAUGCUGCUGCUGCUGCUGCUGAAGAUGGUGCUGACGACGCCGUAGGCGGAGAGGUGCCCAAGCCAAGGGGCCUUGGUUGCCACGUUAUGGUCGAAGGUGGUGGCGAUGGCGGCCUUGGGUUCCACGCUAUGGUCGAAGGUGGUGGCGAUGGCCCUGGGUUCCACGUUAUGCUCGAAGGUGGUGGCGAUGACGGCCCGGCCCUCCUUGGUCGCCAGGUUACAGUGUCGGCCUUGUUGGGCGGCGAAGAAGAAGGUGGCGGCCCUGUAGCAGCUCCAUCACCAGCUCGUCGAUGUCCAGGAUGCCUCUUUGGCUCUGCUGCUGGAUGUUCCUUUGUGGGCGGAGAGCUCGGUGGUGGAGGUCCAGCUCCAUGAUGCUCGGGAAACCUCGGUGGUGCUCCAUGAUGCUCGGAAGAGCUCGGUGGUGGAUGUACAGCUCCAUGAUGCUCAGGAGGUAGCUUUGUUGGUGAGUGAUGUCCCUCUGUGGGCUUUGGUGGUGAAUGACUGUGCCUCUUGGCUGGCGCCGGUGGAGACCUCUUUGGGGGCGGAGAUGAAGUUGUCGGCGCCCUCUUUGGCGAUGGUUUGGGCGGCGGCAUCCUCCUCGCGUGCUCCCGGUGAGGAGGCGGGGGCGGUGGCGUGCGAGCCAUAGUCAGAGAUGAAGCUUACCAGAGAAAGUCGCAGUAUUUCAGCCAAGCUCGCUGCUUACGAGAAAACUCGCGCUAAAGUUUGCUGCGCCUUUUUUAGGGCAUUAAACUGUCUGCUGGGUAAACGAAUGGUAAAUAUAUCCUUUUCGUAUAAAUAGAAGAAUAGUAUAUUCUGGAAAGCUAGUCACAAUCUAGACCGUGCAUUUAAAACAUUCUGAACCGUUCCUUUACAUACAAUCUGAGCCGUCCACUGUAUACAAUCUGGGCUGUCGUAAUAUUUAAAUCAAAGCCGUCGAUCUAAAUUGAUCUGAACCGUCCCAUAUUUAAAUGAUGAUAUGGCACACACGUGGCAAAUGCAGGGAUUCUUCGGAACUUGCGAUUUUGUGGAACUUAAUGAUCCUCAUGGAGAGAUUGUAUGUGGAUCCCAGCAUUAUAAAAAAGAGAAGAAACUCUCAAACACGGAACCAAAGUAGAUAAGGACUCCGUCCCAUCUAGCAUGCUCGAGCUAUAAAUAUGAGCCCAAAUCAAACCACUUCUCUCUAAUAUAACAAGCUUACUUCUCUAGCAGCAAAUCAUGGAGAACAAGGCUUUCUUCGUGUUGUUUUUGGCGCUCGCCAUAUUUGUGAUGAUGCUGGCCAUGGGCGUGGACGUGGGAGGAAUCGCAAAGGCUGCUGCCCAGCGCUGCCAGUCGGGGUGGUAUUGGUAUGACAACGGUUGCCACCGUUGCCAGAAGGGUUGGAGCUGGCGCAACAAUCGCUGCUCGCGCAACUGAAACCUCUCGUUUCACGGGGUAAGCCCAAGUUAAGAAUCAGCAUCGUAAUUGCCUUUGAUUUUAUCGUUCUGCAGUGCCAAAGGUCUGGAAACAAGAAUAAAGACAAUGAUAACGUGUUUUCUGUAUCGUGCCAUGUUGCAUAGUAUUGCAUGAGUUCCAGGAAUAAAAUAUAAAUUGUCCAAGC
rnacentral:lncRNA from 1 species